rnacentral:lncRNA from 1 species
UUUUUUUAUUUUUUUUUUUUUUUUUUUUUUAUGUAUAGAAAAUUUUAAUAAAAUAAUUUAUUUGAUACUUAAAUAGUGUUUGCUUUUUUAUUGAAUAAAAAAAGUUAAAAUAUUUUAUUCAACUAAAAAUACCUUAUUGAUAUUAACCUAUAUCACUAACUGAAGUGAACUUGUUAUCAAUAAGUUUCGUUUAAUUAUGUUGAUUGAUGUCGAUUAGUUACUUUUAACGGAAUAGAAAAAAUCAAAUAUUUUGACUUUUUUUAUUCAGUAAAAAAAAAACAUCACUUUAGACAUAAAACAAAACAACUUUGCUUAUUAUUAUUAUUUUUUUAAAUAGAUUAAAUUAAGACAUGGGUUAAUAAUUUUAUUUAUUUAUUUUAAUUUAAUUUACUUUUCCAAUAUCUAGAACAGCAUGCCUUGUGCCCGUAAAUUCUGAACAAGGGAGGGGCCAAUUGCUAUUUGAGCAAGGGCAUAAUAUCUUAAGGUCUAUUGGUAAAUAUGAACAAAAAUGGGGUUAAUUUUUUUUUUUUUCUCCUUCUUCCUUCCUUUCACACCUACUACUUUUGUUGAGCAUGACUUUACCAAAUUUGGGCAAGGUGAUGUCUCAAUAAACAAAACAAAACAAAAAUAGCUAUAAGCAUUUUAUUCACAAAAUUCAAAAUAAAUUGUAUUUAUUUAUUUUUAAAAUUAAUUUUAAACCAUAUUUUAAAAAACAUAACUUGUAAAAAAAUAAUUUAAAACCUAAAAGAUAGAUUACAAAAUAAUAAUUUAAAAAAUAACCCACACACUGAACUCUUCCAUAUGAUAAAAACUCAUAAUUCAAAAAAAAAAAAAAUCUUAAAGUCCAUAAUUUUUUUUUAAAUUACUUAUAGUUUGAAAGAUAAUUUUUUAAAAUAAUAAAAUAUUUAAUAAAAUUUAAAAUAUACUUUAAAAAAUUUUUAAAAAUCAUUUAUAAUAUUUUUUUUAAAAAAAUAGUCAUAAAUUUUUGUCACCUGGCCAAGUGGGAAACCAUUUUCACUUGCGCAGCCGCGUCCACAAAAGGCCAAUCUCAGGUUUGUCAGUUAGCCAAUUACACUUUCCUCUGGCAGUCGUCAUCAAUUUGAAUUAAAAAUGGGGUUUCUCCAAUAAGGAGGAGCAGCAAAGCAAUGGAGAUACUCAAUUCUCCAAUGAAUGCCCCUAACUUUCUCCACAAAAAGUCACCCUCCUUUAUGCUUCACCUCAAGAUCAAAAUCCUUUUUUUUAUUCUUUCUUUUUCUCUUGAUUUUUUCUUUUCUUUUCUUUUCCACCAAACACAUGUAGGCCACCUGAGCUUCCAUGUGUUUCACCAAAUUUGAAGCUCUAGAUGGUGGGGUUCAACCUCCUUUUUCUCACCCUAACUAUGGGUGUUUGUAUUGCUAGAAAAAGACUUGUAAAAGUUCAUUGGAAGGAAGCUGAACAGGAAAGCCAAGUAUUAGGAGGAUUUUCAUAAAGACUCAUACAUUCAAACUAUGAAAUGUGUUAGGCAACAACCUUUCAUGGAGCUAGGAAUGUGUUGGUUCGAGGAAUCUCUAUUCGAUGGUCAAGUUCGUAUUUUGAUCAUAGGAAAAAAUGAAGAGAAAAAAAAAAAAAAAUUUUAUAAUAUGCUUGAAAAAACAAUUAUGAGAGAAAUAAAAACACUUUCAAGUAUUAUGAAGCAUUUCUUUUGUAAAAAUAACAUGAUUUGUAAAAAUUUUUAAAUCACUUUUAAAAACUUGAAAUAAUUCACAAUCACUUUAAAAAUUCACCUUAGAAAACUACGACAAAAUCACGUGCAUUUUUUAAUCAUUAGUAAUUAUGAAGUUAUUUGUAAUACAAAAUUUUAAAAUUAUUUUUCAUAUUUAUAAUUAUUUCUCGUAAUAUUUUAUAAUAAAAAAAUAUAUAUGUCUAAUUUAUUUUAAAAAUCAACUUGAUUUUAAAAUAAUAUCUUUAAAAAAAAAACGAUUUUGAAUCCCAAAUUUAUGUGAGUUAAUAGGAAGAUUCCAUUGAGACUUUUAGAAAAUGGGUAGAUAUCAUGCCUCUUUAACCAAAUAGCACUGAGAAAAAGGUACAUCAUUAUUUCCCGAUUCAAAGCAUUUCUUUUUUUAUUUUUUGGUGUUUGAUUCCAUGAAUUUCAGUGGAUUUAAACCUGCAUCUGAACCCAAAUCCACAAAAUAAUUACAUCCUAAAAGCAAAAAGUAAGGUGGGUUUUGUCCUUUAGUUAUUAUUAUUUUUAAAUAAUAACUAACAAAGUUAAAUACUAAAUUAAUUUUUUUAGUGGCUUUAUGAUUUAAAUUAUUUUAAAAUUAUUUUUAUUUUUAGUUUAUCACUUUUUUAUAAAUAAUUUUGUCUUAGUAAAAAAUAUAUAUAUUUCACUAUUUGAGGAAAAUAAAAAUGAAAUAGUAAAACGACGCCGUUUUUAUAGGGUUAAAAACUAAAAAGGAGAAAAAGAUCCGGCUUGCCGGAUUCGAACCAGCGACCUAAGGAUCACAGCCAUACUACAGUCCUCCGCUCUACCAACUGAGCUAAAGCCGGUGUUGUUUUGUGUUGCAUCAGAAAAAGUAUAUAAAUAAGAGUUCGUUUGCAUGAUUUUCCUCCUAGAAACUGUUUAAACACAUUUUAAAAGACAUUUUUUAAAAUAUGAAAAAACGCUUGAUAAGUAAUUCUCAUCAAAAUAUUUUGAAUAAAAAUAUUAUCAAACACAUUCUUUAUUCUUUAUGCGUUUGAUAGUAAUUUUAGAAAAUGUUUUUAGUAUUUUUAAAUAAAAACGAGAUCACAGACAAAAUUUAGGAAAUACUUAAAAAAAAAAAUCACUUUUAAUAUUGAAAAUUUAUUUUUAAAGUUUUAUGGAGAAACACUUAAUAGACAAUUUUUCUAAAAACAUUAUAAAAGAAAACACUUUCUCUUAAUGCAUUUGGUAAUGAUUUUUUAAAAUGUUUCUAAUAUUUCUAAUACUAAAAAAUAAAAAUUUUCAAAUAUUAGAAAAAUUAAAAAUACUUUUCAAAAACACUAUCAAACACGUUUUAAAAACACUUCGAAUAAAAACACAGCCAAACGUUUUUAAAGAAAUCAACUUCAAUAAAAAAUUCAUGUAAACUCCAUCCAAUGUCAAUCAUAAUUUUUUUGCAGGUGACUCCUAAUUAAAUAUUUCCUUAAUUACUCAUGUUUCAAGGGACCCUUUUUCUUUUUCCUUACAAAAAAUAUUGAAAAUUUGCUGGUUUUCAGUGUUAGGAAUGGAAGUCAAGAACAAGGGUGUCACAACAAAAUAUUCAGAAUAUCAUUUCAUCAAAUCUUUUUGAUUCCAUGAGAGCUGAGUACAUUGAUACAGACAAUAUACAGAUCUGCAGGACAGGAUUGGUAUACAAAUAGUAUAUCACCAAUGAAAGAAACAGGAAAAGGAGGAAAAGAAGUAGAAUGAUUCACUGAUAGAACUGAUUUCACGUGGCAAAAUCACUGGUAAUAAUACUCCAUAAGCAGUAGGUAGGAGGGUAUAUAGAAGCAUCAAUCAACAGAAACAGGUUGCAUGUUUUCGGCUUCUUUCCUCAGUUCUUGAAACAGGACAGAUGACAAGUACCGCUCCCCGAAACUUGGAUGAAUAGUCUGAGAAAUUCAAGCCAACAACAGCUUUCAGCAAUGAAUAAUACUUUGGAUGAUGGUGUUUGUAGAAGAAAAUUAUACAAGGUGUUCAUACCACUAUCAGUUUGCCUUUGUUCUCUGGCCUUCUUGCUAGCCUUAGUGCUGCAACUGUGUUAGCUCCUGAUGAUAUCCCCACCUGCAUGAACCAGAAGUUAGACAAAUGAUCAAUGUAAACCGAUCUUUGAGUCAUUUUCUUUUAAGCCCAACUGCAAAUCCCUACAUGGAGUCCAAAAUUAGAGUGUUUCAUUUGAAUCAUAGCUUAUUGUAAAGAAGAGCUCUGAGUUGGGAAUUCAGACCAGAGUCCAAGGAUAUGAAUUAAAGACUGAAGAAUUAGAGACUUUGUAGCGACAUUUGAGUUAUUACCAUAAGCCCUUCCUUCAGUGCCAACUGCCGGGCCAUGUUGACUGCAUCUUCACUAGAAACCUGGAUCGUGAAGCUUGAAACUCGGUCAAGUGAAAUUGGGAAUGACUGUUGGAGCUAUAAAAUUACCAAAAAUGAAUUCAUACCGUCAUACCAUCAUACCAAUCAUACAGUUAACAUUGCUUACCAUGAGAACUUCUUCCAUUACAUCCAUGUCCAGGAUAUCUGGUUUGAAUCCAACCCCAUUGCCUGUAAUAUGAUGAGGACCUGUUCCAAUUGACAGCAUUAGGGACUGUAACUCAAGCCAUAAAUGAGCUUUCAAUAACACAGGAUUAACACCAUAGUGACUUAUGAUCAUAACAACAUAUGUUUCCACUAAUGUUCCGUUUGGUAGAGCAGAGGACAUAGGAAAAGAGGGGAACAGUUGGAAUCUUACAACUCUUCCAACCCCAGACAUGUUUAGCCUCCUCUCCUUAUUUUCUUUUAUUCUGUACUAUUCUUAGCAACCAAACAGAGGGUACACAGAAAAUCUCCCUGAGAAGAAUACAACAAGAUAGAUUAUAGAAUUGAGACAUUACCUGGCUUACCACCAUUCAGUACGUUGCUUUCAGUUGGCUCAAGUCCAUAUAUCUACCAUAAUAGAUUACAAAAAAAGAAAAAGAAAAAUCAACAAAAACAAAAGAAGAGCUACAAUUCAAUUCAAGCUACAAUAUACCUUGACAGAGAUGAAAUAGGUAGAAGGAUUAUUACCUUAACAUUAGGAUUCUGGGAUUUCAGAUAACGUCCAACCCCAGAGACAGUGCCACCGCUACCAAUUCCCAUUAUAAAUAUGUCAACUUGUCCACGAGUAUCCUCCCAUAUCUCUGGACCUGUAGUUUCAAAAUGCACCUGUUUUUCGAUUUUUGAGGUCAAUCAUAUACAUACCAUCCACAAAGCAAUCUACCUUGAAUAUCUCAUACCAUGUUUAGCAAAAUCAGGAACCGGGUAAACAAAAUCAGGAACCAGGUAAACAACUAGUACAGGAAAAUUCAGAACAUUUGGGACAAACACAGCUCUGAAAAAACCUAUGAAAAGUGGAUAUGAAGGGAAAAAAAUCAUGGGGAUGGUGAAUAGGUACCUGGGUAUUGGCAGGAUUUGAAAAUUGUUGAAGCAUGAAAGCAUCUGGGGUGGAUUCCAAAAGCUCAUAAGCCUUUUUAACUGUUCCUCCCAUCCCCUUGGUGGGAUCAGUGAGAAUCAAAUCAGCCCCAAAUGCUCUCAUGGUCACUCUCCUCUCCAAGCUUGUGUAGGAAGGCAUGGUCAGAACCAUCUUGUACCCUUUCAUGGCCGCCAUAAACGCCAUGCUAAUCCCCAUAUUUCCCGAUGUGGGCUCAAUCAGCACAGUCUAACAAACACACAUCAGGAAUCAGACAAAUCCCAAAAACUCUAGCCAAUAUGGUACCAAAAAAAAAAAAAAAAUUAGUAAUCUAACCUUCCCAGGAGUGAUCAACUGUUUGUCUUCUGCAUCUGUGAUCAUGGCUAGUGCUGGCCUAAAGAGUAGAAACAAACAAAUACAAAUCAAAUAUAUAAGCCCUAUCUGUAAAAGCACUAUCUGCAGUGAAUUUCAGGGUACCUGUCUUUGAUGCUAGCAGUGGGUUGCAUCAUCUCUUGCUUGACAGCUACAUAAGCUCCACACCCUUCUGUGACUUUGUUCAGAAAAACCAGAGGAGUCUUCCCAAUAAGCUGAACCAUGAAACAAAAGUGAAUUCCAACGGCCAAAACGAAGGAUUUGAAUGAACUAAACAGCUCAAAUUCAUAAAAAAAAUUCUCUCCCAACCCAAAAAAACCAUGAACACCCAAAACGGAGAAAAUCCGAAACAAGGCCAGUCAGAGAAACGGAGAAAUUUAAAACGACGUCGUUUCCUGAGCGGAUUGCUGAAAUUAAACUGUUUAACUGUUUCUUUCCGCAGUUUCCUACUCCACCAAACACAUUUGUUAUAAAAAUAAUCAACGAAUGGGAAGAAGAGAGAGAAAGAAAAAAGAAAUACCUGAGAAACUUCUUUUUUGAUGUUGGUCCCUGGAAGAUCCUUGGGCAGAUCUCUGAUUCUCUGGGAAAAAGACGGAGAAUCGAGGAUAGGUUGAGUGGAGAACCAUCUGCGUAUAGCGAGACUGGUAAAGGGUAUCGACGAUUUUCUCUUGAAGAAGCUCGAGAGAGCCGCCAUUGAUGAAGAGCUUCUUCACUGUACCUCAAAACUCUCUUUGACUUCUGCUCUUUCGAGACAACAAGUGUGAGGUGUGAGUAAGGUUAUAUAAUAAAUAAAUUUGGAGAAGAAGAAAUGAAGAGUACGUAAAUCGCAUUUUCCACCCCUGAAAUUUUUAAAUAAUUGCGAGUAUUGCUUCUCUUUUUUGAGAAAUUGCAUUAAUGGCUCGCUUUUUAAUUUUAAUUUAAAAAAAUGGGGCUGCCAUCUGCCAUCGUGUGGAGCAGCGAAUGUGACCAUUUUUGAGGAAGGUUUGGUAAAAAAGGAAGUACGUGAUCUUCGAUUUGCAGCCGCCCAUGUUAACCAUGGAUGAUGGAUGGAAAAUGAUGUCAUGUUUGGCGAGAAAAUUCCUUUUUGUUAAAGAAAAUUCAACGCUGCCUUUUGAAAAUCACCCAUUUUUGAAAAGGAAUUAAAAAGAAUGGCUUAAAGUUGAUAAUUUUCUAAAAAUAGAAGAGUUUUGAAACAAGAUAGACUGACAGAUCUAUGAAUGUCUUCGAAAGAUAACUUGAAGUUGGUCAAUUUAAUGUUGACUUUUUAUUUGGGGUUGAUAGGUAUAAAUAAAUUUAUUUUAAAUUAUUUUACUUUCUGGAAAAUGUUCUUAUAAUAGACCAAGAAAUUCUUUGAUAUAAAGAAAAAAUAAAAGAGAUAAAUACUAUGUUUGGUUUCAAGAAAAUACGAGGGAAAGAAAAUAGGAAGAAAAGGUAAAAAGGAAUGAAAACGAAAGAAAAUAAGAAAUAGAGUUAAAGUCAUUAAAUUAUUUUUAUUUACUACUUCAAACUCAUUUUAUUUUUUUUAAUCCAUCAAUAUAAAGAUUAAAUAAUUUAAAAUAUAUAAAUUUUUAAAUAAUUUUAAUUAUAUUUAAUUUUCUUUGAAAUUUUUUAUAUGACAAUCAAAUAUGAGAAAAUUAUUUUUUUUAAAUAUUUUUUUUAAUUUUCUUAGCAUUUUUUGAGAAUCAAACAUAGUAAAAGCGUUUCUAAGAAUUUAAAAAUAUUUUUAAAAUUUUAUAAAACAUUUAAAUUUUUUUCAAAAACACUUAUUAGACUAAAAAAGUUUUUUUGAAUUAUUGUCAAAUGAAUUCUAAGGAUGAAAAACUUAUUAUUUUAUUUAUUUAUUUUUAUUUAAAAAAAUAAUUAAUAAAUUCAAAAACUACUUUUGAAAACUUGUUAAACCACAACAUAUGCCUCUCCAAUCCAGAGUCUGUUGGAUUGGGAUGAAGAUGAGGAGAUUGAGGAGAAUGGAUGAGAGGUGUGGAAUAACUUGGAAACUUUACCAAAUAAAUCUUUCCAAAUUCCAUGAAUCAAUGUCACCUUUUAAAAGGAAAAAGACAAGGCAACCUUGCGUGCCUUUUGAAAAGGGGAAGAAGAGAGGUCCCUCCAUAUCUUCACCUACCAUUCCCUCGAAAGCAAAUGGAGGCCUACACGUAUUUAAUUAUGAAAAAAGAAACUAUAUAAUAAAAUAACAAAAUGGGUGCUCCAAAUUUCAAUCACAAAUUAUGGUGACACCUGACGUAUGGAUGAUGAAUUAUAUGUGAAUAGGGGUAUAAACUAUUUAAAAAUUUUUUUAACACGGUUUGAUCAUUGUUUUUUAAAAAUAAAAUAAAAUAAAAAAUAAUUUUUAGAGAAUAAGUAUAAAUUAUUUUUUCUAUUUUUUUAAAUUAUAAAACAAAAACAGUUUUUUAAAAUAAUUUUUUAAAAACACGUCCAAAUGUAGCGUUUAUAUCCCUCCUUCAGGAAAAGAUAAAUUAUGCAAAUGGUUAAAAUUAAGAUUUGGUGGUUGCGUGGUUCAAUUUGAUAAAGAAUUCAUGUACCAAUUUCAAAUAUAAAUAAAUCUCAUUGGGUAAGACCAUGUAAUAAAGAAUACGCAUAUAUAUACAAUUUGGUAAGACCAUAUAAUAAAAUAUGUUAGGGUCAAAAUCAUGUAUUUUUGUUUACUUCUUCUUUUGGCCUAUCCUUACCUUCUUCGGCUCUUUUUCAAAAUAACGAAUCUAGAGCUUAGAAAUAUUUGAAGGCAACUAGAAUCAAAGACUUGAAUAAAUUUUGUAGUAUUCAAAUGGUCGAUAUUUUGAUUAAAAAAAAAAGGAAAUUGAGAAAAAAAAGUACAAGACCAUUAUGAUGAUAAAAUUAAGAAAAAUGAAUAUUAAAAAAUAUAAAUUAAAAAUAAGAAAAACUUUAUUAGCCUUAUAUUUCUUCAUAUAUUCAUUUAUUUUAAUAGUUAUUAUUUGGGAGCAUAUCUUAAAAAUAUUUAUGUUAAAACUUGAGAUGAUUUUAAUAUUUUUUUUUAUAAUUUAAUAUAAUCUACUUUUCUAUAAAUAAUAAUUUUUAAAAAAAUUUAUAUUUGAUUUUGGAAAUAUAUUUUCUAAUAUUUAAAAAAAAAUUCUAAAUAGAAAUGCCUCGUAAACAUUGAGACAUCUACUAAAAGAACAAAUAUACAUAAAAAAAAAAAAACUAAUUUCAUAAUUCAUAGAAGAUUCGUUUCCCCAAAACCAAACAUUAUAUUGGGUUGAAUAUUUGGAAUUAUAUCUAAAUUAUUGUUACUUGUCAAGUAAAUAUAAUAUGGUGUCAAAGUCAUCAUUAAUUAUAAUAAAAAAGAUUCUGUGCUACCAUAAAGACAAACUUAUCAUUGAAAAAGAUGAAUAAAUUGAUUCUAAUGUUUGAUUUAUUUGUUAUAUACUAUGAUCCACCCACUAAGAACAAUUUAAAAAGAGGUCACAAAUCAAAAGAAAAUAAAAAAUUGAUAAAUAUGCUCAAGAUUUUAUAGGGUCUUGGUAAUUUCAAGAUUAAAUUUGUUAUUAAAGUUGAAAAAAAUUCAAAUUAAAAUAUGUUUAUUUUAAUUUUAUAUGGUAUGGUGUUACUUAACACAUAGUGAUAUCUAUUUUUUAUUUUUUAAUUUUUCAUUCCUAUUAAUUAGCCCAAUAUAAAUGAAUCUUUAAUAUGUUACUAUAUUUAACUCUUAUAUUAAGUUUUUUUUUUUUAAAUAACACCGAAUAAUAAUAAAAAAAAUAUUUCUUUUUAUGUCUUAUUUAUUUAUUUUUUAAAAUGUGUUUGUUUUAUGAUUGAUAGAGUUUUCUUUAUAAUUGUCAUAAUGGUAUAAAAGUUUAGCCUCUUUUGUUUUGUAUUUUUUGUUUUGUUUUGUUUUUUUGUUUUUAAAUCCUUUGUUCUAUUAGGGAUAAAAUGGGAUGAGUAGUUAAAAAAUCUAUUUUAUUGUCAUCUUUAAGUUAUAUAAAUAAGAAUUUUAAAGUUAAAAAAUUCUUUUAAUAUAUUUCUUUAAAUUUAUUUCACUUAUUUUUUUCAAAUGAAAUAAUUUUAAAAUGUAUGAAUUUUUAACUAAUUUUAAUUAUAUUUGAAUUCCCUUUUGAAUUAAACUGUUUUUUUUAAAAUAAAAACAAAAAAGUAUGGAUCAACUCAAAGGUAAAAAAUAAAUAAAUAAAUAAAAUCGAACCUCAAGUCUAUCAUCAUAAGAUACCAUUUAAUAUUUGACAAUCCAAGGUCAUUAUCAUUUAUCAUUAUAAUAUCCUCUACAUGGAUAAAAAAUAUAAAUUUGAUAAAUCUAUAUUUAUUAUUAAGUUAUAUUAUAGAUUAUUUUAUAAUAUUAUUAUGAUAAUAUGUUUAAUUUAAAAAUAUAUUUAAUAUUAAAAUUAUGGUCCAUUUUAAUUUAAAUGUAUUCAAUGAUAUCAAAUAAAUAAUAAUAUAUGCAUAAUUUUUUUAAUAUUUAUUUUAAUUAUAUUUAAUAAAUAUAUAGAUUAUAUAAAAAGACCUAUUCAGAAAAUUAUAUUUUUAUAUUUUUGGUAAUAAAUUAAAUCAAAUAUAAAAUAUAAAAUAAUUAUAAUUAAUUUAUUUAAUAAUAAAAAAUUAAAAAAUCACGGUAAAAUAUCCAUAAAUAUUGGUUGAAACAAUAAAAAAUCGAAAAAUUAAUAAAAUAUUUGAAAAUAUUGGUUUACGGAUAUAUCUUUCCGGAUUUUAUAUCCGAAUCCACAUUUUGACUAUAUAUCAUGAUAUUUUAAUCUUUGCAUAGGCAUUCACCCGUCCUUCAUUUUUCCAUCACCUUCUCCCUCUUCUAGAUGAGAACGAGACUAAUGGCUUUGCCCUCAAGUUCAGAUUGGCCAUCACUCCCUAUAAAUCUUCUCGAUUCGAUCUUAGAUUACUUAGUGCCCAUGGAGGACUACCUCACAUUCAGUGAGGUUUGCAUUGAAUGGCACUAUGCAGUUCGUGGAAAACUUCAGCAUUUACGCUCUAACCAUAAACGCCAUCGUCGGCUGCACCAACAAGUCCCAUUGUUAAUGGCUCCCCUCGCAGGUAAUCCCAGAGAUAGGUGCUGUUUAUAUGACGUCAUGAAAGGAAAAAGCCUUUGGGAGGUUCAGUUGAGGCUGCUGGGGCGAUGGAGGUGUGAGGGAUCUUCUCAUGGCUGGUUUUGCGGGCUGUCGGCCAAAUUCUAUUUACUUCUGCCAAGGUCGUAGUAUGUCAAAUCCUUCAGACGGAAGUGUUUAUGUUUUUGUUUUCAGUCUAAAUGAUAGGACUGUUACACCACUUUACCCAUAUUCCCGACAACCUUUACUUUGGAUUUCUCCAAAAUUUGUGUGAAGCUAUUAUUCUCUUUUAUUUGUUUAUAUUUAUCUUUCUCCUAAUAUAAUGGAAUCAACAUUAUGUUACGGUGUGUUCACAGAGAAUAGAGAAAUUUUCUUAAUAGUAUUUCAAUGAGAAUAAGCCAUAUAUUUUCAUUUUUAUAUAUACUUUUAUUUUAUUUUAUUUUUUAAAAGUAAUUAAUAAAUUCAGAAACUAUUUUGUCAAACACAAGAUAUACCUAUUGAAUGUAAAGUUUGCAUUGGAAUGUAAACGAGAAUGGAUGAUAGGUGUGGAAUAAUUUGGAAACUUUGCCAAUUAAAUCCUUUCCAAAUACCUUUUAUUUUUAUUUUUUAUAAAGCAUAAAUAAUUAUUUUUUGAAUUUCAAACUUAUAGGCAUUGUUUAUAAAAAAAAAAUUAUUUUUUAUUUAAUUAUGUAUAUAAAUGACAAAGUAAUACGGGUGGAAUAAGAUAAUACUAGAACCAAUAUUUUCUUAAACAUGUUUCUAAAUAGGAUUUUUCAAAAAUCCGUCAUGUUCCAUCAAAAUGAGACAAGUGCUUUGAAAAAUCUAUUUCAUUUUCAAAAAUCCGUCAUGUUUGAUAAUGAGACAGGUGCUUUGAAAAAUCUAUUUCAUUUUCAAAAAUCCGUCAUGUUCUAUCAAAAUGAGACAGGUGCUUUGAAAAAUCUAUUUCAUUGUCAUCUUUUGAAGCUAAGGAAGAGGAGAACUCAAAGUUAUUUUGGUAUUACUAACAUAAAAUCAUUAAUUUUUUUUUAAUCUAAAAUGUAAGUAAUUAUAUUAAAUUGUUUAGUUCUAUAGUAAGGUGAUGUUUAUUUAUUUUCACUUAAUUUAAAUAGAAUUUAAGAUUAAAUGGUGCUUGUUAAGUAUUAAGUUAUUUGCUUUUUUAAAUAUUUUAUUUUUAUUAAGUAUUAAAAUCAAUAAGUUACUUUUAACCUUUCCAAAAAGUAAAAUAUUUAAAAUUUAUAUGAUAUAGUGUUACUUAACAUAUGAUGAUGUUUGCUUUUUUAUUUUUUAUUCUUAUUUGAAUGACUUAAUCAAUUAAUCAGACCAAUAUAAAUGAAUCCUUAAUUUGUUACAAUAUUUAACUCUUUUAUUAAUUUUUUUUUCUAAGUAACACUCAAUAAUAGUAAAAAAAUAGAAUGAAUUUUCUAAUUAAGAAGAUAAAUAUUUCUUCUGUGUCCCUUUUCUUUUGUAAAAAAAUGUGUUUGUUUUAUAAUUUAAUUUUUUUUUAUAGAGAAACUUUAUAUUGUCUCAAUGCUCAUGAUGUUUAGUGCCUUUUGUUUGUUUGUUUGUUUUUUUUUUUUUAAAAUAGGGUUGAUAGGGUUUUAGAAGGUAUUUGAAUCAAUCAAACUCUAAAGCUAUGUUUGAUUUUAGAAAAAAUUGAGAAAAAAUGUGAGAGAAAAACAUGGGGAAGAAAAGUGAAAGAAAAGAAAAAACUAAGGAAAAUAAAAAGUAAAUUCAAAAUUAAAAAAUUCUUUUAAUAUACUCCUUUAAAUUCAUUUAACUUAUUUUCUUUCAAAUUAAAUAAUUUUAAAAUACAUGAAUUUCUAAGUAGUUUGAAUUAUAUUUGAAUUCUUUUUUGAAUUAAUUUUUUUAAUAAAAAAAUAAAGAUAUUGGAUCAACUCAAAGGUUAAAUAAAAAACCGAUCCUCAAGUCUAUCAUCAUAUUAUACCAUUUAAUAUUUAACAAUCCAAAUUAUCACUUAUCAUUAUAGUUUAAAAUAAUAGUUUCUCGUUAAAAAAAUACAAUAUCUAACAAAAAUAAGCCCUAACCAUCACUCACGUCAUCUCAUAUUUAUUUAUUUAUAUUUUAAAAUAUAUUUAAAAAUAAAUAAAUUUAUUUAAUGUAAAAUGUCUCUUUUUUUUGUUUUUUUUUGACAAAAAUAAUAAGCAGGUUUGAAGUUUAAGGAUUAUUUAUGAAUUUUUGUACAAUUUUACACCUAAACCUUCAUAGGUUGAAAUUAAGACUCGGUAGUUGUGUGGUUCAAUUUUACAAAGAAUUCAUGCCCCAAUUUAAAAAAUAAAUACAUAUUGUUUGGUAAGACCAUGUGAUAAAGAAUGUUCAUUGUCGAAACUAUGUCUACAUAUAUUAUUUGGUAAGACUAUAUAAUAAAGUAUGUUAGGGGUCAAAAUCAUGUAUUUUUGAGGUUUCAACACACUUGAACAAAAAGAAAAUAAAAAUAUGCUAUUGUGAUUAACUAUGAGAUAUAGGAUUUGUGAAUAAUAAUAAUAAUAAAAUUAUUUAAUAGAUGAAUAAUUAAUUUAAGUAUGUUUAUAUAUAAAAAAAAGAAUAUAUAUUAAAAACUAUAGACAAUAAGGCUUUGAAAAUAGAAAAUCAAGUAAAUAAAUAAUUUUUUUUCUAAAAAAGAAUAAUAUAUAUGAAAGAAUAAAGAUAUACAGAAAGCAUUUUUACAAAGUAAAUUAUUUAUUUAUUUAUUUAUUUUAUAAAAAGAAAUAAUAUAUAAUAAAGAAAUAUGAAAAUUAAAUAAAUAAAUUAUAUAAAAUUUGUUAUAUAUAUGAAAAAUAAAGAAAUAUGGGAAAGAAGGUUGAUUAAAAUAUGAAAAUAGAAGGUUUAAAAUUUAGAGUAAUGGAUAAGUAAAGUUUUAAAAUUUAGAAUGGUAAAAAGAAUAUUUUUAAUGCAUGAUCAGAUAUUUAAGAAAAUUUCAAAAUAUAAAUUAUUUUAAAAAAAUAAGAAGUAAUCUACAAAGAGGAUUCUUUAAUAUAUAGACAUAGAUAUAAAUUAAACUAAAAUAUUUAUUAUAAGAUUAAAUUUUAUUAUUAAAUUCUAUAAAUCUAGAGAGUUACAUUGGAUUGAAAUUAGGUUUCUAGACCUAAUUGGAUCGUCAUUCCUAAAUGUAUAUACACAUGCACCGCCCUUUAUUUUUUCUUAUACGUUAAACCAUAGUUUGUUAAACCCUAAUUUUUCCUCUUCUCGAUCACAAUCAGAAUAAUGGCUUUGCCAAGAUCAGAUUGGGCAUCACUUCCUAUAAAUCUUCUCGAUUUGAUCUUAAAUUAUUUAGUGCCCAUGGAGGACUACCUCAGAUUCAGUGAGGUUUGCAUUGAAUGGCAAUAUGCAGUUCGUGAAAAACUUCAACAUUUGCGCUCUAACCAUAAACGCCAUUGUCGUCUGCACCAAAAAGUCCCAUUGUUAAUGGCUCCUACCACAGAUAAUACCAGAGAAAGGUGCUGUUUAUAUGACGUCAUGACAGGAAAAAGCCUUUGGGAGUUUCAGUUGAGGCUUGGGCGAUCGAAGUGUGAAGGAUCUUCUCAUGGCUGGUUGAUUCUAGUUGAAGAUGAUUCUUAUAAGGUAACCCUCUUCAACCCAUGCUCCUCGAAGCUCAUUCAUCUUCCUCCUCUAGAAAAACCAAUGUCUUUUGAAUAUUCUGGUCGUAUAUAUGAGGAAAGUUUCCCUUCUUCCCGGAGGAGGAGUGUAUUGUGUAUUGAUCCUGAUGUGAAUAGGGAUGAGUUUGUACUCAUGAUGACAUGUGAUGGUUUGAUAAGAAGGGUAGCAUUCAUUAAAUCAGGAGAAGAAGACUGGACUUAUAUUGAAGGGUUGCAGGAUGUGAAAGACAUUGUCUACAGUAAUGGGUUCUUCUAUGUAUUAGACGGAUGGGGUGUGCUCUUUUCUUGUGAUGUGAGUAAGGAUUUGAAAGUGAGAAGGAUUACUUCACCUGAAAAUCUGUGUGGUCUUGUCUUAUAUUUGGUGGAAUCUCCCGAAGGAGAUUUCUUACGGAUCGUAAAGCAAAAGUAUACAGGGAAUUUUGUGAUUUAUAAGUUAGUAUGGUUUUCAAAGAAUCCAAGAUGGGAGGAGGUUACGAGUUUGGGCGAUGUGGGUUUGUUUUUGGGAGAGAAUCAUUCGACUUCUGUUAUAGCUUCUGAUUUUGCGGGAUGCCGACCAAAUUCUAUAUACUCCAUAAAACCUUGUAGGUAUCCAAAUGAUUCAUAUGCAAAUGUUUACGUUCUCAGUCUAAACGAUAGGACUGUUACACGGCUUUAUCCACGUUCCCGAUCACCCCUACUUUGGAUUUCUCCAAAAUUUAGGUGAAGCUAUUAUUCUCUUUCAUUGGUUUAUGUUUCUCUUUCCCCUCUGUAAUUUUUGCCCAUAUAAUGAAAUGAACAUUAUGUUACAUUAUGUUAUGGUGUGUUUUAUAGGGUUUUUUUUAAUGGUGUGUUUGGUAGAGAAGAAGUCCAUAUAUUUUUUAUUUUUAUAUAUAAUUUUAUUUUAUUUUAUUUAAAAAUAAUUCAUAAAUUCAAAAACUAUUUUGUGGAAGACAAGAUAUACAUUGGAAUGAAAAUGAGAAUGGAUGAGAGGUAUGGGAUAAUUUAGAAACUUUACCAAUUAAAUCCUUUCCAAAUACCUAAUUUUCUAAAGCAUAAAUAAUUAUUUUUGGAAUUUCAAAAGGGAUUCUUAAAAUUCAAAUGAAAAAAAAAAAAAAUCUCUUUUUAAUAAAUUUAUCUAAAAUAAAAUGAUUUUUUUGUUUUGUUUUGGCACUUUUUUUUUUCUAUUUAAGGUUUGAACUUUUAUAAAGAAGUCACAUCCUAAAUUCAAAUAUAAACACAUAUUAUUUGAUAAAUCUAUUUAAUGGAAAAUAAAAAUAAUUACCAUUUGGGAUUUUUAAAAAAUUUAUAUUAAAAUUUGAGAUAACUUUGACAUUAUUUUUUUGUGUGUUUAAAUUCAAUACAAUCUACUUUAAAAUUUAUAUCUUGUACCCUUAAAAUUUUAUUUCACAUUUCAUUUUGAAAUACAUUUUCUAAUAUUUUUAAAACUUUUCUAAAUAGAAAAAAAAAAAAGUGAUCCGACGAUAGGGAAUGAACUCAAUAGUCUAUCAUCAUAUUUCAACAUUUAAUAUUUAACACUAUCUAAUAAAAAUAAGCCCUCUCGAAAGGCCAUGCAAUAAAGUUUCACCUUCAUAGAUACCUACUCAUUGAGUUUUUAUAAAGAAAUAAAUACAAUAAUAAAUAAAUAUAAAAAUUUAAGUAAAUAAAGGUUUAUUACAAUAGAAAAAUACUGUAGGUAGCAAAAACAAGCCCUAACCCCCAACCCCUCGAAAUAAAGCUCUACCUACUAAUUAGCUAUGAAAGAUAGGAUUUAUGCCUUCAAUAACAAUAUUAAUAUAAUAUAGAUAGGAAUAAAUACAUAAAUGGAUAAUUUGGUAAAUAUAUAAUUCCAAUUUCUUUAUAUAUAUAAAAAAAUAAAAUAAGGUUUUGAAAAUAGAAAAUCGAGUAAAUAAAUAAAUUAUUUAUUUAUUUAUUUUUAAAAAGAAUAAUAUACAUGAAAGAAUAAAGGAAUAGUGAAAGAAUGUUUACUAAAUAAAUUAUUUAUUUUAUAAAAAAUAAUAUAUAUUAAAGAAAAAUGAAAACUCAAAAAUAAGUAUAUAUAUAUAUUGUUAUAAAAUAUGAGAAUUUAUUGGAUUAUGAGAAUUAUUACCAUAUAUAUAUUUCUCUUCAUACAUUCUAAUUUCUAUUUUUUUUUAUAAUAUAUAUGGAAAUAAAAGGAUUAAUUUUUCUUUUUAUGUUGCACAUAAGAAAAUUUAAAUAUAUGAGUAUUUUAUGCCAAACAGAUCUAAAAAGUUUUAUCUAAAUUUAAAUAUUAACAGUACGUGGAGAUUGAAGAACAAAUGUAUGGAAAAAAAAAAUGAAAAUAGAAUGAUAGAAUAUUUUAUAAUGGAUGAGAAAUUUUCAAUAAGUGAAUUAGUUUUAAAAAAAAUAAAAAAAAAGUCUACAAAGAGGAUUCUUCUAGAUAUAGAUAUAAAUUAUUUUAUUAUUUACAAAUUAGAUUGAAAUUAAGGUUCCAAACCAAAUUGAUUAUAGCUAGGGUUUUGUUUUGUCCUCAUUCCUAUAUAUAUAUAUAUAUAUAGGCCUGCAUCAGUCCUUUCUUAUACGUUAAACCCUAAUUUUUUAUCAUCUUCUUCCUCUUCUCGAUCACAAACAGUAUAAUGGCUUUAUCCUUAAAUUCAGAUUGGGCAUCAUUGCCUAGAAAUAUUCUCAAUUCGAUCUCAGAUUACUAAGUCCAAACAAUAUCAAACAGAGUAUGAGCUUAUUAUUUUCUUUCAAACUAAAACUCUCAAUGAGUGACACACAUACAGAAUUAUAUGAACAAAACAUGAAUAAAACAUAACAGAGUCAAACUAAGUCCAAACAAUAUCAGAGUAUAGGCUUAUUAUUUUCUUUCAAACUAAAACUAUCAUCAUUGGAGACAUGAAAAAAGCUUAUUAUUUAUAUUCUAUCUUGAAGCAGCGCCGGUCCUCAAGAAUAGCAAUGCUAUGCAAGAGAUCGCAAGGCAAUGCUAUCCAAGACAUCGCAAGUGCAGGGAAAUUCAACAAUUGCAUUCUUUAAAUGUUUGGUUUUCAACUCCUCUAGCAUUAUAUAGCGUGCAAGUUCGAACGUGUACCGUUUAGAAGAAGUAGAGCAUACAGGUACGAUUUCAACUGUUGAUGGCACUAUUCAAAUGGAAUUGACCAUCGUUCAAUGUGUCGAAUGUCAAAUUCAUUGCGGGUUGAGAGUUGUAAGAUAAUCAUUUUCCAUUUUUUCUCCAAUUUUCUUUUUUCAUUUUUUUAAUCAAUAUUCUAAACCCUAUCUAUACCUUAUUCAAAAUGCACUUCCCACACAUUCUACCGGGUUACUAUACUCUACAUGUAAGGUAUGUAUAAAAUCAUUUAAUAUUUUUAUUGAAAAAAAAUGUUUUUACAUUUUUAAAGUAAAAAAAUCAUGAUUUUAUAUAAGAAGCUACUUAUGACAAGAAUUCCAAAAAAUCUUUAUAAUUUUAUAUUAGCUUCCAUUUAUCCGUGGAUAUUUGCAGAUGCCUACAAAUUUUCUUAUAAGUUUUGUUUAUAGGGCUACUAUACUUGAGCGGGUACAUAGAGUCGCGCACGCAAAUUGUACACGACAAUUAUUUCCAAAAUACAUUUAUUCGAUUAAAUUUUAAAUUUAAUACAAAGCUUAUAAGAAAGUUUCAACAACUAUUGCAAUUCAAACGUGUAUCGUUUAGAAGAAGUAGAGCAUACAAGUACGAUUUCAACGGUUGAUGGGAGUAUUAAGAUGGAAUUGACCAUCGAAUGUCAAAUUCAUUGCGACUUGAGAGUGAUAGAAUAAAUAUGGACCGACAAUAUAUUAAACAUUGUCCAGGAUUAAGCUAUCUUUUAACAUGCAAUUUCUGAUUUAAUCUUGAGUAUGGGCCACCUAAUGUGUAGAGUCCAAUGCCAUCACGGGCUUUAGAUGAUGGGCCUAAGGUCCGUGAGGCCCAAUAACCAAUGGGUAUGGUCCCUAAGGCAGGAGGGUAUAAAAGGGCUUUGACUUGUGUCUUUUGGAUAAUCACAUCUUUUGAAAAGAACUGAACCGCUCUCUCUCCCGCUCCCAUUGCCUGAGAGAAUCCAAAGGUGGUGCCCUCCAUCAAUCUUAGAAGAUUCAUACCGUCUUCAUCAAAUUCACACAUGGAUUCAGGUUGGUACAAUUUUUAAUAAUAAUCAUGGCAUAGUUUCUUCAUGUGAUUCAACAUACGAUCCUAUAUGAUCAUUGAAUAAAUAGAAUAUGAAAUCUUACAAUUGGUAUCAGAGCCAUUGUUGGAUCAAUGAGAAAUAGCAUGUUAGGGCAAUAAAAAUUGUACUGUUCAGCGCCAUUGGAAGUGCGUUUCACGCACAUUUGGAGGCACCAGAGAAGGCGCCAGUGCAGGCGCCACUCAGAUGCCAUAAAGGCGCUGUUAUGCAGCGCCUUUCAGGGCGUCUCUCCGACGGCGUUAAGGCACCAGUCAAGGCGCUUCAGGCGGCGCGUUUCAGGCGCGCUGCAGCCGCGACUUCCGACGCCGUUCCGGGGGGGCGCUUCAGGCGCACUGGUGCGCGCUUCAGGCGCGCUGGUGCGCGUUUCAGGCGCGCUGCUGGUGCGCUCUUCAGGCGCGCUGGUGGCGCGCGCUUCAGGUGCGCCUUCAAGCGCUGUCUCCGGCAAAGGGCGCCGUUGGGCUCCAUUGGGCGCCAUUGCAGGCGUUGUGAGGCGCCAUCUCCACGCGUCGUUAGGGCGCGUUAAAGGCGCCACUGCAGCGCUGUUAGGGCGUUUCAUCAGCGCCAUUGGAGGCGCGCUGGAGCGCGGCCGCUACCGGCGUCACUGACGACGCUGCUUCCGGCGCUGGAGCGCCAUGGAGGCGCGCUGGCCUUGUGCCGCCGCGACGCCGCUUCCGGCGUCACUGACGAUGCCGCUGUGCCGGUGCUGUGGUUGCAAACGACCUUGGGUCGUUUGGGCUGCAGUGAACCAAAAAAAAAAAAAAAAAACGACGUCGUUUGGCGUCAAUUUCCUGUGAUAAGUGUUGUUGGAGGCCAACGCCAUGAAUGGCGUUUUUUGAUUAAAAAAAAAAAAAAAAAAACACUAUGUAUUUAUGCAUAAACAAUGGUUCUAGUGGAUCUCCUUGAACCAUUGGACUAAAGCCCAUAAUUUGCAUUUAAUUUAUAUAUAUAAAUGUAUAUAUGGAUAUGUACAUGAGUUUAUGCAUAAAUAAUUUUGAUUAAAUUAUUGUUUGUUGUCUUUAUUUCAAAAUAAAUAAAUUAUAUAUAUUUGUUGCCAAAGUAACGUGUUACAUAAUUUUAUUUGUUUUUGAAAUAUAUAAGCAUGGUAUUAUUGUAUAAAAUAAUCAACCCAAAGGAGGAUUAUUUUAAUAUAAUAAUAAAUAAAGUAAUCAUAAAUAUAUGACAUAUAAUGUUUAUCUUGCAUUGAUAUGUUAGUCCAAAGAUAAACAUAUUGUGUUUGAUUUUAUUGUCAAUAUUUAUGUAUUAAUUUUGUAUAAGGAUACCAAUUACAAGUUAAUAUUUUUGUCCAAAGACUGAAUAUUAAUGUUUGUGCUAGGUAUCUUGCAUGAUGUAUAUUUAUUCAUGUAUGUAUGAUGCUUAUGUGACUAAUUGUGAGCUUUAUUAUUAUGAAUUCAGCAUCUUCUAUAUCUGCAAAUGUUAAUAACAUUCCUGUGCUUAACGGCACAAAUUUCAAGAAAUGGAAAGAGCACGUUAUAAUUGUGCUCGGGUGCAUGGAUUUAGACUUUGCAUUAAGGGAGGAUCGCCCAUCAGAUCUUACUAGUGCCAGCACUGCUGAGCAAAGGUCUACUAUGGAAAAAUGGGAACGAUCCAAUCGCAUGAGUCUAAUGAUUAUGAAGCACUCAAUUCCAGAAGCAAUAAGGGGUGCAAUACCUGAGGAAACCCAAGCCAAGGCAUUCUUGGACCAGAUAGCAAACCGAUUCACUGCAAACGAAAAGGUUGAGAUAAGCACUAUUCUUAGUAAGCUUGUCUCUAUGCGAUAUAAAGGGAAAGAGAAUAUCAGGGAGUACAUUAUGGAAAUGUCUAAUCUUGUGACGAGACUCAAGGCACUAAAGUUAGAGUUGUCGGAAGACAUACUCAUGCACUUGGUCUUGAUCUCUAUGCCUACACAAUUCAGUCCAUUCAAAAUCAGUUACAAUACACAAAAGGAAAAAUGGACUUUGAAUGAGCUUAUUGCUCAAUGUGUGCAAGAGGAAGAGAGAUUGAAGCAAGAAAAGAUAGAAAGUGCUCACUUGGCUUCCACAUCUCAGGGAUUUGGUACCAACAAGAAAAGAAAGAGGGACAAUAAAGGAAAACAAACUGCAGUUUCUGGGACAUCAAAGCAAAAGGAGCAAAAGAAACAAGAUAAGGAGAUCACUUGUUUCUUUUGCAAAAAGGCUGGUCAUAUGAAGAAGACAUGUACCAAAUACGCUGCUUGGCGUGAAAAGAAAGGUACACUUCUCAACUUUGUUUGUUCAGAAAUUAAUUUAGCUGUAGUGCCUACUGACACUUGGUGGAUAGAUACGGGUGCAACUACUCACAUAAGUGUCACUAUGCAGGGUUGCCUAAGGAGCCGAAUGCCAACUGAUGGUGAAAGAUACAUCUAUGUGGGAAAUAGCAACAAGGUUGCAGUCAAGGCUAUUGGUCUUUUUAGAUUACAGUUAGACUCUGGAUGUACAUUGGAUUUGGAAGAGACUUUUGUAGUACCGUCGUUUAGACGGAAUUUAAUUUCUGUUUCAUGUUUGGACAAAUUUGGAUAUUAUUGUUCAUUUGGAAAUGGAAUGGUUAGUCUUUAUCUAAAUUCAAAUAUUAUUGGUACAGGUAGUCUAACAGACAAACUAUAUAAAUUGAACAUAAAGGCCACUAAUGGAAAUGAAACCUUGCAUUCAAGUAAUUAUGGCAUUAAGCGAAAAUUAAUGAAUGAGAAUUCAUCAAUGUUAUGGCACAAGCGUUUGGGUCAUAUUUCAAAUCAACGAAUUCAAAGGCUUGUGUCAGAAGGAAUUCUUGAUCCACUUGAUUUCUCAGACUUUUAAGUCUGUAUAGAGUGCAUUAAGGGAAAACAAACAAAUAUGAGGAAAAAGAAUGCCAAUAGGUGCAGUGACGUCUUGGAAUUGAUACAUACAGACAUUUGUGGUCCAUUUCCUACCCCUUCUUGGAAUGGACAAUAGUAUUUCAUCACUUUUAUUGACGAUUACUCGCGUUUUGGCUAUCUUUAUUUGAUUCAUGAAAAGUCUCAGUCAUUAGAUGUUUUCAAGAAUUUCAAAGCUGAAGUUGAGAACCAACUAAGCAAGAAAAUAAAAGCCAUCAGAUCUGACCGUGGAGGUGAAUAUUAUGGUAGGUAUGACGGAUCCGGAGAACAACGUCGAGGGCCAUUCGCCAAAUAUUUGAUGGAGUGUGGUAUCGUUCCUCAAUACACCAUGCCAGGGACUCCGAGCCAAAAUGGUGUAGUAGAGAGGCGAAACCGUACUCUUAAGGAUAUGGUAAGAAGUAUGAUUAGUCAUUCCACCUUACUAGAAUCACUUUGGGGCGAAGCUAUAAAAACUGCAGUUUAUAUUUUGAAUAGAGUACCAAGCAAAGCAGUAGCCAAAACCCCAUAUGAGUUAUGGACUAGCAAGAAACCUAGUAUUAGGCACUUGCAUGUCUGGGGUUGUCCAGCUGAAGCUAGGCCUUACAAGCCAAAUGAAAAGAAAUUGGACUCCAGAAUAGUGAGCUGCUACUUUGUAGGGUAUUCUGAAAGGUCAAGAGGUUUCAAAUUUUAUGAUCCCUCAACUAGAUCCUUCUUUGAAAUGGGCAAUGCUAAGUUCAUUGAGGAUGUUGAGUUAAGUGGGAGAGAGCCAUUAAGAAAGGUGGUCUUUGAAGAGGAAUUUGUUAAUAUUCCUAUUAUUACGACUGGACAUGGUCAUAUUAUGUUUAAUGACACUAUUCAGAAUGUACAGUCGAUAACAGGGAUUCAAGACACACUUGAGAUUCCUCCUGCUCAAGUUAUGGAACCGAUUCAAGUUCAUCAAGAGGUAACUCAACAACCUCAAGAACCUCAAGUACAAGUGCCACUAAGGAGAUCCACUAGAGAAAGGAGAAGUACAAUUUCAGAUGAUUAUGUUGUAUAUCUCCAAGAACAUGAGUUUGACAUGGGUCUGGAAGACGAUCCAAUUUCAGUAAGUCAAGUCAAACAAAGUUCUAAUUCUGAAAAGUGGAUAGAAGCCAUGAAUGAUGAGAUGAAAUCAAUGAAAGACAAUGGUGUUUGGGACCUAGUAGAGUUGCCUAAAGGUGUAAAACCGAUUGGUUGUAAAUGGAUUUUUAAAACCAAACGGGAUUCAAAAGGCAAUAUUGUUAGGUAUAAGGCACGCCUAGUUGCAAAAGGUUUCACUCAAAAGGAAGACAUUGAUUAUAAGGAGACAUUUUCACCAGUUUCAUCAAAGGACUCCUUUAGAAUCAUCAUGACACUUGUAGCUCAUUAUGAUUUAGAGCUACACCAAAUGGACGUUAAAACUGCGUUUCUUAAUGGCAACAUUGAUGAGACAAUAUACAUGGUGCAACCGGAGAACUUUGAGUCUAAUGAUUCAAAGCAACUUGUAUGCAGAUUAAAAAGGUCCAUAUAUGGUUUAAAGCAAGCAUCCCGACAAUGGUACCGAAAGUUUGAUCAAGUGAUUACUUCAUUUGGUUUUAAAGAAAACACUGUUGAUCAAUGCAUAUACCUUAAGUUCAGUGGGAGCAAAUUCAUUAUCUUGGUGUUAUAUGUUGAUGAUAUUCUACUUGCAAGCAGUGAUGUGGGACUUUUGCAUGAAACCAAGCGAUUUCUGUCUAGUAAAUUUGACAUGAAGGAUCUUGGUAAUGCAUCUUUUGUGCUGGGUAUACAGAUCCAUAGGGAUCGUUCAAGAGGUAUACUUGGGUUAUCACAAAAGGCCUACAUCGAUAAGGUGUUGAGUAGAUUUGGCAUGAGCAAUUGUGCACCAGGAGACACGCCUGUAGCAAAAGGCGAUAAGUUUAGUUUGCACCAAUGUCCGAAAAAUGAACUUGAGAAGAAAGAUAUGGAGAGAUUUCCCUAUGCCUCGGCAGUAGGAAGUCUCAUGUAUGCACAAAUUUGUACGCGUCUGGAUAUUGCGUACAUUGUUGGAAUGUUCGGCAGAUAUUUAAGUAACCCAGGUAUGGAUCAUUGGAAAAAGGCAAAACGGGUUAUGCGGUAUUUACAAAGAACUAAAGAUUACAUGCUCACAUACCGUAGAUCAAGUCACUUAGAGAUCGUGGGAUAUUCGGAUUCCGAUUUCGCGGGAUGUCUUGAUAGUAGGUGAUCCACUUCAGGCUACAUCUUCAUGUUAGCUGGAGGAGCAGUUUCAUGGAAAAGUGUUAAACAAACACUUGUUGCUUCUUCCACCAUGGAGGCAGAAUUCAUAGCCUGUUACGAAGCAUCAAACCAUGGGAUAUGGCUGCGGAAUUUUGUCACUCAGUUACGAAUAGUUGAUGGGAUUGAGAAACCAUUGAGAAUCAACUGUGAUAAUAAGGCCGCAGAAUUAUAUUCUAAGAACAACUGAAGUUCGUCAAAGUCCAAACACAUUGACAUCAAGUUCUUGGUUGUGAAAGAGAGAGUUCAGAGUCUUCAAGUAUCGAUUGAACACAUAAGCACAAACUCCAUGAUUGCUGAUCCGCUCACUAAGGGUUUGCCACCCAAAGUAUAUCAUGAGCACGUCGCACAUAUGGGUGUUGUACACAUUGAUGAUGUGUCAGAAUAGUGGGAGUUUGUAUCUAGAUUUUGUGUUUAUUCUCUUGAUGUGAUAUUAUGUUGUGUUAUCUGUACAGACCUUGAUUUAAAGACUAUUGUAUUUGAACACUCUGAAUUGAAAUGAUGACUUUCAGAAGCAGUUUAACAUCAAGUGUUGAAAGUGUUAUUUAACUAUCUUUUAGUCAUAAAACAGGACCAAUUGGAAAUAGACAUAUUAAAGAUCAUAUUCUAUGUAAUUUCCAUGCUACACAUCCAUACUUGAUCCAUGUUGCUAAUUUUGUUAAUGUUGUGAUUGAUGAUAGGUCAAGUUAUAAUUAUGAUUAACGAAGGCCGCUUUAAUCCUAUGUUAGCAUAAUUAGUAGACCGGAUUGUUUAAGGAUAUUUUGAAUAAGAUAGCAAAGAUGAGCUCAAUAAAGUACUAUCAUGAACAUUGUUUGUAAUAUACAUGUGGUCCAAGUGGGAGAUUGAUAGAAUAAAUAUGGACCGACAAUAUAUUAAACAUUGUCCAGGAUUAAGCUAUCUUUUAACAUGCAAUUUCUGAUUUAAUCUUGAGUAUGGGCCACCUAAUGUGUAGAGCCCAAUGCCAUCACGGGCUUUAGAUGAUGGGCCUAAGGCCCGUGAGGCCCAAUAACCAAUGGGUAUGGUCCCUAAGGCAGGAGGGUAUAAAAGGGCUUUGGCUUGUGUCUUUUGGAUAAUCACAUCUUUUGAAAAGAACUGAACCGCUCUCUCUCCCGCUCCCAUUGCCUGAGAGAAUCCAAAGGUGGUGCCCUUCAUCAGUCUUAGAAGAUUCAUACCGUCUUCAUCAAAUUCACACAUGGAUUCAGGUUGGUACAAUUUUUAAUAAUAAUCAUGGCAUAGUUUCUUCAUGUGAUUCAACAUACGAUCCUAUAUGAUCAUCGAAUAAAUAGAAUAUGAAAUCUUACAGAGAGUUGUAAGAUAAUCAUUUUCCAUUUUUUUCUACAAUUUUCUUUUUUCAUUUUUUUUAAUCAAUAUUCUAAACCCUAUCUAUACCUUAUUCAAAAUGCACUUCCCGCAAAUUCUACCGGGUUAAUGUGUGUAGGGUAUGUAUAAAAUCAUUUUAUAUUUUUAUGCAAAAAAAAAAAAUUACAUUUUUAAAGUAAAAAAAUCAUGAUUUUAUAUAAAAAGCUACUUAUGACAAGAAUUCCAAAAAAUCUUUAUAAUUUUAUAUUAGCUUCCAUUAAUCCGUGGAUAUUUGCAGAUGCUUACAGAUUUUCUUAUAAGUUUUGUUUAUAGGGCUACUAUACUUAGGCGGGUGCAUAGAGUCGCGCACGCAAGUUGCACACGACAACUAUUUCCUAAAUACAUUUAUUCGAUUAAAGUUUAAAUUUAUUACAAAGCUUAUAAGAAAGUUUCGAAUAAGGUAUAAGCUUAUAUGAAAUGGACAAAGGUUCUCAGGACCGGAGCGAUCGAGGCUACUUAUGACAAGAAUUCCAAAAAAUCUUUAUAAUUUUAUAUUAGCUUCCAUUAAUUCGUAGAUAUUUGCAGAUGCCUAUAGAUUUUCUUAUAAGCUUUGAAAUAAAUUUAGAAUUUAAUUGAAUAAUUGUACUUAGGAAAUACUCACAUUGUUUAUAGGGCUACUGCACUUGGGCGGGUGCACAGAGUCGCGCACGCAAGUUGCACACGACAAUUAUUUCCUAAAUACAUUUAUUCGAUUAAAUUUUAAAUUUAUUGCAAAGCUUAUAAGAAAUUUUCGAGACAUCUACACAUAUCUAUGGUUGGUGGCUUUGUGGUAAUUUUUAAUUUUUUUUCUUUUGCUAUAUAUCGGGGUUCUGUAACACCAUUUUUAUGUACGACAAUUAUUUCCUAAAUACAUUUAUUCGAUUAAAUUUUAAAUUUAUUGCAAAGCUUAUAAGAAAUUUUCGAGACAUCUACACAUAUCUAUGGUUCGUGGCUUUGUGGUAAUUUUUAAUUUUUUUUCUUUUGCUAUAUAUCGGGGUUCUGUAACACCAUUUUUAUGUCUAAAGGCUAAGGAUAAAAAUUUGGAGAUUUGAAAUCAUUUAAAAACCAAAAUUAAAGGAAUUAUUAACAAAAUGGAGUUUAGGAAAAUUAUUUUAAAAAUCAUAGGAAAAUUAUAUUGUUCAUAUAAUCUACUUUCAUUCAUGGCUUUGUUGCUUACUUUUUAUGUAGAAUUUAAAAAUUAUUAAUAUUUUGUUAGCAGCUAAAUAUAAUUAAAAAUUAUAACAUGAAUCAAACAUAACAGAGUCAAACUAAGUCCAAACAAUAUCAAACAAAGUAUGGGCUUAUUAUUUUCUUUCAAACUAAAACUCUCAAUGAGUGACACACAUACAGAAUUAUAUGAACAAAACAUGAAUCAAACAUAACAGAGUCAAACUAAGUCCAAACCAUAUCAGAGUAUGGGCUUAUUAUUUUCUUUCAAACUAAAACUAUCAUCAUUGGAGACAUGAAAAAAGCUUAUUAUUUAUAUUCUAUCUUGAAGCAGCGCCGGUCCUCAAGAAUAGCAAUGCUAUGCAAGACAUCGCAAGUGCAGGGAAAUUCCACAAUUUGCAUUCUUUAAAUGUUUGGUUUUCAACUCCUCUAGCAUUAUAUAGGGUGCAAGUUCGAACGUGUACCAUUUAGAAGAAGUAGAGCAUACAGGUACGAUUUCAACUGUUGAUGGCACUAUUCAAAUGGAAUUGACCAUCGUUCAAUGUGUCGAAUGUCAAAUUCAUUGCGGGUUGAGAGUUGUAAGAUAAUCAUUUUCCAUUUUUUCUCCAAUUUUCUUUUUUUCAUUUUUUUAAUCAAUAUUCUAAACCCUAUCUAUACCUUAUUCAAAAUGCACUUCCCACACAUUUUACCGGGUUACUAUACUCUACAUGCAAGGUAUGUAUAAAAUCAUUUAAUAUUUUUAUCGAAAAAAAAUGUUUUUACAUUUUUAAAGUAAAAAAAUCAUGAUUUUAUAUAAGAAGCUACUUAUGACAAGAAUUCCAAAAAAUCUUUAUAAUUUUAUAUUAGCUUCCAUUAAUCCGUGGAUAUUUGCAGAUGCCUACAAAUUUUCUUAUAAGCUUUGUUUAUAGGGCUACUAUACUUGGGCGGGUACAUAGAGUUGCGCACGCAAAUUGUACACGACAACUAUUUCCAAAAUAUAUUUAUUCGAUUAAAUUUUAAAUUUAAUACAAAGCUUAUAAGAAAGUUUCGACAACUAUUGCAAUUCAAACGUGUAUCGUUUAGAAGAAGUAGAGCAUACAAGUACGAUUUCAACGGUUGAUGGGAGUAUUAAGAUGGAAUUGACCAUCGAAUGUCAAAUUCAUUGCGACUUGAGAGUUGUAAGAUAAUCAUUUUCCAUUUGUUUCUACAAUAUCAGAGUAUGGGCUUAUUAUUUUCUUUCAAACUAAAACUAUCAUCAUUGGAGACAUGAAAAAAGCUUAUUAUUUAUAAUCUAUCUUGAAGCAGCGCCGGUCCUCAAGAAUAGCAAUACUAUGCAAGACAUCGCAAGGCAAUGCUAUCCAAGACAUCGCAAGUGCAGGGAAAUUCCACAAUUUGCAUUCUUUAAAUGUUUGGUUUUCAACUCCUCUAGCAUUAUAUAGGGUGUAAGUUCGAACGUAUACCAUUUAGAAGAAGUAGAGCAUACAGGUACGAUUUCAACUGUUGAUGGCACUAUUCAAAUGGAAUUGACCAUCGUUCAAUGUGUCGAAUGUCAAAUUCAUUACGGGUUGAGAGUUGUAAGAUAAUCAUUUUCCAUUUUUUCUCCAAUUUUCUUUUUUCAUUUUUUUUAAUCAAUAUUCUAAACCCUAUUUAUACCUUAUUCAAAAUGCACUUCCCACACAUUCUACCGGGUUACUAUACUCUACAUGCAAGGUAUGUAUAAAAUCAUUUAAUAUUUUUAUCGAAAAAAAAUGUUUUUACAUUUUUAAAGUAAAAAAAUCAUGAUUUUAUAUAAAAAGCUACUUAUGACAAGAAUUCCAAAAAAUCUUUAUAAUUUUAUAUUAGCUUCCAUUAAUCCGUGGAUAUUUGCAGAUGCCUACAAAUUUUCUUAUAAGCUUUGUUUAUAGGGCUACUAUACUUGGGCGGGUACAUAGAGUUGCGCACGCAAAUUGUACACGACAAUUAUUUCCAAAAUACAUUUAUUCGAUUAAAUUUUAAAUUUAAUACAAAGCUUAUAAAUAAGUUUCGACAACUAUUGCAAUUCAAACGUGUAUCGUUUAGAAGAAGUAGAGCAUACAAGUAUGAUUUCAACGGUUGAUGGCAGUAUUAAGAUGGAAUUGACCAUCGAAUGUCAAAUUCAUUGCGACUUGAGAGUUGUAGGAUAAUCAUUUUCCAUUUUUUUUAAUCAAUAUUCUAAACUCUAUCUAUACCUUAUUCAAAAUGCACUUCCCGCAAAUUCUAACGGGUUACUAUACUCUACAUGCAAGGUAUGUAUAAAAUCAUUUUAUAUUUUUAUGCAAAAAAAAAAAAUUUACAUUUUUAAAGUAAAAAAAAUCAUGAUUUUAUAUAAAAAGCUACUUAUGACAAGAAUUCCAAAAAAUCUUUAUAAUUUUAUAUUAGCUUCCAUUAAUCCGUGGAUAUUUGCAGAUGCUUACAGAUUUUCUUAUAAGUUUUGUUUAUAGGGCUACUAUACUUAGGCGGGUGCAUAGAGUCGCGCACGCAAUUGCACACGACAACUAUUUCCUAAAUACAUUUAUUCGAUUAAAUUUUAAAUUUAUUACAAAGCUUAUAAGAAAGUUUCGAAUACGGUAUAAGCUUAUAUGAAAUGGACAAAGGUUCUCAAGACCGGAGCGAUCGAGGCUACUUAUGACAAGAAUUCCAAAAAAUCUUUAUAAUUUUAUAUUAGCUUCCAUUAAUUCGUAGAUAUUUGCAGAUGCCUAUAGAUUUUCUUAUAAGCUUUGAAAUAAAUUUAGAAUUUAAUUGAAUAAUUGUACUUAGGAAAUACUCACAUUGUUUAUAGGGCUACUGCACUUGGGCGGGUGCACAGAGUCGCGCACGCAAGUUGCACACGACAAUUAUUUCCUAAAUACAUGUAUUUGAUUAAAUUUUAAAUUUAUUACAAAGCUUAUAAGAAAUUUUCGAGACAUCUACACAUAUCUAUGGUUGGUGGCUUUGUGGUAAUUUUUAAUUUUUUUUCUUUUGCUAUAUAUCGGGGUUCUAUAACACCAUUUUUAUGUCUAAAGGCUAAGGAUAAAAAUUUGGAGAUUUGAAAUCAUUUAAAAACCAAAAUUGGAGGAAUUAUUAACAAAAUGGAGUUUAGGAAAAUUAUUUUAAAAAUCAUAGGAAAAUUAUUUUGUUCNNNNNNNNNNNNNNNNNNNNNNNNNNNNNNNNNNNNNNNNNNNNNNNNNNNNUUAAGAGCAAGUAGAUUAUUAUUACGCUGAGUUCACGAUCCGACAAUUUAAUAGUGAUUUUAUGUUGAGACAAAAAAAAAUCCCUAAAGUCGGUGCAUAAGGGCCUUGUGAGGAGGUAUGAAGGUCCCUUCCCCAUACUUGGGAAGGUCGGCAAGGUGUCCUAUAGAGUUGAGCUGCCCCCGACGUUGAAGAUUCAUCCUGUCUUCCAUGCAAGCUACUUGAAGCCCUAUCACGGAGACAAGGAUGAUCCAAGCCGAGGGUUGUCUAAGAGCAUACAAGUAUGAUUUCAACGGUUGAUGGCAGUAUUAAGAUGGAAUUGACCAUCGAAUGUCAAAUUCAUUGCGACUUGAGAGUUGUAAGAUAAUCAUUUUCCAUUUUUUUCUGCAAUUUUCUUUUUUCAUUUUUUUUAAUCAAUAUUCUAAACCCUAUCUAUACCUUAUUCAAAAUGCACUUCCCGCAAAUUCUACCGGGUUACUACACUCUACAUGCAAGGUAUGUAUAAAAUCAUUUUAUAUUUUUAUGCAAAAAAAAAAAAAAAUUACAUUUUUAAAGUAAAAAAAUCAUGAUUUUAUAUAAAAAGCUACUUAUGACAAGAAUUCCAAAAAAUCUUUAUAAUUUUAUAUUAGCUUCCAUUAAUCCGUGGAUAUUUGCAGAUGCUUACAGAUUUUCUUAUAAGUUUUGUUUAUAGGGCUACCAUACUUAGGCGGGUGCAUAGAGUCGCGCACGCAAGUUGCACACGACAACUAUUUCCUAAAUACAUUUUUUCGAUUAAAUUUUAAAUUUAUUACAAAGCUUAUAAGAAAGUUUCGAAUAAGAUAUAAGCUUAUAUGAAAUGGACAAAGGUUCUCAGGACCGGAGGGAUCGAGGCUACUCCAUUAAUUCGUAGAUAUUUGCAGAUGCCUAUAGAUUUUCUUAUAAGCUUUGAAAUAAAUUUAGAAUUUAAUUGAAUAAUUGUACUUAGGAAAUACUCACAUUGUUUAUAGGGCUACUGCACUUGGGCGGGUGCACAGAGUCGCGCACGCAAGUUGCACACGACAAUUAUUUCCUAAAUACAUGUAUUUGAUUAAAAUUUAAAUUUAUUACAAAGCUUAUAAGAAAUUUUCGAGACAUCUACACAUAUCUAUGGUUGGUGGCUUUGUGGUAAUUUUUAAUUUUUUUUCUUUUGCUAUAUAUCGGGGUUCUGUAACACCAUUUUUAUGUCUAAAGGCUAAGGAUAAAAAUUUGGAGAUUUGAAAUCAUUUAAAAACCAAAAUUGGAGGAAUUAUUAACAAAAUGGAGUUUAGGAAAAUUAUUUUAAAAAUCAUAGGAAAAUUAUUUUGUUCAUAUAAUUUACUUUCAUUCAUGGCUUUGUUGCUUACUUUUUAUGUAGAAUUUAAAAAUUAUUAAUAUUUUGUUAACAGCUAAAUAUAAUUAAAAAUUAUAACAUCAAUCAAACAUAACAGAGUCAAACUAAGUCCAAACAAUAUCAAACAGAGUAUGGACUUAUUAUUUUCUUUCAAACUAAAACUCUCAAUGAGUGACACACAUAUAGAAUUAUAUGAACAAAACAUGAAUCAAACAUAACAGAGUCAAACUAAGUCCAAAAAUAUCAGAGUAUGGGCUUAUUAUUUUCUUUCAAACUAAAACUAUCAUCAUUGCAGAUGAAAAAAGCUUAUUAUUUAUAUUCUAUCUUGAAGCAGCGCCGAUCCUCAAGAAUAACAAAGCUAUGCAAGACAUCGCAAGUGCAGGGAAAUUCCACAAUUACAUUCUUUAAAUGUUUGAUUUUCAACUCCUCUAGCAUUAUAUAGGGUGCAGGUUCUGAAUCUGCCCGUGAUGAUUCACCCAUCUCAGUGUUGACCGAUCUAAGAAUCUGGUGAGUCCUAUAUAAAAAAAAUUUUAUGUUAAAAAUAUAAAAACAAUUUUUUUUAUAUAAAAUUAAAAAGAGAUUUUAUACCUACUUUGCCAAUAAAAUGUAGUAACCCUUUUGAAUAAUAGGGUGUUCGGGAACUGCAUCCUGAAUAGGUUUUAGCAUAUUGAUUAAAAAAAUGAGAAAAAAAAAUUUAGAAAAAAGGAAAAAUAUUAUCUUACCACUCUAUAGCCACAUUCUUCUUGACAUUGGUCACAUGAAACAAUAGUCGAUGUCACCUUAAUAUUGUCAUUUGGAAUCACACCACGAUGCACUACGUAUCCGUGUACGUUCAAACUGCCAUUUAAUUGUGAUUUUACGUUUGAGACAAAAAAAAAAUCUAAUUAAGAGCAAGUAGAUUAUUAUUACGCUGAGUUCACGAUCCGACAAUUUAAUAGUGAUUUUAUGUUGAGACAAAAAAAAAUCCCUAAAGUCGGUGCAUAAGGGCCUUGUGAGGAGGUAUGAAGGUCCCUUCCCCAUACUUGGGAAGGUCGGCAAGGUGUCCUAUAGAGUUGAGCUGCCCCCGACGUUGAAGAUUCAUCCUGUCUUCCACGCAAGCUACUUGAAGCCCUAUCACGGAGACAAGGAUGAUCCAAGCCGAGGGUUGUCUAAGAGCAUACAAGUAUGAUUUCAACGGUUGAUGGCAGUAUUAAGAUGGAAUUGACCAUCGAAUGUCAAAUUCAUUGCGACUUGAGAGUUGUAAGAUAAUCAUUUUCCAUUUUUUUCUGCAAUUUUCUUUUUUCAUUUUUUUUAAUCAAUAUUCUAAACCCUAUCUAUACCUUAUUCAAAAUGCACUUCCCGCAAAUUCUACCGGGUUACUAUACUCUACAUGCAAGGUAUGUAUAAAAUCAUUUUAUAUUUUUAUGCAAAAAAAAAAAAAAAAUUACAUUUUUAAAGUAAAAAAAUCAUGAUUUUAUAUAAAAAGCUACUUAUGACAAGAAUUCCAAAAAAUCUUUAUAAUUUUAUAUUAGCUUCCAUUAAUCCGUGGAUAUUUGCAGAUGCUUACAGAUUUUCUUAUAAGUUUUGUUUAUAGGGCUACCAUACUUAGGCGGGUGCAUAGAGUCGCGCACGCAAGUUGCACACGACAACUAUUUCCUAAAUACAUUUUUUCGAUUAAAUUUUAAAUUUAUUACAAAGCUUAUAAGAAAGUUUCGAAUAAGAUAUAAGCUUAUAUGAAAUGGACAAAGGUUCUCAGGACCGGAGGGAUCGAGGCUACUUAUGACAAGAAUUCCAAAAAAUCUUUAUAAUUUUAUAUUAGCUUCUAUUAAUUCGUAGAUAUUUGCAGAUGCCUAUAGAUUUUCUUAUAAGCUUUGAAAUAAAUUUAGAAUUUAAUUGAAUAAUUGUACUUAGGAAAUACUCACAUUGUUUAUAGGGCUACUGCACUUGGGCGGGUGCACAGAGUCGCGCACGCAAGUUGCACACGACAAUUAUUUCCUAAAUACAUGUAUUUGAUUAAAUUUUAAAUUUAUUACAAAGCUUAUAAGAAAUUUUCGAGACAUCUACACAUAUCUAUGGUUGGUGGCUUUGUGGUAAUUUUUAAUUUUUUUUCUUUUGCUAUAUAUCGGGGUUCUGUAACACCAUUUUUAUGUCUAAAGGCUAAGGAUAAAAAUUUGGAGAUUUGAAAUCAUUUAAAAACCAAAAUUGAAGGAAUUAUUAACAAAAUGGAGUUUAGGAAAAUUAUUUUAAAAAUCAUAGGAAAAUUAUUUUGUUCAUAUAAUUUACUUUCAUUCAUGGCUUUGUUGCUUACUUUUUAUGUAGAAUUUAAAAAUUAUUAAUAUUUUGUUAGCAGCUAAAUAUAAUUAAAAAUUAUAACAUGAAUCAAACAUAACAGAGUCAAACUAAGUCCAAACAAUAUGAAACAGAGUAUGGGCUUAUUAUUUUCUUUCAAUCUAAAACUCUCAAUGAGUGACACACAUAUAGAAUUAUAUGAACAAAACAUGAAUCAAACAUAACAGAGUCAAACUAAGUCCAAACAAUAUCAGAGUAUGGGCUUAUUAUUUUCUUUCAAACUAAAACUAUCAUCAUUGGAGACAUGAAAAAAGCUUAUUAUUUAUAUUCUAUCUUGAAGCAGCGCCGGUCCUCAAGAAUAGCAAUGCUAUGUAAGACAUCGCAAGGCAAUGCUAUGCAAGACAUUGCAAGUGCAGGGAAAUUCCACAAUUUGCAUUCUUUAAAUGUUUGGUUGUCAACUCCUCUAACAUUAUAUAGGGUGCAGGUUCUGAAUCUGCCCGUGAUGAUUCACCCAUCUCAGUGUUGACCGAUCUAAGAAUCUGGUGAGUCCUAUAUAAAAGAAAUUUUAUGUUAAAAAUAUAAAAACAAUUUUUUUUAUAUAAAAUUAAAAAGAGAUUUUAUACCUACUUUGCCAAUAAAAUGUAGUAACCCUUUUGAAUAAUAGGGUGUUCGGGAACUGCAUCCUGAAUAGGUUUUAGCAUAUUGAUUAAAAAAAUGAGAAAAAAAAAUUUAGAAAAAAGGAAAAAUAUUAUCUUACCACUCUAUAGCCACAUUCUUCUUGACAUUGGUCACAUGAAACAAUAGUCGAUGUCACCUUAAUAUUGUCAUUUGGAAUCACACCACGAUGCACUACGUAUCCGUGUACGUUCAAACUGCCAUUUAAUUGUGAUUUUACGUUUGAGACAAAAAAAAAAUCUAAUUAAGAGCAAGUAGAUUAUUAUUACGCUGAGUUCACGAUCCGACAAUUUAAUAGUGAUUUUAUGUUGAGACAAAAAAAAAUCCCUAAAGUCGGUGCAUAAGGGCCUUGUGAGGAGGUAUGAAGGUCCCUUCCCCAUACUUGGGAAGGUCGGCAAGGUGUCCUAUAGAGUUGAGCUGCCCCCGACGUUGAAGAUUCAUCCUGUCUUCCAUGCAAGCUANNNNNNNNNNNNNNNNNNNNNNNNNNNNNNNNNNNNNNNNNNNNNNNNNNNNNNNNNNNNNNNNNNNNNNNNNNNNNNNNNNNNNNNNNNNNNNNNNNNNAAAAAAAAAAUCUAUAGAAGCAAGUAGAUAUUAUACGCUGAAGUUCACGAUCCGACAAUUAAUAGUGAUUUUAUGUGAGACAAAAAAAAAUCCCUAAAGUCGGUGCAUAAGGGCCUUGUGAGGAGGUAUGAAGGUCCCUUCCCCAUACUUGGGAAGGUCGGCAAGGUGUCCUAUAGAGUUGAGCUGCCCCCGACGUUGAAGAUUCAUCCUGUCUUCCACGCAAGCUACUUGAAGCCCUAUCACGGAGACAAGGAUGAUCCAAGCCGAGGGUUGUCUAAGAGCAUACAAGUAUGAUUUCAACGGUUGAUGGCAGUAUUAAGAUGGAAUUGACCAUCGAAUGUCAAAUUCAUUGCGACUUGAGAGUUGUAAGAUAAUCAUUUUCCAUUUUUUUCUGCAAUUUUCUUUUUUCAUUUUUUUUAAUCAAUAUUCUAAACCCUAUCUAUACCUUAUUCAAAAUGCACUUCCCGCAAAUUCUACCGGGUUACUAUACUCUACAUGCAAGGUAUGUAUAAAAUCAUUUUAUAUUUUUAUGCAAAAAAAAAAAAUUACAUUUUUAAAGUAAAAAAAUCAUGAUUUUAUAUAAAAAGCUACUUAUGACAAGAAUUCCAAAAAAUCUUUAUAAUUUUAUAUUAGCUUCCAUUAAUCCGUGGAUAUUUGCAGAUGCUUACAGAUUUUCUUAUAAGUUUUGUUUAUAGGGCUACCAUACUUAGGCGGGUGCAUAGAGUCGCGCACGCAAGUUGCACACGACAAUUAUUUCCUAAAUACAUGUAUUUGAUUAAAUUUUAAAUUUAUUACAAAGCUUAUAAGAAAUUUUCGAGACAUCUACACAUAUCUAUGGUUGGUGGCUUUGUGGUAAUUUUUAAUUUUUUUUCUUUUGCUAUAUAUUGGGGUUCUGUAACACCAUUUUUAUGUCUAAAGGCUAAGGAUAAAAAUUUGGAGAUUUGAAAUCAUUUAAAAACCAAAAUUGAAGGAAUUAUUAACAAAAUGGAGUUUAGGAAAAUUAUUUUAAAAAUCAUAGGAAAAUUAUUUUGUUCAUAUAAUUUACUUUCAUUCAUGGCUUUGUUGCUUACUUUUUAUGUAGAAUUUAAAAAUUAUUAAUAUUUUGUUAGCAGCUAAAUAUAAUUAAAAAUUAUAACAUGAAUCAAACAUAACAGAGUCAAACUAAGUCCAAACAAUAUGAAACAGAGUAUGGGCUUAUUAUUUUCUUUCAAUCUAAAACUCUCAAUGAGUGACACACAUAUAGAAUUAUAUGAACAAAACAUGAAUCAAACAUAACAGAGUCAAACUAAGUCCAAACAAUAUCAGAGUAUGGGCUUAUUAUUUUCUUUCAAACUAAAACUAUCAUCAUUGGAGACAUGAAAAAAGCUUAUUAUUUAUAUUCUAUCUUGAAGCAGCGCCGGUCCUCAAGAAUAGCAAUGCUAUGUAAGACAUCGCAAGGCAAUGCUAUGCAAGACAUUGCAAGUGCAGGGAAAUUCCACAAUUUGCAUUCUUUAAAUGUUUGGUUGUCAACUCCUCUAGCAUUAUAUAGGGUACAAGUUCGAACGUGUACCGUUUAGAAGAAGUAGAGCAUACAGGUACGAUUUCAACUGUUGAUGGCACUAUUCAAAUGGAAUUGACCAUCGUUCAAUGUGUCGAAUGUCAAAUUCAUUGCGGGUUGAGAGUUGUAAGAUAAUCAUUUUCCAUUUGUUCUCCAAUUUUCUUUUUUCAUUUUUUUAAUCAAUAUUCUAAACCCUAUCUAUACCUUAUUCAAAAUGCACUUCCCACACAUUCUACCGGGUUACUGUACUCUACAUGUAAGGUAUGUAUAAAAUCAUUUAAUAUUUUUAUCGAAAAAAAAUGUUUUUACAUUUUUAAAGUAAAAAAAUCAUGAUUUUAUAUAAAAAACUACUUAUGACAAGAAUUCAAAAAAAUCUUUAUAAUUUUAUAUUAGCUUCCUUUAAUCCGUGGAUAUUUGCAGAUGCCUACAAAUUUUCUUAUAAGCUUUAUUUAUAGGGUUACUAUACUUGGGCGGGUACAUAGAGUUGCGCACGCAAAUUGUACACGACAAUUAUUUCCAAAAUACAUUUAUUCGAUUAAAUUUUAAAUUUAAUACAAAGCUUAUAAGAAAGUUUCGACAACUAUUGCAAUUCAAACGUGUAUCGUUUAGAAGAAGUAGAGCAUACAAGUACGAUUUCAACGGUUGAUGGGAGUAUUAAGAUGGAAUUGACCAUCGAAUGUCAAAUUCAUUGCGACUUGAGAGUUGUAAGAUAAUCAUUUUCCAUUUUUUUUAAUCAAUAUUCUAAACCCUAUCUAUACCUUAUUCAAAAUGCACUUCCCGCAAAUUCUACCGGGUUACUAUACUCUACAUGCAAGGUAUGUAUAAAAUCAUUUUAUACUUUUAUGCAAAAAAAAAAAAAAAUUGCAUUUUUAAAGUAAAAAAAUCAUGAUUUUAUAUAAAAAGCUACUUAUGACAAGAAUUCCAAAAAAUCUUUAUAAUUUUAUAUUAGCUUCCAUUAAUCCGUGGAUAUUUGCAGAUGCUUACAGAUUUUCUUAUAAGUUUUGUUUAUAGGGCUACUAUACUUAGGCGGGUGAAUAGAGUCGCGCACGCAAGUUGCACACGACAACUAUUUCCUUAAUACAUUUUUUCGAUUAAAUUUUAAAUUUAUUACAAAGCUUAUAAGAAUGUUUCGAAUAAGGUAUAAGCUUAUAUGAAAUGGACAAAGGUUCUUAGGACCGGAGCGAUCGAGGCUACUUAUGACAAGAAUUCCAAAAAAUCUUUAUAAUUUUAUAUUAGCUUCUAUUAAUUCGUAGAUAGUUGCAGAUGCCUAUAGAUUUUCUUAUAAGCUUUGAAACAAAUUUAGAAUUUAAUUGAAUAAUUGUACUUAGGAAAUACUCACAUUGUUUAUAGGGCUACUACACUUGGGCGGGUGCAUAGAGUAGCGCACGCAAGUUGCACACAACAAUUAUUUCCUAAAAACAUUUAUUCGAUUAAAUUUUAAAUUUAUUACAAAGCUUAUAAGAAAUUUUCGAGACAUUUACACAUAUCUAUGGUUGGUGGCUUUGUGGUAAUUUUUAAUUUUUUUUCUUUUGCUAUAUAUCGGGGUUCUGUAACACCAUUUUUAUGUCUAAAGGCUAAGGAUAAAAAUUUGGAGAUUUGAAAUCAUUUAAAAACCAAAAUUGAAGGAAUUAUUAACAAAAUGGAGUUGAAGAAAAUUAUUUUAAAAAUCAUAGGAAAAUUAUUUUGUUCAUAUAAUUUACUUUCAUUCAUGGCUUUGUUGCUUACUUUUUAUGUAGAAUUUAAAAAUUAUUAAUAUUUUGUUAGCAACUAAAUAUAAUUAAAAAUUAUAACAUGAAUCAAACAUAACAGAGUUAAACUAAGUCCAAACAAUAUGAAACAGAGUAUGGACUUAUUAUUUUCUUUCAAACUAAAACUCUCAAUGAGUGACACACAUACAGAAUUAUAUGAACAAAACAUGAAUCAAACAUAAUAGAGUCAAACUAAGUCCAAACAAUAUCAUAGUAUGGGCUUAUUAUUUUCUUUGAAACUAAAACUAUCAACAUUGGAGACAUGAAAAAAGCUUAUUAUUUAUAUUCUAUCUUGAAGUAGCGUCGGUCCUCAAGAAUAGCAAUGCUAUGCAAGACAUCGCAAGUGCAGGGAAAUUCCACAAUUUGCAUUCUUUAAAUGUUUGGUUUUCAACUCCUCUAGCAUUAUAUAGGGUGCAGGUUCUGAAUCUGCCCGUGAUGAUUCACCCAUCUCAGUGUUCACCGAUCUCAGAAUCUGGUGAGUCCUAUAUAAAAUUUUUUCAGGAAACAACGAUAGAGAGCGUCAAUUUUCUUCUCUGUCGUGGACAUGGCCCAAACACUCUUACCUUUCCUUUUGGUAUUAUUAUAUUUGUUGAAAAUGUUCCAAAAGUACUCCUAUCAUUCUUUAAAUUGAAUAUCCAAUCGUUUUUUAAUUUUUUUUUAUAUUUGUAUAUUUUUUUUCAAAUAACCUUCAUCCUGAUCCUAACUUGUUUAUUCAACUUAAAUAUGUUGCUUUGAUAUUUUCUUAAUCAUAUUUAAUAAUUUACCAUGAAUGUUUUGUUUUGCUGAUAUAUUAGAUUUAUAUACCAAAAAAAAUAUUUUUAUAAUAUAGGAAAAAAGUUCUUAUAAUAUAGGAGAAAUUUUUUUUCAUGGUAUUUUGGUAAAAAUAAACAAAUUUAAUACCAUUCAAAUAUUAAAUAAAAUAAAUAAUUUAAUUUUUAACCAUCUGGUAUAUCUGUCGUGGAAACUUUUAUUGAUCAAAGGAAGCUUUACAAGUACUUUGGAACUCACUUGCUUGGUUAGGUAGUGAUUCGGGUGGUGUCUUGGCUAAAUGGGAGCCUUGCUUAUUUAUAGGCACCUUAGGAAGUUUUUGGAACCUUUUAACUUAAGAAUAAUCUAAAACAUUCUUCAAAAUUCUAUGUAUAAGAAUAUAUAAGAGAUCCCUAAAAUUUUCUAGAAAGCCUUAGACUUCUCUCAUACUUUCUACCAUAGUGUAGAGAUGUGUAGACAUCUCUAGAACCUUUCACACUCUUCCUACCAAUGGCUCCAAGAGUUUUCAUAAGCUUCAUACCCUCUAUAUAACCCCAUGAGGAGGGUCAUUUGAAACAUCUUUGGGCUAUUAAUGAAAAAGUCUACAUGUUCCGUUAAAACACUUACUUUUCCAUUAAUUGAGCGGCUUAAACUAAAUAUGCAAUUCAGUGUUGAAAAAUUACAAAUAGGUCUCAUAUGUAAGAUUCAAGUAACUUCAAACAACAUUACAGUUUAAGACAAUAAUAUUAAAUAAUAUUCCCAUUCACACGUUUUUCAUAUCAAAUUGCAUAUGAAGUGAGAUAGAUAUCCAUAAUCGAACCAAACUUAAUGUGAAGGUUUGAAAUCUUGUGAAAUACUUACUCUAGCAAAAUCCUUGGCACGUAGUGCCAUUUCAAGUCCACAUAGUUGUGCUCUUCGAUAUCCUCCGUCGUGGUUUCGUCCGUAUCGUCCAUCUACUUAUCCUUGUUGUUCUUAUUCUGCUCGUUCUCGUUCUUCAUUUCGUCCGUAUCCUCCAUUGUUUCGUUAGUAUCCUCCCUAUGCUCUGACUCGGUAUCAAUAUUCUCUUUUCUCUGAUCAUCAUCCUUCGUCAUUUCCUUCGUGUCAUCCCAUUGCUUUGUCGUUUUCUUGUUUUCCAGCUCCGUCGUUUUCUUGUUUUUUCGUGCUGCCAUGUUACUCGAUAUCCUUAGGCUCUGACUCUAUAUUUCAAUCCGAAUCGAAGUUCAUACUUCACUUUUUUAUAGUUCCGUGCCUCAAGGUAAUGAGGCAAUGCGCCGUAAUGAGAAAAUAUGAACUGGAAAAACUAACUCUUAACUUAUUGAAGAUUCGUUCCCAAAACCAAACAAUAUAUUGGGUUGCAUCUUUGGAAUUAUUUUUAAAUUAUUAUCACUUGUCAAAUUAAUAUAAGUGUCAAAGUCAUCAUUAAUUAGUCAAAUUAAUAUAAGUGUCAAAGUCAUCAUUAAUUAUAAUAAAAUUACAAUAUUAUGGGAGGUACUCAUUAUUUUUCAGAAUAGAUAGCAUUGCUUGUAAAAUAUAGAAUUUUUAAAAACUUUUAAAAAGUAAUCCAAUAAACAUAUAAUCAAAUAGUAAUUUCAUUAAAAAGUCUAAAAUUGCCCUUUAAUUUUUUCUACUUGGAUUAACCCAUUUGUUUUUUAUUUAUUUAUUUUAUUUUUAAGAUAAGUCAAAAGAUAUUUGACUAAUCAAUAUGCCACAUUAUUUUUCUUUUUUCUUCAUUUUACCUAAAAAAUAAUCAAACUUUUUUUUUAAAUUUAAUUUUUUUCACUCUUUCAUCUUUUCAUAGUUAUUGAUUUUAAUCUAAAAACACUUUAAACAUAUAAUAAUAAUAAUAAUAAUAAUAAUAAUAAUAAUAAUAAUAUAUGAUAAAUAAUUAAUAAGAAAAAAUUAAUGUACAAAGAUGUUUAGAAUAUAAAAUUUUAUAUAUCAUAUUAAAUAAAAUAUUUAUUUAUUUGAUAAAUCUUAUUAUAGAUUAAAUAAAAUUACAUUUAUCAUUUUCUAUUUUUUUAAAAAAUUUUAAAUUUUCAUGUGAAAAUCAAAAUCAAUUAUCAUGAUUUUUUUUUUAAUUUUUACUUACAAUUGUUAAUUGAAUAUAGUUUUAACUUUUUUUUUUGGUUAAAAUAUUUAAUAUUUUAUUUAAAAAAGAUAAAAACUUAGUUGUGGUUAUAACAUUUUUCUAUAUUAAAAUUUUAAAAUUUUUAUUCAUAUAAAUAAAAUAAAUUUUUUUUCAUAAAAUUGUUAUAUUAAACCUAAAGAAUUAAAAAUAGAGACAGGUUUAAUCUCGAUAAUGAAUUUAAUGCCAAUUUCUUAUGAUUUCAAACUGUUCACCUUUUCCGGCUGGCGCUCUCACCAUGAACUUCAAAAUCCACAAUGCGCUCACAUUACACUUGCCUCUUCUCUAACAUGUUCCACUGGUGCGCAGUUUAGAACCUUGUGCACACUGCAAAAGCUAUAUAAAAUUCCACUACUACCCCUCCCUCUGCAUUUUCCACGUUACAAUGGCGAACCACGCCAACUAUUCGUCUUCUCUCCUUCGCCUUCUUCUCCUAACCCUAAUCGUCGCUGGAAUCGAACUCGCCGCCGGCGGAAAGCGCUCGGUACAGAUCCCCGAUGAGCUCGACGACGUGGUCGACGACGAGGAGGACGAGGCUUGGAAGGAAUGGGGCAAAAGAUCUGCUCCACCCACAAAAUUCGACCCUCCCCCAACCGAUUUUUCGGGGAUGGACUUGUCCGAGAUCCAGGCCGAAAUGUUAAAGCGGCAUUCCGGGCCGGCCUUCGGGUUCGUUAAGCUUCGAUUGGGAGUUCGUCGGUCUCCGGUAAUUGAACCUUGUUCUUGGUUCUUGAAUUUUAGGGUUUGAUAGGUCUGGAUCCUUGAAUUUCAGUCUUUUGUCUAUGAUGGUUCCUCGAUAAGGUUUCUAUGCGGCAAAAGAUCAUCUCGGUUGUUGACAUUAUAACAGGAUCUUGCUUUAUUUUCAGGAUAUGGUAGCUGAGAUUGCUAUGAAAUGGACAAAGGUUCUCAGGACCGGAGCGAUCGAGGCUAAUUUCAUGGGCGUAGAUAUAAGCACAGUCAUGUUCACUAUGGAAAAAGGCCAAGACAUAACAGAGGUAAGCUUCAGUCAUCUCUAAGUGAGAACCUCAAGAUCUAAUCCAAUCAAUCUUUCGCUAUCAAUGCAUUGCGAUCAAUCGUGUUCUUUGAUAUAAGGAUUAGAUUUAGUUCUGCAUACAGUUGUCUUGGUUUACAAUGAUGAUCUGUUUGUUUUAGAAUUCUUAGUUCUUAAUAUCAGUGUUUAAUCCAUUUUGGCUUUCAGUUGAAAGAGUUCAUAUUGAAUGAACCAGAAGCUUAUGAGGUGAAGAUAGGGGAUCAAGUUUUUCGAAGACCUGGAGACCCUCCUCUAGAGGAAGUUGUUGAGAUGCUCCACAAAGAGAAAAACAAGGAGAAAAGUGACAGUCCUAGGAAGGAAAAUGGGCACCCGAAAGAGGAGUUAUAGUUGACUGGAAAUCCUACUUAGAUACCCCUAUGGAGCAUUGUUUUUACUCUAUUCCCUUUUGUCUGAUCCAUGGUCUAGAUGCUUCAAAUUUAGUAAAACAAGGAAGAAAUUAUAGUGUCCGAGAGAAUUGAAACCUGAAAGAAGGGUUGUAGUUGACCAGAAAUUGCCCUUAGAUAACACGAUUGAGCAUUGUUUUGACUUUGCAGUAUUUAAAUUGUAUACCCUUUGGUAGAAUCCAUUGUUGAUAUCUUUGCAUUAAUAGACUUAUCAUUUGGAAGAUUGUUCUUCCACCUUUGUCUGAUUCCUCUUUUGCAAAUCCAUGAUCUAAUUUUUCCAACUUGAACUCCUGCCUUAGCAUGCAAAGCUUGCUUACUUCAUAUAGCAUAUCAAUGUAUGAACAGUUAUGUAUAAGGCCAUAGGCUAUAACCAUGUGCAGUUGUGCAUAAUGUGUGUAUGUAUAGUACAUACAGUAGAUGAUAUUUCCUUCUGGUGAUGGGUUUUUUGGGGGGUUUUAGGGUUUAUACAUCAGAUUUCCUUUUGCAACAGCUCAAAGUUUUCAGGUGUUUUCUGUUUCGAUUGUUAGAGACUUCACAUGGACCAUGACGAUGUUACCAGGAAUUAAGCAUGCAAAACAUUAAGAUAUAGGAUAUCACAUGCAACUCCAGUGAUCCUGGCACCCUUUAUUCUGAGACCAAAGAAAUCUUUUCAACAGUUCCUUUCCCUUAUGAAUGGGAAGGAAAAAGAAAAAAUGUUGGGUUUAAUCAGUCUAAUUCAGACUACACCAUAAGGAAUAAUGUAGAUCAAGUGUCAUUUGCAUUCGUAAAUGGAAUUGGUACCCAAUAAAUGAAUAGGGAUCUAGUGGAGAAAUGACUAUUUCAACUUCUUACUAAAGUCAGAGAGCUCAAGAAGUUGGAUCCUGCUAAUGCCAGCUGCUUCCUCUCUUUCUUUCUGGGUGUUGUAUCCCCAUUUCCCUGCCCCAACAAGGCACCCCAUUGAACGAAAAGAGACAAGGAAGUUGAGGAAGAUAACAUACAUGUAAUUUUAACAAAGGAAGAAGCAAAGUGAGGAAAAAUUACCAAGAUACAAAUUCCACCCAUCUAAUUCAGGCUCUUUGAUGACAUUCUUGAGGGUUGCAAGUCUAUCUUCAACAAAACUGGACAAAAUUGGGUAAGCUAAUAUUAGUUUUCAAUUUAACUUCACAUUAGGAUCACUGAUGGGCAGGAAGAUUACGAAAAUGAAAAAACAGUCUGAUUAAGGAGGCAUUAAGAUGAUGAUUCUGUUGCUGAUAUGCUAAGCACCAAAAAAAUCUUACUGUAGUGUCAGGCCCUGAUGUUCUGAUUGCUUCUGAAGCUGCUUGAGCACUUCGACCUUAGGACUGUAGGAAUUUUCAAAAUAAGAAAACGAAAAAUUAAACAACAGUAGAUUGUUGAAGUACCAGAUGCAAUGGUUAGUGCUAUUUCUCAACAUCAACAGGUAGAAAACAUACGAACCCUGUUCCCAGACCAUAGAUUCUUUCAGAUGGUAUUGUCACUCCUGCAAGCUCUCGUAGUAAUGCUUCUGCAAAUCGGCCCUGAAAUGGAGAGGAGGAAAGGGGGGAGAGAGAGUAGAUGACAAAGAAAAACAGUAAGAGAUCUAAGAAGAAGAGAAAUUGCACCUUUAGCAAAUAAAGAAUUUACUUAUAGGAGAUUUGAUUUCAAAAUCCCAAUUAGAAUGCUGUAUUCAGUGUCUAGUUAUAUAUACUUUGACAAUAAACACACCUGUUUUGUGGUAACGAUGUAGACCUUUGAGCUUGCAAACUUCAAAGCAUCAGCAACACCUGGGUAAAAUCUGCAAUAGAAGCAACUUUUUGAUCAAUUGUUAAACCAUCAAAACCGAAUUAAGCAAAAGAAACCAAAUUUUUACUCGAGCAAUAACCCAUUUACAGUAUUACAAUAUUUGGAGGAGCUUCAAUGAUCUCCUUCAAAUGUGCAAAGAAUUUUGACUACAUUUUGACUUGCUUUUCAGCAGACUGAGUCUUAUUACAUGUAGGAAACAAAUAUGGUGUCUAUGAAAUUGCUAAUAGCCAAGCAAAGGAAUGCAGGGAUAUCUCUAAACUGGAAAUAUACUAGCCCAUAUAAGAGAAACCACAGCAAAUCCUAUAUUAUGUACCCUAUUCACUGGCUUUUCAGUAAUAUACAUUAUCUUUGCAUGUUUGAUCCCACCUUAUCAAAGGAAUUUUACCUAUUUGCAUCAAUCCAAGUGGCCAAGUCAUCCUCCAUCCAUUCAUCCCUGACCUUUCCAAAAAGAUCUACCAAAGGUUCCCUUUUCUCGUCCCAUUCUUCCAUUAUGACAGGUUUGAGCUUUGACCAGUUCUCCAAUAUCCCCUCGAUUGUAAGCCCCUCUACAACCUAGGACGUUAAGCCAUGACUAUCAGAUGAAAACCAAACAAUGGAUAAUGCUUGCAAACUGUCUAACUUAGAAAACAUGUUGAAUGAAAAACAUUUUUUGUGAGAAUUUAUUCUAAAAGUAUGUUAUUUUUUUAGAAAAAAAUUGAGAUGAUUUUCAGUUAGAAGUGGUAAAAUUUGAUACAAUUCAUCAAUAUGAUUUGAACUCUAAUUCACUUUUCAUGGAUUUGUGUUGAAUAUAAUUUUGGGUUUGGUCAAAUUUAAUUCGAUUUACAUAACUUGUUUUUGGUUCAAUUUGUAUAGUAAGAAUUUGACCCAAAUUAAUUCAUUUUAAAUUUAGUUUUAAAUAAAUAGGUGAAUUGAAUAGUAAGUAUGUUUGAUUAAGAAAUUAAUCAUAUAAAUUUAUAAAAGAUUUAGCUCAACAUGUUUACUAAAUAGGAGGAUCUUAAAUAUAGUAAAAUGCCUGAACUCUAUUAAUAUGAAGUGUCACCUUUAUUUUCAGUUGUCUUUUAUAAAGUAUUUUGAGUAGCAAUUGAAAUUACAGAAAAUAUUUUAGAAAUUCUUACAUUUCAUACAAGUGUAUCGCAGAAGUUAAGAACACUUUCUCCUUUUCAAACAAAAUUUUAGUUCUGAAAAUAAUUAAAAGAUUGUUUUUAAAAAAGACCCAAACAAAGCCUAAGAUUUCCACUACAGUGUCACUCGAAUUGACAACAAAAUAACCCAUAUUUUGCAUCCAACUGAUAAUAAAAGCCAGAGUUGCAUGGAUAUCCACUCACCGAGGACUUCCUGAUGGAUGGCAGUCUCAUCUCCAGCAGCAACCUCACAAGCAGUAGAUUUUCAUACCCAGUUUCUACCACCGGUCGUAUCUGCCAUUUUUAUAAAUUCAAAUAUAAAAUUUGCCUUUUUCUUUAUGAAUGAACUAAAUUUAACUAUGUAUUCAUAUUUUCAAUAAUUUUUUUUAUAUAUUUUAAUAGUUUUUCGUGAUACUUUUAAUAACACUGAAAACAAAUUUGAAAAAAAUUGUUCUUGAUAAAAAAUUUAUCAAACACAUGUUUUUGAAAAGCUUAAAAUUGUUUUUAAGAAAAUUUGCUCAAAUUCCAGAAGAUGUAUGAAACCGGGAAAGAAAUUUUCCAAUAAACGGCUCCAGAUUCCCAAAUUUUUCCAACUUCAAUUCUUUAUUUUCAAUAUCACAUCCAGCCAUCAUUCACAUAAAAAGGCUUUAGAAAAAACGAUAAAGAAUAGUAUUCGAUGACUUGAAGAACAGGGAGGAAGAAGAAUAGCUUACUAUGAACAUCUGAUCAACAAUCCAAUCCUCCAACUUCGAAUCCACACCGUCGAACAAACCAGGCCAUCUCACCUUAGCAGCCUACAAAGGAGAACAACAUCAAAAACGUAAUUUACUUCGUUAAGCCCUAAAACCUCUGUUUGGUUGCCAAGAAAAUGAAGUAAACAGCUUCGGCAAUUUUGCACAAUGGCUAAUUUUAUCUUGCUUUUACUUUAUUUUCUCGGAACCAAACAUGGUGACGAAAACGGAGAAGAGCGAAACCUUGACAGCGGAGAGAGAGCUCUCUCCACAGCUAUCGCAGAGAAUUCCAUCGAAAUCCAACGCGUAAAGAUCGCCCAUUUCCUCUGAGAUUACUCGCCGCCCAAUUGCGAUCUUCUCCUCUUAGUCCACCCGCCCCAAGAGACGACAAUGGGUUGUCCCAGUGGAACUCUGCCACGUGUUGUCGUACUCACAUUUUUUGACGGCAUGGAUCUAUGAUCGUUGGGUGACUAUAGGCCACGAGUGAACGGACGGUUGAGAUACGUGGGGUUUAGGAAUGGUAUUUCAGUAAUUUUGUAUAAUAUCAGCAUUUCUCUUUAAAGAAAUAAAGAGAGAAAAAAAAAACAAGAUUUUAUUAGAAUUAGAAACAGAUUUUUUUUAAAAAAAGUUUAUUUAUUGAAUUCCUUCCCAUAUAAUUUUUUUCCCGCCUGUAUGAUAAUUUAAAAUAAGAAAUCUCUCAAAUUAAUUUUAAACUUUCUUUUUAUUGAAUAUAAAUUAAUUGACAUUAUAUUUAAUAUCUAAUGUCCAGAUAAUAAAAGUCUGCAGUCUUAUAUUAAAAUCAAUAUUAAAUUAAUAAAUGAUUAAUUAAGUUGAAUUUUUCUUUCAUGUUAAUAAUUACUAAGGUGUAUAUUUAUAAAAAUAAAAAUAAAAGUCUGAUCAUUUAAAAUUCACACGAAAUAUUAUCAUAGAAUUAUAUUGAGCUCAAGUUCAUUUCAAUUGGAGGGUUUGAUUUAGGUCAGUUUUCAAUUAAUCGGAGGAUCAAAUUUUGCUUUUUCUUUUUUUAUCUAAUUGAAAUUGAUUGUAAUAGAUAUAAUAAUUACACUAAGAGUCCAUUACUUAUGAAAGGAAUCAUUUAAACUAUGGUUCCAAAAAAUUUAAGAAAAAAUAUAAAAUCAAUAAAUUAUUUUUAUAUUUUGCUUCAAAUUCAUUUCAUUUAAUUUAAUUUGUUUUUAAUAUAAUGAUUAAAUAUUUUUAAAAUAUAUAAGUUUUUAAUUAAUUUUAAAUAUAUUUAACUUUGAUAUUUUUCAUAGAUAAGAAAGUGAGAAAAUUAUUUGUAGUUCUUUUUUUCUUUUAUCACUGUUUUUCCCAAGAAUCAAAUACAACUGAUUUUUAAUUUAGUAUUAACUUGAUUUAGAGUGUUUUUCAUAAUAAUUCUACAAGACGUUUAUAGUAUUUUUAAUACUUAAAAAAUAAAAAAAUUUAAAUAUUAAAAAGAUUAAAAAUGCUCAUUGAAAUCACUAACAAACGAACUCUUAAUUUAAUUUGAUUAGGUUCAUUUAGUGGGCUAAAAAUACCUAAUUUUUUUUGGAAAAUGAAACCAAAAAAAUUAUUAUCAUAUUAUAGGACUAAAUAAAUACAUAUCAUACAACUCAAAAUAUCAUAAUCAAAUUUAAGAUAUUUUCACAAUAGUUAUGAUUAUUAUUAGGUUGAAAACAGUUUUUUUAUUCAGAGUAUUUUGAGCAAUUAGCAUUUUAAGAAUUUUUAUAUCAAACGUAAAAUAAUUAAUAAAUGAUUGAUCAAGUUGAAUUUUUCUUUCAUGUUAAUAAUUACUAAGGUGUAUAUUUAUAAAAAAUUUUUAAAAAAAGUCUGAUCAUUUAAAAUUCACAAUAAUUUCAUGAAAAAUAAACUAAUAAUUAUUUCUCAUAUUUGGCUUCUCAAUAAUUCUUAAAAAACUUUUCCAAACAAAUUCUUAUUAUCCUCUUAGCUUAAAUUAAUAAAUAAAUAAAAAAUUCAUUCCAAAACCAAUCAAAUGUUUUAAUUAUUUAUUUUUUUAACUCCAUAAAAUCAAAUUGAUAAUUUGGAUUUUUAAUCAAAUCAAUAUAAGAAAUUUCAAAAACCCUAAACACCAUUUCCAUUUAUUGAAAAAACUUUUUGUCAAUAAAUUAUGAUUAAAACAAACAAACAAACCAUUUCCAUUCAUGAUAAUCAGAGCAAAAACUAAUCUCUACUCUCUCUGACUGAAGCCAUGCAAAAGUACUGCAGACAAAAACUACCCAAUUGAAACUGUAAUUAGUAACAAUUAAGCCAAUCAGUUAGCUUCAGUUUAAUAAUAGCUAAACCACCUUACCUAUAACACACUGUGUCUCAUUCUGUUAGAACAAUCGUUUCUUCUUUUCACUUUUCAUAAUUUCUUUCCUUCCUGAUUCUCUUAUUCCUUAACAUGGUAUCAGAGCCUGCUCUACCCUAAGCCAUGGAAACUUCAUCGAUAACCUCCAUGGAGAACACUGCAAGAACCACUAGUCUCCUUCUAGUUUCUUUUUCUCAUCCAAUCUCGUCCAAAUUGGACAACAAAAACUUUCUGAUAUGGCGAAAGCGAAUACUAACAAUUUUAAGAGGUCGUAAACUUCAAAAUUUUCUUUCUGAAUCAAUAGUUCUACCCUCAAAAUUCAUGUCUCCAAGUGAUGAAUGAACAUCAUUGUCUCAUCAAUCCUAAGUUUCAAGAUUGGGAGCAACAGGACCAACUCAUCAUGUCAUGGAUUCUUGCAUCCAUAUCAGAUGCCCUUCUAACACGUAUGAUUAAUUGUGAUACUUCAGCUCAGGUAUGGAAGACUCUUGAACAAUAUUUUUCCACUCAAGUACGAGCUAAAAUAACCCAGUUCAAGACUCAGUUUCACAACACAAAGAAAUGUGAUCUGUCUAUAAGCGAUUACCUUUUCAAGAUUAGAAAUAUUAUUGAUCACUUGGCUUUAGUUGGCCAUAAUCUUUUUGAUAAAGAUCAUAUAAAUGCAGUGUUUGAAGGAUUACUUCAAGAAUAUGAAACAUUCAUCAUCUCAAUAAGCUCAAGAAUCGACCCAUAUGCAGUUGAAGAAAUUGAAGCACUUCUUCUUGCCGAAGAAACUCGCAUUGAGAAAAACAUCAAGAUUCAUGAAUUCUCUGCUCCCAAUUUAGCCUACCUGGUCAUAUUCAAUGGACCCUCAAAUUUCAACCAAAGACUUGACAAUAGAAUUUAUAGCAUGAACUCAUCUGCAUUCUCUGGAAAUGGAAUAUCCCACGACUGUGGGAACUCAUCUCAACGAGAGAGAGGAAGAUCGGGUAGAGGUUCUUGAAGAAGCAACAAUAAACCUCAAUGUCAGCUCUAUGGUAGAAUGAGACAUGUAGUCAUGCAAUGCUAUUACAGAUUUGAUUAGUCAUUUUUUGGUCUCUCACAACUUUAAGGAAACCGUGCAUAAAGAAACAUAGCCCACCUUUCACAACAACUCUCUGAACACAUCUACCUAGGAUUUCCGUCGACAACACCAGGAUUUCUAUCUUAACACCAGAAGUCUCACAUGACACUAAUUGGCACCCAUAUUAUGGAGCAACAAACCAUCUCACACCUAAUAUCAACAAUCUUAUGAUCAAAUCACAAUUCCCUACAUCAGAAUAGGUGUUCGUGGGAAAUGGUAAGGGUCUCCCUAUACACCAUAUUGGACAUACUUCCAUUCCCAUCACUAGUUAUUCCAUCCAAAUUCUUUACCCUAAAACAACUUCUACAUGUUCUAGAAAUUAUUAAAAACCUUCUUAGUGUUUCAAAGUUUGCUAAUGAUGAUCAUGUAUUUUUUGAAUUCCAUCUCAAUUCCUACUUUGUCAAAGAUCUUGCAACCAAAACAAUUCUUUUACAAGGACAACUUAAAGGAGGACUAUAUGUGUUUGAUAACACACAACUCAAUAUCAGUCAUCAGUGAAAGCCAUCCUCCAGUUCUCAAAGCUCAAAGAUUUCCUUUCUCUCAUGUUUCACAACAACAUCUAUCUCUCCAAAGACUUCAACAGCAGCAGCUACACUUGAAAAUGCUCACUCAUCAUUCAGUCUAUGGCAUGAUAGAUUGGGGCAUCUUUCUGCAAAAAUUUGUCUCUUAUACUCAACAAAUGUAAUCUUUCACAUCUCAAUAAAAAGUCAUCCAUUAUUUGCUCUGCUUGCUACAUGGGAAAAAUUCACAAGCUCCCGUUCCAUCAUUCCACAACCUCUUAUAUGACACCCUUGGAGCUGAUCCAUUCAUACCUUUGGGAACCUGCCUCAAUACCUUUGUCAAAUGGAUACAAAUAUUAUAUUCAUUUUAUUGACGCCUACUCUCGGUUUACCUGGAUAUAUAUGGUCAAACAAAAAUCCGAAGCACUUCAAGUUUUCCUCAAUUUCAAGGCACAAAUGGAACUUCAACUCAGUCACAAGAUUAAAGUUGUGCAAACUGACUGGGAAGGAGAAUAUCAGGCGUUCACACAUUAUUUACUCUCCAAUGGAAUAAUUCAUAGGACCUCAUACCUCUACACGCAUGAACAGAACAGUAUUGCUGAGAGUAAACAUCAACACAUUGUUGAACAUGGCCUCACUUUGUUAGCUCAAACAUCUCUUUCCCUCAAAUAUUGGGAUGAAGCCUUUCGUACCUGCGUAUUUCUAAACAAUAGAUUGUCCACCUCAGUUUUGAAGAACAAAUCUCCACUUGAAGUAUUGUUUCAUACAACACCUUCCUACUCACAACUCAAAGUAUUCGGCUAUGCUUGCUACCCUUUUUUCCAGUAAAUCAACCAGUUGUGUCAAAAUUAACUUCAAUUCUUUAUGUUCAAUAUCACAUCCAGCCAUCAUUCACAUAAAAAAAAAAAAAAAAAACCUUUAGAAAAAACGAUAAAAGAAUAGUUUUCGUUGAAUUAAAGAAGAAGAGCUUACUAUGAACAUCUAAUCAAAAAUCCAAUCCUCCAACUUCGAAUCCACACCGUCGAACAAACCAGGCCAUCUCACCUUAGCAGCCUACGAAGGAGAACAACAUCAAAACGUAAUUUACUCCGUUAAGCCCUAAAACCUCUGUUUGGUUGCCAAGAAAAUGAAGGAAACAGCUUGGCAAUUUUGCAUAAUGACUAAUUUUAUCUUCGUGGUUUUUCCUUUAUUUUCUUGGGAACCAAACAUGUGACGAAAACGGAGAAGAGCGAAACCUUGACAGCGGAGAGAGCUCUCUCCACAGCUACUCGCCACCCAAUCGCGAUCUCCUCUUCUUAGUUCACCCGCCGAAGAGACGACAACGGGUUUUCCGUCACCGCCAGUGGUACUGUGCCACGUGUUAUCCUACUCACAAAUCUCCAACAUACUCUCAGCUCAGGCUAUCUUCCUUUCCCAAGUUUCCUACCACCACUAUCUUGUCUCCCAAGUCUCUCUAAAACCUCUCCCUCACCCUCUGUAACAACUCCAGAAAAGAAAAAUAUCUCCCCUCCCACACCUCUCUGCCUUGCCCCUCCAAGCCAGCCCAAAAAAAAACGCUCACCUGAUGUCUUUCUCUCCAAGCCACCCCCCAAAAUAUCUGUGUCACCAGCCAGCCCCCAAAUCCCCCCUCACUCUUAACGGCCUCACUGCAAAAAAACUCUCCUCUGCUGAAUAUUCCCUCAUACGUGUCUCUUCCCCAUUGCAUCCACUAACCAUUAUUGUGACUCCCUGAUGGCUAACCACAAGGCGACACGUGAGUCCUGGAGAGCCCUCCACCUGGUAGAAAAGCCUACAGAAAUGUGAUAAAAAUGAGCCCAAAAAUGGGUCUACACAAAGUUUGCUUUAUUUUAUUUUAUAUCUAAUAAUUAUACUUUUAAAACGAACCCAACAAACCCUUUAAACUAGGUUUGAUUAAAAAAAAAAAACAAAAGAAAAAAAGAGAAAAUACAAAAAAAAAAUAUAUAUAUAUAUAUAUAUAAAAUAAAUUUAAAAUCAAUAAAUUAUUUUUAUAUUAUACUUGUAACUCAUUUCACUUAAUUUAAUUUAUUGAUAUAAUAAUUAAAUAUUUUAAAAAUAUUUAAGUUUUUAAUUAAUUUUAAACAUACAAAAUAAAAAAAAUCAUUAUCUUUAAUUUUUUUUCUUCUAUCACUAUUUUUUCGUAAACCAAAUAUAAUCUUAGUGUUUGUGUAAAUAAACUAAAAUAAAAAAAAGUUUCAACGAUGUUGGUAAUGUAUUGAGUGACUAAAUAAAUGGUUUUUAAUUUAGUACUAACUAGAUCUAAUUUAGUUUGUGAAGGUUCCUUUAGUUGACUACAUAUACCCAUGUUUUCUGGAUGAAAUAAAUAUAAAUCAUACAACCCAAAAUAUCAUGAAUUUAAGAUAUUUCCACAAUAGUUAUGAUUAUUAUGAGGAUAAAAACAAAGACCCUAGAUUUAUCUUAAAAUUAUUAUGGAAACGGUUUUCUUUUAUUUUUUUAGAGUAUUUUGACCAAUUAGCAUUUUAACAAUUUUUAUAACAAAUCGUACAAUAAUUUGAUGAAAAAUAAAUCAAUAACAAUUUUUUAUAUUUGGCUUCUCAAUAAUUCUUAAAAACCUUUGUUAAACAAACUCUUAUAGUCUCGUUAGCUUAUAUUGAUAAAAAAAAAAAAAAAACAAAGGUUUAAUAGGAUAAGCGAUGGAAUGGUUUAAGAAAUUUUUUUUAGAUUUGUUAUUUUUUUUCCUUCAAAAUCAAAUUAGUAAUUUUGAUUUUUAAUUAAAUUAAUGUAAGAAAUUUAAAAAACCAUAAACACCAUAUGCUGCUCUUCCAAUCUGCAGCUUCAUAAUUAUUGAAAAAAAAAUUGUCAAUAAAUUGUGAUUGAAAAAAAAAAAAACCAUUUCCAUUCACGAGAAUCAGAGUAAAAAACUAAAAACUAAUCUCUACUCUCUGUGACUGACAACAUGCAAAAGUACUGCAGACAAAAACUACCAACUGAAACUGUAUUCCCACACUUUGGACCCUACAAAUUCCUCAUGCCAAAACACGAUUUAUCUAGUGAAAAAGAACCGACCAUGAACAGAAAAAAACGAUGAGUUUGAAUCUAAAAUUGUACCCUUCAUUGCUGUUUAACACCGAACUUAGUCUUCUGAGGCAUAUUGAAUGACAUGUUCUUGGCUUCUGUGUAUUCUUUUUCUUGUUAUGGCAGGAGGUUCGAACUGCGCAACAACAAAAUCUGUACUGUAAAAAUUGUCCCAAAUCCGGAAAUACGAUUCAGGUUUUCGUACUUACAGUUGCAGGAUGUACUGCCCUGCACGGAUGACGGGGUGGUGUGCUUGAGCUCCGAUAUGAACUAAUGGUUUUGAAUCGAUGAUGAUGAAAGACUCUGUAGAAAUCUGUAAAAUGGUAUUGGCUUCAAUGCCAAAAACCGGGUGGCUAUUCUCAUUUAUAUACAAUUACAGAAGAAGUUUUGAAAUACACAAUAACAGAAAUUUAAAAAUAGUCAAGGGUUAUCUCUUGGGUUAUCUCUUAAAGUGGAUAAGUGUUUAUCUGGUGGAUAAGAUAAGUGAGAAGCCAAGGAAAUCUCGGUGGUUUGAAUGUUGUGGUUAUCAUCCCCCCUCAAGCUAAUGGGGAGAGAAACCACCAUUAGCUUGUCACGAAGCAGACAAAAACGAGCUAAACUUAGUCCCUUUGUAAAGAUAUCAGCAGGCUGAUCAUAAGAACCAAUGAACUGAAGGGAAAUAUCUCGAUUAGCAACUUUCUCGCGGAUGAAGUGAAAAUCAACUUCAAUAUGUUUGGUGCGGGCAUGAAACACAGGAUUAGAAGCAAGAGCAAGAGCGCCACUGUUAUCACACCAAAUAGUAGGAGCUGUGGGCAAAGAAAUAUGAAGUUCUUUGAGGAGCAUACGAAUCCAAUACAGCUCAGCAGUAGUAAUAGCUAAUGUCCUAUAUUCGGCUUCAGUGCUAGAACGAGCUACCACAUAUUGUUUCUUGGCAGUCCAUGAGAUUAAGCAAGAGCCAAAGAAAACGCCAUACCCAAUAGUUGAUCUUUGAUCAUCGGGAUUACCAGCCCAAUCUGAAUCACAAAAGGCUUGAAGAGUUUGCUCGCCCUUAGUGUACCAUAAUCCCAGAUCAAUGGUGCCUUUUAAGUAACGUAAGACACAUUUUGCUGCUGUCCAAUGAACAGAAUUAGGACAGUGCAUAUGUUGACAUAGUUGGUUGACAGAAAAUGCUAUAUCAGGUCUAGUCAAGGUGCAAUAUUGAAGAGCUCCCACAGUUUGUCGAUAUUCUGUAAUUUGAGAAGCUGUGAGUGGCUCACCAACAUGAGUGGAUAAUUUAAGGCCUGUGGUACAAGGAGAGGAAGCAGGUUUGGCCCCAGCCAUCUUGGUACGAUGAAGAAGAUCCCCGAUGUACUUGGAUUGUCGAAGAUGUAGGCCAGAAGAGUCACGACUUGCUUGGAUGCCGAGAAAAUAGCCUAAAGGACCAAGGUCUUUCAUCUUGAACUCGGUCUGUAGCUUUUGGAUUAGAGACUGAAUGAGAGAAGGAUAUGUACCUGUAACAAGGAUAUCAUCUAUGUAGAUGAGGAUAAAUAGAUGAAUAUGGCCCUUAUGAUAGACAAAUAAGGAGGCAUCCACUGGUGAGGAUAGGAAACCGAAUUCAAGUAGAGUUUGAGAUAGACGCAUAAACCAAGCACGAGGUGCUUGUUUGAGGCCAUAAAGUGACUUGUUCAGUUUGCAAACAUAAUCUGGAAAAUCUGAAUUAACAAACCCCUUAGGUUGCUCCAUAUAUACAUCCUUUAGCAAGAUCCCAUGAAGAAAAGCGUUAGAUACAUCAAGCUGUCUGAUUUCCCAAUCAAAUUGAAUAGAAAGUGUAAGAAGAACCCGUACAGUAGAAGGCUUAAUUACUGGACUAAAAGUCUCAGUAAAGUCAAUACCUUCUUCUUGAGCAAAUCCCAAAGCCACUAAUCUUGCUUUGAAUCUGUCAACCUCACCUGUGGAUGUUUGUUUAACUUUAUACACCCACUUAUUUCCCACCACAUUAUGAUCAACAGGUCUAGGACAUAGCUUCCAUGUCUCAUUAGCCAAUAAAGCAUCAUAUUCCUCUCUCAUAGCAACACACCAGUCAAGUAAUAAAGCAGCUUGUCGGUAAGAGGUUGGUGCAAGGGGAGUCACAGUACUGGAUAAUGCUUGGAGAGGAUAUUGGGUGGAAUAGAGUUUAAAAUCUGAAAAUGUGCGAGGUUUGAGGUUUCCUGUUUGGGAGCGAGUUGUCAUGGGGUGAUGAGAGUGAUUGGAAGAAGAGGAAAAUUCAGGUAUAGAAAGGGUAGGAGCUGGACCAGGUAUGGGAGAAGGUAGAGUGGAGAUAUGAGGAGAAGUGGGGAUAGGUAAAGAUUCUAGAGGAGAAUCAGGUGAAUCUGAAAUGAUUGGAGAGGAAUGCUGUAAAUUAGAAGUAGAUAAAGAAAAUGAAGGAGAAGGUAAAGGCGUACCUUGAGAGGAGACCACUGGAAGAAGUUCAGAAGACUGCAAUCCAUCCUUAGCAAGAAAUGUAUUCUCAUUAAACACAACAUGUCAUGAGAUUAGAACUUUUUGAGUGACAGGAUCCAAGCAUCUAUAUCCAUUUUGAUGGGAACUAUAACCUAGAAAUAUGCAACGUUUGGAUCUGAACAUUAAUUUGUGAGUUGCAUAUGGUCGCAACAAUGGAAAACAGGCACAACCAAAGGUGCGCAAGGAGGUAUAAUCAGGAUGUUUGCCAAAUAAUUUAAGAUUUGGUGUUUGGUUAUCAAGAGUAGAUGUUGGCAGUCUAUUGAUGAGAAAAAUGGAUGUUAAAAAGGCAUCAACCCAGAAUUUAGUGGGCAAAAGUGACUGAGCUAAUAGAGACAGUCCCAUUUCCACCACAUGACGGUGUUUACGCUCAGCAACCCCAUUUUGUUGGGGUGUAUGAGGACAAGUGCGGCGAUGUUGGAUUCCAUUAGAGGAAAGAAACAAUUGAAAUUGGUUGGACAUGUAUUCUCCACCUCCAUCCGAUUGUAAUUGCUUAAUUUUGCAAGAAAAUUGGUUUUCAACUAGUGUUUUGAAUUUAACAAAGCAAGCAUAUACAUCAGAUUUAUUUUGGAGAGGAUAAAGCCAUGAGAAUCGUGAAAAAUCAUCAAUGAAUAUAACAUAAUACUUACAUCCACUGAGAGAUUUGGUAGAACAAGACCAUACAUCAGUAUGAAUUAAUUGCAAAGGAAAGGAAGAAACACAAGUAGAAGGUUUGAAAGGAAGUUGCUUACCUUUGCCAAGUUGGCAAGGUUCACAAAAAUGCAUUUUAUUCACUAAUCCUUCAACAGGUAAGGAGUGUUUAUUUAAUAACUGAGACACAAUGGGAAGAGAUGCAUGUCCUAAUCUAGAAUGCCAAACUGAAACUGGUGCUUUAAUUCCUACAACGACUGACAAAGCAUGUGAUUUAUUGAUAGACAUUGACCGCAACUGGAUUGGAUAGAGACCCCCUUCACUCCUGCCUUCCAGUAGUGUCGCCCCCGUUUGUAUGUCCUUGACAAAAUAAUGAGUACCAGUUAGAAUAAAGAGGCAAUUAUUAUCAAGACGGAAUUGAUUUAUGGAAAGCAAAUUGGCAGAAGCUUGAGGACAAUGGAGGACACGUUUGAGGUUUAAUUUAGCUUCAGGAGUAUGAAAAAUAGUAGUACCAGUAUGUGCAAUACUUAAACCUUGGCCAUUACCAACAGCUACAUUUUCUUGUCCUGUGUAUGGUUGUUGCAGAGUAAGAUGCUCCAGAUUGGCAGUAAUGUGCUGAUUAGCUCCACUAUCAGCAAACCAUGUCUCUUCCUCUUGCUCAGCAUUGCUAUGUGCCACCAUAGCAGCUAACUAGGUUGGUGGAUGACGACCCUGAUAUGCAUAAUCCAUUCUAUGAAAGCAAUCUAAUGCCUUAUGACUUAGCUUUCCACAGAUUUGACAAGGUGCCUUAGGAGUGGAAAAUGAGUGCUGCUUCUGAUUUGGCUGAGGUGAGGAAGGUAAACCAGAGGGUUGUGGUGAAUAUCGAGGACGAGGAUUUUGUGAAAAUGAAGGACGUGAAUAUGGUUUACUUGGGUUUUUGGGUUUGCGAUUGUACUGCUGUUGGUUAGAUUUGGGAAUGAAGAAAGCAAAAUUAUUUGUCUCAGGUGGUAUAGCAAUAUUCUGGUUUUCCAAUAACAGUUCAUAUGACAAGAGCUCGGCUUGAAAGUCUUCAAAAGAAACAUUCUUGUCUCUAGUGGCAAAGGACAGAGAGGUUAUAAAGGGAUUAAAGGAUGGGUUGAGUCCACUCACAAUAUAAGACAUUAAGUCAUCAUCCUUAAGUGGCUUACCAACUGCAGCUAAUUCAUCAGACACCAACUUUGCUUUUUCAAGAAAAUCAGUGCACUUCAUUGACCCUUGAUGAAGAGUCUACAACUUUCGCUUUAGGUGGUGUACACGGGUUCUGGAUUGAGAGGCAAACUUGUUUGCUAGAGAACUCCACACCUCUCGAGCAGAUGUGAUGCCAUAAACAGAAGCUAGCACCUUGUCAGACAAAGUGGCAUUGAUCCAACUUAACACACACUGAUCUUUCUUAUUCCAGAGAAUAUAUGCUGGAUUAAGAGAACCAUCAAGAGAUUUUGAUGGACACGGCUCAAAACCAUCCACGAAGCCCAUCAAGUCAUGACUUUUCAGUACUAGCACAAUCUGAGAUGACCAUAUAAGGUAGUUUGUGUCACUCAGCUUGAUUGACACCAGAUGACCAAUGUUUGGAGGAGCAAAGAUAACAUUGGAGGAAGCGGAAGAAGAGAAGGCCAUAGUUGAGAAGGAAAGGAUCGAUUGAAAUUAGGCGUAUGCCAAUUGCUCUGAUACCAUGAAAGACUCUGUAGAAAUCUGUAAAAUGGUAUUGGCUUCAAUGCCAAAAACCGGGUGGCUAUUCUCAUUUAUAUACAAUUACAGAAGAAGUUUUGAAAUACACAAUAACAGAAAUUUAAAAAUAGUCAAGGGUUAUCUCUUGGGUUAUCUCUUAAAGUGGAUAAGUGUUUAUCUGGUGGAUAAGAUAAGUGAGAAGCCAAGGAAAUCUCGAUGGUUUGAAUGUUGUGGUUAUCAGAGUUGUAUAUAGAGAGAAUUGAGAAGAAGGGGAUGACAGUUUAUAUAUAUAUAUAUAUAUAUAUAUAUAUGAAAUUCUAACAAUGAGCCAGCCUAGUGGUUGGUUUUUGCAGCCAGCGCAGUAGAUGUUGGCCAAGUCUACAAUGGCCACCUUAGUCACAGCUUCAAGGGUUCUGGAAAAUCGAAUUUCACCUUCUCCAAUAAUGUACAAGUUAAAGCUGCAUAUGUAGAAUAUGGGCAAUUCUUUAGGUGAAAGAUACGCCUACAAUUUUUCUCAACCAAAAAUGCUCAAUUCAUGAAAAUUAUUGUAGGCUAUGCUCGAUUCUAGGAGAUAUUAAGAAAAAAAAAUCUAAGUAAAAUGAUUUUAAUUUUAAUAUAAAAGAAAUUGUGAGAAAAAAAAAAUCAAAUAAUCAUUAAAAUGAGUAAAAUGAAUUUUAAGUAACAUUUCUUCUUUAUUUUUUUAUUUUUCUAGAACUAAACAUAGUCCUAAAUUAAGUCUAUAUAUUUUUACAUUCUUUAUUUUAUAUAUAUAUAUAUAUAUAUAUAUAUAUAUAUAUAUAUAUAUAUAUAUAUAUAUAUAUAUAUAUAUAUAUAUAUAUAUAUAUAUAUAUGAGAGAAAAAGAGAAAAGAAAAAGAGAUAGAGAGUGGGAAAAAAUUUUGCUUUCGUGUGUUCCUGCGAGAAAAAUUGAAAGAAAAAAUACAAUAUAUUAUAAAAUACCAUAUCUAGAUCUCUCUUUCUCAUUUUCUCUUUCCCUCUACCAAACAGUAUAAUCACGCCCUCAUUGUUUGUCUCUUUGUCUNNNNNNNNNNNNNNNNNNNNNNNNNNNNNNNNNNNNNNNNNNNNNNNNNNNNNNNNNNNNNNNNNNNNNNNNNNNNNNNNNNNNNNNNNNNNNNNNNNNNUUUUUUUUAAUUUAUAAAAGAGAGGGUGAGAAAAAAAAAAAAAUAAGAACAAAAAAGAGAAGAAAAAGUAUUUUAAAACAUAUAUUUUUUAUUUUUUUAUAUAUAAAAAAAAAAACAUACAUUAAAAUUAUAUAUAUAUAUAUUUAUAUACUUUUUUUUUUAUAUAUAUAUAUAUAUAUAUAUAUAUAUAUAUAUAUAUAUAUAUAUAUAUAUAUAUAUAUAUAUAUAUAUAUAUAUAUAUAUAUAUAUAUAUAUAAGAGAAAAGAAAAAGAGAAAUAAAGUUGGAAAAAAUUUUCUUUUAAUGCUUUCCUGUGAAAAAAAUUGAAAGAAAAAAUAAAAAAUAAAAUAAAAUAAAAAAAAUAGAAAUCACAAUCAGAAUUUUUCAUUUCCUAAACCAAACAGUUUAAAUCUAGCCAUCAUUUGUUUUUCAUUUUGUCUUUUUUUUUUUUUUUCAUUUUUUAUAUUUUUGUUCAAACUUUUGGAGCCAACAAAAAUUCUUAAAUAACUUGCAUAAAGCCAAAACAAUUUCAAAAAGAGACAGGAUAGUAACUCACGCGCCGUGAAUCUCUAACCUUUAAUUUCCUUAUGUUAUAUAGAAGCAAACCAACACUCUGAUUUCUCAUUUUUCUUUACCUCGUUUUCUCGAUUCUCUCUAACUUUCGUCGGUCCAGGUACUUUUCCGAUCUAUUUCUCUCUUUUCUUCUUUUCUUUCCAGUCCAUGUCUCAUUGUGAUUUCUUAUUUUGCAUUUUCUUGUUUGCAUUUUUUGCACUCUUACUUUUCAUUACCUCGCUUUCUCGAUUCUCUCUGACUUUCAGUUUCAUGUCUCAUUGUGUUCGUCGGUCCAGCAGGUACUUUUCCGAUCUCUUUCUCUCUUUUCCGAUCUCUUUCUCUCUUUUCUUCUUUUCUUUUCAGUCCAUGUCUCAUUGCAAUUUCUUAUUUGCAUUUCUUUCACUUUCUUGGUAACCAAACAACAGUCAUUUUUCACUGUUUGUUUGCAUUGGGAUCUGAGGUGUCCCGAUCUCUCUUUUCUUUUUUUCUUUAAAAUAUUAAUAAGUUACUUUCGUCUAAAUCCAUAUCCUUGUUUUUUUUUUUUAUGAUCAGAAGUCGUAUUUGUUGAUGUCUUGUGUCCCAGUGAUCCACGUGGCUGUCAAGUGGACGCACGCUUUUAUCCAAGAUUGAGUUCUGGUUCAGUCUUCCCUGCAAAAGAUGUCCGGACAGGAGGUCCGGACACACCCUCCGAUGGUUUUGUUAGCCAUGUGUCACGGACUUAGUCGUUCACUAAGCUCGUGCGGCACUUAGACAAGCCAAGACGCUUGAUCUUGCUAAGUCAGCCUUGCUCCCCAAUGCUUAGCUUGCUAGGCUAAGACAUUUGCGACUCAAAAGCUUAAGAAGCUUGGUAGGCAACUCUUGAAAGAAUGGAAGCUUUCACUAACUCAAGGAAACCUUUACAAGUGCUUGGAUGCUCACUUGCUUGGUGUCUUGGCUAAAUGAGGUCCUCACCUAUUUAUAGGUACCAAUGGAAUUCUCUGGAACCUUGGAGGGUUCCUUACAAUUCAAGACUAUUCUAGAAUGUCCUACAUCAUUCUAGGUACAAGCCUAUAUACAAGUAUAUACAAGAGACUUCUAGAAUUCUCUAGAAAGCCCUUAACUCCUCUCAUGUCUUCCACCAUAAUGUAGAAUUGUGUGGAUUCCUCCAAACUUCUCUAGAACCUUUCACACUCUUCCCACUUUAGGAGUCUCCAAAAGUUUCCUGACUCUAAAGAAAAUAAUUUUUUUUAUUGGAUUUUAUUUUAUUUUAUUUUAUUUGGAAACAAAAUGAUAAAGAUCCCUUAAAAAAAUUCAUUUCUAAACUAAAUGUCUAAAAAUAUUUUUUUUUUCAAUAUAAGUUAAGCAAAAUUAUAAAAUAAAAAAAAAAUUAAAAGGCUAAAUUUUAUUUAAGCUAAAAUGAUUAAAAACGGAAAAUCACAAUUUUUUUAAUAGAGGAGGCGACCAAAUACCAAAACCUAACCCUAUGGCAAAAGAUAGGGUAAAAUAAUGGUAUAUAUACAUUUGUCAUAACUUCUUAUCUAGUGAUAUAAAUGGUGACAAAUAUAAAAAUAAUGUUAUUACAAUCACAUUUGAAAUUCAGAAAAGAAUUUUUAAGAAUACUAGGAUGAAUUAUUUGUUUUUAAAAGAAUAAUAUUAAAAGCAACUUGCUUUUUUACUAAAUGAAAAAACACCAAAAUUGACUCUUCUCAAUACUAAAAUUAAUUUGUUGGUUUUGUUUUACUUCUUAAUAUUUAAUAAAAAUAAAAUAUUUUAAAAAAUAACUUAAUAUUUAACACUAUUAAACAAUGUUUUGUAUUAAAUUUUAUUUAGAAUGAAAAAAAAGGCAUUACUUUAAUGGGUGUUUGAUAAAUCAACUUAAUAAUUUAAAAUGACUUAAUAACUUAAUUUAACUCAUAAAAUAAAUAAAAUAUGUUUGGUUAAAUAACUUAAUAGUAUAACUUAAAAUUUAAAUAAAAAAACUUUAAGUAAUAAAUAAAAAUAAUUAAAUUAUUUUUAAGUUCAUAUUUUCAUUUUAAUUUUUUCAUGCAUAUUUGUCAUAAUCACCUUCAUGAUGUCUUUUAUUAUUUCACAACCUUCGUUAUUAGUCGAUUUUUUUUACUACUCCAUGACCUUCAUGGUUACUCGAGAUCCUUUAUCAAUUUUAUAAUUUAUAAGGAUAAAUAUAUCAAUUUGAUAAUUUAGAUUUAUCUAACAACCUUAAUACUUAAUUUGAUGAUUUAGAUUUAUCUAACAACAUUAAUACUUAAAAUAAAAUUUAAGUAAUUUUCACAAUCUGCAUAUUACCAUUCUUCUAUUUUCAUGUAUGAACGAGGAUAAAACUCCAGCUAUACUCCAAUCUAUUUCUAUAUAUAUAUAUAUAUAUAUAUAUAUAUAUAUAUAUAUAUAUAUAUAUAUAUAUAUAUAUAUAUAUAUAAUUCUCUAUGUUCGAAAGUACUAUCAUGUAUAAUUAUUAUUUUUUUAUUUUUUUAAAUAAGAAUUUUUUAUGUAAAAGUAAAACAUUUUAUACCAAAAAUAUAUAUUUAUACUUAAAAAAAAAUUAAAAUUUAAGAUAGUAAAAAUCUUUUAAAACAAAUUUUAAAAUUACUACUUUUUCGAUGUAAAUUUUUAAAAAUUUUGUAUCCUAUAUAAAAACUAUUACUAAAAUUAUUACUAUUUUUAAUUUAAAAGCAAAAAAUAAAAAAUCUUUCUAAACUAACACUUAGGAAGUGUUUGAUAAAAUUUACUGUUUAUUAUUCAAUUAUUUAAAUUAACUUUAAGUUAAAUUAUAUUUAAAUUACUUAAAAUUUAUUAUUUAAUUUUUAUUCUAAAUAUUAAAGUUGUUUAAUAAAAUUAACUUAAAAUUUAUUUUAAAUCAUUAAAUUAAAAUAUUUAUCCUCAUAAAUUAUAACAAGAGUAAAGGAGGUUGAGUAAUAAUGAAUAUCAUUAAAGAGAUUGUGGAGAUAAAUAGGACAAAUAUAUAUAAAAAAAGUAAAAUAAAGAUAUGGACUUAAUAAUAAAUUAAUUAUUUUUUAUUUAAUAUUUAAAUUUAUUUUUAAUUUUAAAUAAUACUAUUAUAUUAUUUUACCAAAUAUAAUUAAUUUACUUAAUGAUUUAAAUUAAGUUAUUAAGUUAAUUUACCAAACACUCCAAAAUUCAACUUAUUUUUUUAUCAAUAAUGUUAUAUAUUUAUCUAAUUAAUUACCAACAUGUUAUAUUAUGAGAAAUUAUAGGAAAAAUCUGAAAAUAUAAUAAAUUUUAUCUUAUACCUAAUUCUUAAAAUGUCUAUAUAAUAAAUUUUCUCCGUAAAUGCUGAAAUAAAUGAAAAUAGAAUAUCAAUUUUCAAAAAUUGAAAAAAAAAAAAACAAAAUUUAGUGAGUAAUUGUUUCUAUAUAAAAACCCAACUCUCCCGCCCACUCUCUCACAUUUUCUCUUUCAUUCUCUGGCUUUCUAGGGAAAGUUGAAGAGGCUUCCCUCUCAGUUUCUCCUUCGUUCUUUCACUUCGAUUGUUGGUCUUCUUCUUCAUCAAUCCUACAUCUUUUUCAUUUUUGUUCUUAAAUCCAAUAUCUUUAUUUACCUUUUUCUUUUGUGUGUUUGACUGUAUAGGGACGUGAAGUACGAAACGUCUGAAUUACAAUCAGGUACCUUCUCGCUUUCUUUCAUUUGAUUUUUCCAAAGCUUGGUUUACGACAUUUUCUCGACAUCCAAACAACCCUAUCUAUGUAUAUUAUAUUUCUUUCUUAAUCAGGAGAAGUUAAUUGCUCUGAAAAUGGCCAACAUGCCCAACUUGGUUUUGGAGUGUCACUUCUGCUCAACACGCUUUCAAUCUCUCACACAGAAUCUUGGAAAUGUAUUUUCUUUCUUUCCUUCUUUCUUACUUACUUUCUUUUCUUCUUUCUUUUUUUCUUUCUUUCACUCUGGUCUUCAUUUUUGUUUGCAGAUCUUUAAUCUACCUCAACCUUACGAGAAUGCUUGGCUCUUCGAUAGAGCGUAAGAUUUUCAUUCCUUUCUUCUUCUUAUGGAUUCUCGAGAAUAAUUAUUAUUAUUUAAAAAAAAAUCAUGAUUUAAUUGAUACAAUUUUAUGGAGAAAUUAUCAUAUUCAUGCAAUGUAAAUUGCAGUUCCAAUGUGUACUGGGAAGAAGGAGUGGAAAAUCCAUUUACGACAUUGAUUUCAGUUGCUGGUCAGGAGGGGAGCACCCAGAUGACACUGACCAAUGUUUCCUGUUCUGGAUGUGGAACUCCAUGUGGCUUGAAAAUUGUGACCAUUACCAUCCCUUUCUCUCUCUCUUCUUUUCUUUCUUCCCACAUCAUUUUUACUAAAAAAAAAAUUUUAAUUUUGAAUUAUGUAUAACAUGAUAAUUGUUUUCAAAAAUAGUUUCCAAAAAUAGUUCUUUGUUUUUAAAAACAAAAAACAAGUAUUUUCAGUUUUCUUAUUAUUAUUUAAAAAUAAUAAUUACAUAAAUAAAUUAAAAAUAAAAUACUACAUAUAUAUUUUUAAAAUUUAUUUAAAAAUAUAAAACAAUGGUUAAAAAUAUUAUUGGUUUCCAAAUGAUUUUUUUUUAAUAAAACAUCAUUAAACAAUUUCCAAAAAUUAUUCUAAAAACUUGUUGGUUAGAAAAGCUAUUUCAAAUAGUCAUAAUAUAUAUAUAUAUAUAUAUAUAUGAAAAUCUAAUUUUUUAAUUUUUUACAUUUACCUCAAAUUUCAACCAACAAACAUAGGGUUAAUUGAUUAAUCUAAACUUGUAUAUGUUCUUUAUUCAGGUUGCGGUUGGUCUACAUCCUUUGUUUCGUCGAGGACAAUAUAUAUUAUAAGCAAAGUAAGCUUUUAUAAUAUGAUCCUAUAAGAUUUCAAUGAUUAAUGAACAAGUUCAUUCUUCGCUUUGUUGUACAUCGUGGAACUAUGAUGUAUUAGGGUAUCGAAUUAUGAUGUGUUAUGGUAUCAUAUUAAUAUAUUUUAAAUCAAUAAAUUAUUUUUAUAUUUUAUUUCAAACUCAUCAUUUUAUUUAUUUUUGGAUAUUAAAUUAUUUAAAAAUGUAUAAAUUUUGAGGUAAUUUUAAUUGUAUUUUUCACAUUUUUCAUAAAGAAAUUAAAUAAAAAUUUAUUUUUUUAAAUAUUUUUUUCUCUUUAAAAUACCAUGAAAAUAUUUUUUCGUAAAAUUUGACUUAGUAUAUAUGUGAUGGUAAUUUCUUAUACUCUAAUUAGUGGUAUAUUGGGACAUGAGUAAGAUCCAACUCAUUGAUUUCUUCAAAAUAUUAAAAAGAUAAAGAACAAAAAAUAUUCCUCUAUUAUCAAUGGCAUAUAAAUAAAUCUUUUUAUGUUAGAAUUCAAAAUAAAUAAAUAAAUUAUAAACAAUAUCAUCCUUAUUGUUCUAAGUCGAGUUUCAUUUACGGUAGCAAAUUUUCUUCCCUGUUUUAUAAGAACUUUUUUCCUAUAUUAUAAAAACAUUUUUUCCUAUAUUAGGUAUAUCAGCAAAACAAAACAAAACAUUGAUGGUAAAUUGUUAAAUAUGAUUAAGCAAAUAUCAAAGCAACAUAUUUAAGUUGAAUAAAUAAGUUAGGAUCGAGAUGAAGGUUAUUUGAAAAUAUAUAUAUAUAUUUAAAUAUAAAAAAGUAUAUAUAUAUAUAUUUAAAUAUAAAAAAGAAUAAAAAACGAUUGGAUAUUCAAUUUAAAAAAUGAUAGGAGUCCUUUUGGAACAUUUUCAACAAAUAUAAUAAUAACAAAAGGAAAGGUAAGAGUGUUUGGGCCAUGUCCACGACAGAGAAGAAAAUUGAUGCACUCAAUCGUUGUUUCCUGUAAAGAAAAUUAAUAAUUUCUUUAUAAUUUUAGAGACAGAUCCGGGCCCAACGAAUAAUGCAAUUUCGGGUCCAUGUCACAUCGAGUUAAGAUUCUUAAGAAAUACUAUAAAUUAGAAAAUCUUUUUAUAAUCGUGAUAUAAUUAAAAUCUUAUUUAUUAAACAUAUAAUAUGACAUCACCUAUUUAAUUAAAUUAAUAAACAUGCAUUUUAUUUAAAACAUUUUUAAUAAAAAUAUUUUUUCUAAAAAUAUUUUUGAAAUCAUUACUUAUUCAAUGCUUUUCUUAGGAAUCAUUAUUAUUAAUUUUUCAAAAAUUUUAAAGCAUUACCUAAAGUUUUAUAAGACGUUUUUUUUUUAUAUAAAUUAUUUUUUAAAAUAGAAAUAUUUUCUAAAAUACUAUUAAAAAUCCGUUUAAUAGUGAUUUUAUGAAGGAUUUGUAACAUUUCUAAUAAUUAAAUAAUAAAAAAUUUUCAAAUAUUAAAAAUAUUAAAAACAUUUAUUAAAAUCAUUGUCGAACAAACUUUAAAUAAAAACAUCUUUUAGAUUUGAAAUAUUUUUUAAAACCUCAAAUACAAAAUAAACAAAUCUCUUUACAUUUACGAGAAAACACAUCCAUUUUAUUUGUACUUUCUGAAAUAUAAUAUUAGUAAUAAAUAAAUAAACAAAUAAGAUUAUAUCUUGUUAGAGGAAAAAAAUUUGAAGAGGAAAGAAAAAGACCAACAUUUAGAAAAAAAAAAAAAAAAAAACCCUUCUUAUGAAUUUUCUUUAAUCAAACAUACCAAACAUAGCCUUAUAACCAAACAAAACAAAAUAAAUUUUAUCCUGACUUUUCUAUGUAUAACCAAACAAAAUAAAAUGCUUUACAUGAACAAAAUGUGUUACAUGAAUAAAAUGAGCAUGAAAUAAAAUAUUUAAAAUAUUAUCAAAUUUUAAAUUUUUAUAGCACACAAGUUGUACCUUUUCUAAUUUUUAAAUUUAAAAUAAAAAUAUAUUUCAAAUAUUUUAAAAUAUAUAUUUAUAUAUUUAAAAUAUUAUCAACGCCAAUUUAGUAUUUUCAAAUUUUUUAUUUUUAUUCAUUUACAAAAACGUAGACCAAAAAUUAUUAACUCGAUCCUUUGCGCGUUCACGCUACAAAACUGAGCCGCGUAACACCGUAACACCACAAUAACUCACCCGUCUCGCACGCAAACCCAUGAAACUCCUUUACCUUUUAACACCGGUCACCACAGCCUCCUCUGUACGGAGCCACUAGAUAUUAUCUCAUAACACGACGUGCAUAACCUGCGUUACCCGGUAAAACUAACUCACUCAGUUCCAUAUUCACCGGCAUUUCCGGUUCCUUUAUCUCCUGCACGAAAUCUCGGUAUAAAUCCAUUCCUUUACAUUUCUCUAGACAGUCUCGAUCUCACCGGAAUCGUAAUCGUAACCUCCGAUCAUCGUUCCUCCCGGAAUAGACUAGAUAGUUUUGUAAGUGCUGGUUAUUGAUUAAUCUCUUGCUUAAUGGUUUGUUUGUUGUGAAAUCGGAGCUGUUUGUUUUGUUUGAUGAUGAUUGAUGUUUGAUUGUAUUUGAUUUGAUUUUAUACGUCUGAUUUAGGCUUUUUUUGGUUGUGAUUCUGAUUGUUUUUCGAUCUGUGCGUGUUUUCAUGUAUCCGGUUGGUUUUGGUUGGGGUUUGGGGAUUUUGGUUUUGGUUUAAUUCCUUUGUUUGGUUUCGUAGAAAGCAGUGGGAAAGAAAAGAGGAUGAAAGGAAAUCGAAUCUAGGCUUUAGUAUAUUGGAGUUAUGUUUUGGUUUGUUUGUUUGAUUUUAAUUUCUCUGUUUGGUUGAUUACAAAAUUGUUAAUUAAAAAAGAUUGACAAUUUUGAAUUUCAUGUUUUUUGUUGUUUUGAAAUUCAGGAUUAGGUCGCCUCGACUGGUUCCAGUCAAAGGAAAAUCUAAGAUCCAGAAUUUUAGUUCCUGGUUUUUUACUUUUGCUAUGCGACCAAAGAAAGCAUAAGUUUUUCCAAUUAUUAAACGUCACCUUUGUUUAUAUAUUUUAUUUGAUUAGUAUGAUAUAUUCAUGUUUCAGAAAAUAUGAAAAAAAAAAAAAAAAGCUUGUAAUUUCACUGUUUUGGUUUCUAAGAAAUAAAUUUCUUCUUAAAAAAAAUCUUUAAGUUACACGACUACUUUUUAAAUUUUUUUAAGUUUUUAGUUUGUCAUAAUAAGCAACAAGAAAUGGUAAGCUUUAAAUUUCCUUUCAUCAGUUUUGACAAGAGGCAAAUGAAAUGUAACCUGUCCUUUAUCUGCAGUGUGUUUAUUAAUUUCAGGAUUUUAGUUGUUCUUUGUGCUUUUGGCUCUUAUGAAGUGAUUUUUUUACUGUGGGUAACUAAUUAACUAGAAUCAGUAUUUUCUAACAGUUUGUAUUGUUUGAAUAAAUUUACAGCCCAUUGCUUGGGAUUUUAUUAGUUUCAAUUGCAAAUAUUCCUUAAAAAAUUUCUUACUUUGUACUUUAACCCUGGGAUUAUCUUCCUUCAAAACAGACUUUUAGAGAAUGGUUGUAGAAUUUCUUCUCUGUAGGUCUUCAUUUGUAGUUUUAUGGAUUAGUAAUGGUUUCCAGCCUAUUACUGUGAGUUAUGUUACUGGAUUAAUAUUCACAACAUGUUCUUUCUUUUGUCGCUGAAUGUGAAAUUUAGGAGACUAACUUACUGAAGAUGGCGGAUAAUGAGGAGGGAGAGGAAACCACUUCUCGUGGAAAUGAAUGGGAAGUUGUUUCACUUACAGCAUCAGCAUAUGCUGCUGCUCCAGGUCCAAAAGGAAUUGAAAUGAGUGAUGAUGGCAAGAGUAAUACCUUUAAAGGCAAUGAAGCGGAAACUUCUCAUGCAAUGUUUUUGUCUGGUCACUUUGUCUUUCCACCUAGUCAGCAUGAGAAUUUGCCGUUGGAACCUGAUGACACUGAGAUCCAUAAUGAACAUGGAAGUGAGGAUGUGAUUCCUGAAUCGAAUGUGGAGAAAGGUGGUCAUUCUGAUGGAAAAAAUGAAGAUAAUUGGAGUGUCAAAGAUCUUACUAAAGGAGAUGAAUUCCCUGGCAUACAGUUGUUUGAUGAAGGGGGAAAAAGUCUAUCUGAUCGUGGCAAAGGUUUUGAAGAAGGAACAGCCCUCAAAGGGCUAAAUCUGGUUGACAAAGAGCCUGAUAUUUACAGUGCUGCUAAAUUUAGUUCUUUGCACAGUGAACCAACUAUUGGUGGAUCUACCACAUAUGAUGGGAAUACGGUUAUCCCAGAUCUAGUUGAACCUCCUGAGCUAGGUGCAGACCUCCAUGCAGAUAUCUCACAAUCUCCAAAAUCUACAAAAGAUGAUGAUAGAUAUGAUGGGUCCAAUCUUCCUUGUGAAGCUUGGUGGAAGAGACGAGCAGCUUCCUUUUAUGGUCAUGCAAAAGAGGCAAAUGCAUUUUGGUCUAUCUUUAUUGCUGCAGCUGUGAUGGGCCUUGUAAUUCUUGGGCAGCGAUGGCAGCAUGAAAGAUGGCAGGUUUUACAACUUAAAUGGCAGUUUGGCGUUAAUGAUGAGGUAUGCCUUUUGCUAUUGAUAUGGUGGCAGAAAAUAUUUUUAUUUUUUUUCAAUAUUUAGCAUGUUAUGAAGCUAUUUGGUUACAAAAAUCAUGUAUCUGGUGUUUGUUGAUUAUGAUGUGAUGGGGUCAGAUCUCAACACUUUUCUACAUAUAACUGCUAUGAUUACUAUAACUACUUGAGAUUUGUCUUCAAUUUUAAAACUAGCCCUUUUGUGUGUAAUUUAUGAGUCAAAAAGCUGCAAGAAAAAUUUUGAACAUGUGUUAUGCAGAGAAAAUGCGGUCUUGAUAUAUUUUCAGCCAUACAGGACUAGUUUUUGGUUAUAUUAGCAUGCCAUGAUAUCAAUGUAGAUUGGUUGGCUGCUGAUAAGAUGCUGUAAGAAAUGAGAUUUAUGUUUUGAUUGUUCUUGCUUAUGAAAAGGGGCAUAAUACAUGCUGAACUUUUGUGAUUAAAUGGGUCCAAGCCUUUGACAUCAGAGUGUAGUUGUCAACCUCUCUGAUCUCUGUAAUUUCAUUUCCCCCUAUGGGUGUGUAUAUCAGGCAAAAAAUAUAAUGAAUUCAUGCUUUCAUGGUUCAGGCCAUAGGUUGGCAUCAGCACAUUUAGUUCUUGUGUUUGAAGACUUAACCCAAGGCAGUAGGCAGAUUUUGUUGAUUGAGAUCAUUUAAUCCUGCCAUAGUUAUCUGCCCUUCUCAAGGAUCAUUUGAGUCUUUAGCAGUUUGGAUUAUUGUCAAUGUUGCCUUAGUUGUGAUCUGCUGGAUAUUGCAGAUUAGGACUUCUGUCAUGGAGAUAUAUAUAUUUUUUUGAUAAGUAAUGUCAUGGAGUAUUUGUUGUUGGGAGAGAUCCAUUUUUGUUCCCAGUCAAUAAAAGAUCUGUGGAUAAUGAUGUCAUGUUUGGGAACGUUUCCAAAAACAGUUCUCAUAAAUAGUUUUCAAAAAUAGUUAUAAAAAAACAGUUAUUGAGAACAGUUUUCAAAAAUAAUUUUCUAAUGUUUUCUAUAACACAAGUCUAUUUGAAGAUUUGGAAUAUUUUCAACAAGUUUUCUGUGUUUCCAAAUAUUUCUUAAAAAUAACUUUUAUUUGUAAUGUUUUAUUUUCAAUAAUUCUUCAUAUUUGUAUAAUUAUUUAAAAAAAAAAAAAAACCUCUAGAAAACAAGUGAAAACAACUUAAAACAAUUAAAUAUGUUAUUAGAAAACACCUUGUUUUUAGAACAAAUUUUCAAAAAGUUGUUUUUUGUCAAAAAAUUGUCAAAAGUAUUUUUGAGUUUGUAAAACAAUUCCCAAAUAGGCUCAGUUAUAAAUUUUGUUAUCCAAUUUUACUUUCUAUUUUCAAAUUUUAAUAAUAUAAUUUUAAAAAAUAAAGGUAUUGCAAUUUUUUAUUUCUAAAUUAUUUCAGAGCAUAUUUUAGAUUUAAGGAAUUCAGAAAAGCUCACUCAUGAGAGAAAAUUGGGAGUGUAGAGAUUAUUGAAGAUCAAAGCUUGCAACAAUGGAUUUGUCCCCUGCCUGAUCAUCCUCUUCCAUAAGGUUAUCUACCUUCACUGAGCAUUGUUCAUUGUCACCCCCUACCACUGAUUGUUGGAUCAUCCUCUAGAGUGCAGAUCUCUUAGAUGAUUUUAAGUUAGCUGAGAAUUUGAAUUAUGGGGCACUUGAUGGGCUCUUGCUCAUUAGAUGAAUUUAAACAUUUGAAAAAAUUGAAGAAGAAGAAGAAGAAUAAAAAGGGCCUUGAUGUGCUCUUGCACAUCAGCUGAAAUUGAACUUUUGGUAAAAAAAAAAAAAAAAUGAGGGGGAGGAGGGCACAAAGGACACCAACUGAAAGAAUAAUUGGAGGCGGAUCAGUUGCUUCAUUAUGUUUAUAUGAUCUUCCAAUUUGGCUUGAAUCAUUUUCUGCUUUUUCAUUAUAGGCUUUAGGUUUAAAAGGUACUCAGUUCUGGGUUUGUUUCAAUUUUUAAGAUUGGAGAUUCGAGAUUACAGUUGACUCAAGAUAUAUAUGCAUAUAUAUUUUAGACUUUUCCAGCUUAACUUUUCUAUUUUUUUAGCAUUGGGUUCAGUAGCUUUAUGUGAUCCAACUCAGCUAAUGGUGUUGAAAUUUUUUUUUGAAGUUUUCAGCAAAAUUAUUCACUUUUUAAGUAGCAAGUGUUUGUUCUUUUGUUAGGUUCACUUGUGAUCAAAGAAUCUGAAUGGCAAUGAUGAUGAAAUAGAUUUUUGUUUUUUGUUUCAUCUGAUAACAAAAUAAACAAGAAACAUUUAUGUUGAUUAUUUUUAUCACUAGGAUUGGGCUACCAAAGUGUUUUGCACAUCAUGUUUGGGAGCAUUUGAGAUUCUCAUAUAGUGCAUCUAUCUUCUUGUACAUGCAGGAGUAGAAGUGCAAUACAACUCGAUGUAUGCAUUUUUAUAAUCAGUUGUUGUCCUUUUUUUCCCCUUUAUCGGUAAAUUUCUGUCUCCGCUGGGACCUGAACUUAGAACCUCCCACAAACCCUUCCCAACCCUUUACCGCUUGAGCCAGACCUCAAGUGCAGUUGUUGUCAGAUUCUGAUGUCUUUAUGAGUUGCAUUUUUAUACUAAUUAAUGCCAUCUACCUGCUAUAUUCUUAUGCUUCUGAUCCAUUUUUCCAUAAUUAGCUGUCAUUCAGCUUUUAUCAGCUUCCAUUCCAUUGUAAUGAAAUGCCACCCACUAGUUGCACAAUUAUGCUUUUUCUCAUUAAAUUGUAUCCUCACUGUGAGCUGGAAAAGGGUGACAUAGCCUAUUUCCUUCAAAGAGAACAGAAUUGGUUUAGGCCUCGUCCAAACUUACAAAUCACGAAUCAAUGUCACCUCUCGGCGAGUUAGUAGAGUUGCUUUUUGUAAAUCUACUCGACACCAUGCUUAUGAAACUCAAAUCAAUAACAUUUCAGAUAUUGAUAUUUUCUUUAUCACCCCUUUAUUUCAUUCCUCUUUUUCAUCUGCUAAUGUCUGCAUUCUGUUUACCACUGUAUAUUGCAGAAAAUGGGCAGGAUGUUGGGGCCCAUAAUUCGAUUAAAGGAUGUGAUAGUGGGUGGGAACCGCCGGGGUUCUUUUAUCAGAGGCAGCAGCACCUCAGGAAACCGUUAAGAUGAUGACGAAAAAGAGAAGGGGCGUCAGGAUGAUGGUAUGUUAGUUUGUUAUUGUGUGGAUCACCUAUUUUUCUUGUGACAAAGCUUUACAAAGCUACAUAUUUUAAGUUUGCUUAUUGUUAUGCUACUAUUAUGUUGGUGGUGGGUUGGCCUUUUUCGUCUUGAGAAUGGUUAAAGAUUAGGAGGUUAUAUAAUUUACACAACUGUACAUUUGGGCCUUAAAUUUUGCUAUUUGGUCAUGGUCUGUUGGUAGGAGGGCCUCAGUUGUAAUAUAUGUUUGUACAUGGCUCAUACCUGGCAUGGAUGAGGUUGAGGCCUGUGCAGACUCGAAUCAUUCUUGGCUUGGGGCCCUUCAGUCUAACCUUUGGGUAUCAAAUCCUACCAUUCCUAGGCCUGGCAUAAUAAAAUAAUAUAUUGGUAUAUUAAAAGUUUCAUUAAAUAUAAAAGAACAUGCCAUAAAAAUAUAUGCUUUUAUUUCAUAUAUUUGAUUUACAUUUAUGAUAUAAUGAAGAUUAGGAUAUUGGAGUGGCUGAGUACAUAAUUAAUUUAGAUAUGGUAGAUUUAUUUAAAAUUUUGGAUUUAAAGGUAUAAAUUAGUGUACACACAACUUAAUUUGGUUUAAUUUUUUCAUCAUUAAGAAUUUAAUUUGUUUUUUAAUUCAAAUAUAAAUUGAUGGUAUCAAUUUGAAAAAGCUUUUCUUAAAAAACUUAUCAAUUCACACUUUUCUACGCUUAAAGUGAUAUAUAAUUCUUUUUCCCGUUGUCUUUCUCCCUUUCUUCAACUUUUCCGAAGUACUUUUUAGGAUGUAAAUAUGUCUUCAAAUGCAUAAAAUAAAUAAAUAAAUAAAUAUAAGAGAGUAAGAAAAGGAGAGAGAACGUAUAUGUUGCUCUGUUAUUUUCCCUAUUGUUCCACGGAAACCUCUAGAAAAAUUGGGUCAAAAUGUAAUGCAUUGACAUGAAAAUUUUGAAACUCUUAGCUUUGCACUUUGCACUUUGCACUUUGCAUGACUAAAUAACGCUCUUUUCACUUUAAUUACGUCUGUUCACUUUUUAAAAAAUAAAUUUGUCUCAAGAUUUUUUAAUUUUUUUUCAAAAUUCCGAAUAAAAACCAAUAUAUGUUUAUAUAUGGUGAGAUGAGAUGAAUGGAAUUAUCUUAUUUAUUUUAUCGUUAUUACUUGGUCAUGAUAUUUUCAUCUUCAAUAAUAGUAGUUGAAUAAUUGGUGAACUAAUUAUAUAUAUAUAUUAUGUUUGUCCACCUACAUUACAUUCCAUCGUACUUUCUAAUUUUGUGGGCUGGGGUUGAUGCUGUGGGACACAAGAGGUAUAAUCUCCAGCUAAACUCAGCCUUAAGACUUCGGACCGAAUUUAGAAGAAAGCAUGCUAUAUAUUAAAAUUUAACAAUUGAAGUUAAAAGUUCUAUGACAAAAAGAAAAAAAGAAAAAGGAAAAAAGGACAACAACAACCAUACUGGCUAUCCAGGUGAAGAAUGUUAUGCUCCGUUUAGUAUGCCAAACAUCUGAUAGUAAAAUCCGAGUUGUUGAACAAGGUAUAAAUACAUAAGGUUUAAACAAGUGAACCGAAUCAUUGAAUUGCAUACUAAAAUCUGAGUUGUUGGACGAGGAUGUAAAUGCGUGAUAUCAAAUAAAAUACAAAGCAAUUAAACUUGAGUGGAUACUUAUAGUGCGGUUUUAUGCUCCAUUGUUAUUUUUCAAUACAAUACCCAAAUUGUGGCAUGGCCAAACCGUAUCUGAUAUAUGCUUACAUGUAAAUAUAUAUAUACAUAGAAGUGGUCAAAAACUGAUGAUGUAGAAACAGAGAAAAUUAUUGACUGAGUUUGGAGUGAAAAGGAUAAAGAUGAAUUCUCACAUUAAGGCAUCAGUUAUAAAUAGUUGGUGGGUGGCUCACCCAACCCUAACCAGUCACAUGAUGAACUCCAUGCAUUUUCAUUUAACAUAUUAUUAUAAAACCACCAGCUACCGAGAAAAUGCAAAUAAUUGAGUGAAAACUCAACUCCACUUCAUCUUCCUUAGCAUUGCCAUCUCUUCUUUCAAAAAAAUUUUGGUGGAUCUCUGUGUCCUCAUUUCCUCAACCAAUCUCAUUUAUUUCUCCUCAUUCAAUGCCUCCUAUUAAAACCCAGCUCCUUUCCCUGAAAAAUUAGGUGUGAAGAGAGAGAUAGACAGAGGCUUUUGCUGAGUGGGGUUUUACCUUUAUAUUGUCAACGACCUCCCACUGCAUUAAUGCUGCUUUCUCGCUCUCUCUUUCUCUUUCUAUGUGUGCAUGAGGCUUGAGUGUGAGAUGGUGAAAUUCAAGAAACAGACUGGCCUUAGUAAUUGCUUGUCAACGCCGCUUCGCCUAUAAAUCCCUUCUUCUCCAUUUCUACUACUCAUACUCUCUCAGUUCUCUUCUUCUUUCUCUUGGUAAUGAAUUAUUCAAAGCUUUGGUUUUCCCAACAAUGGCGUCGUGUUGAAGUCCUGAAAAACUAGGUUUAAGCAGUGACCCACCAUUGUUGAUGAGAAAUACCAUCUGGGUUUUUUCUACUGGAGUCUUCUAAGGUACGUUUUUGGAGAUUCAGGUUUUUUCUGAGGAAAGUGCGGUUUUUUUCUCGGGAAAAUGGACGUGUUUUGGGCUUCGCUGUUUUUUAUGGCGAUCACCGCUUAUCUGCUGUGGUUCACCUUCAUCUCACGGUCGUUGAGGGGUCCACGUGUCUGGCCUUUAUUGGGCAGCUUACCAGGCUUGAUCGAGAACAGUGAACGCAUGCAUGAAUGGAUCGCUGAAAAUCUACGCGCGUGUGGCGGCACGUACCAAACAUGCAUCUGCGCCGUCCCUUUCUUGGCGCGAAAGCAAGGGCUCGUGACGGUCACAUGCGACCCGAAGAAUCUGGAGCAUAUAUUGAAGACCCGGUUCGAUAAUUACCCUAAGGGUCCCACGUGGCAAGGUGUAUUUCAUGAUCUGCUCGGGGAAGGGAUCUUCAAUUCUGAUGGCGACACGUGGCUGUUUCAGAGGAAGACCGCCGCACUGGAAUUUACCACCCGGACGCUGCGUCAGGCCAUGGCUCGCUGGGUCAGUCGAGCCAUCAAGCACAGGUUCUGCCCCAUUCUCAGGGCGGCUCAGCUAGAAGCCAAGCCAGUUGAUCUUCAGGACCUUUUGCUUCGGAUCACGUUCGAUAACAUUUGCGGCUUGACGUUUGGGAUGGACCCGCAAACCCUAGCUCCAGGCCUCCCUGAAAACAGCUUCGCCUCUGCUUUUGACCGAGCCACCGAAGCCAGCCUCCAGCGAUUUAUUUUGCCUGAGGUUAUGUGGAAGCUGAAGAAGUGGCUUGGGUUGGGCAUGGAGGUCAGCUUGAGCCGAAGCAUUGUACACGUGGAGAAUUACCUGUCCAAAGUCAUCAAUACACGUAAGGUGGAGCUGCUGAGUCAGCAAAAAGACGGAAACCCCCACGACGACUUGCUCUCAAGAUUUAUGAAGAAAAAGGAAUCCUACUCAGACUCCUUCCUCCAACACGUGGCACUCAACUUCAUCCUAGCUGGACGUGACACGUCAUCAGUAGCCUUAAGCUGGUUCUUCUGGUUGGUAACCCAGAACCCAACUGUCGAAAAGAAAAUCCUACACGAAAUCUGCACUGUUCUGAUGGGGACACGUGGCAGCGACACGUCAAAGUGGGUUGAUGAGCCGUUAGAGUUUGAAGAGCUGGACCGUUUGAUAUACCUCAAAGCCGCACUCUCCGAGACUCUCCGGCUCUACCCGUCGGUGCCGGAGGAUUCAAAGCAUGUUGUCGCCGACGACAUAUUACCGGACGGCACUUUCGUCCCGGCGGGAUCAUCAAUCACGUACUCAGUAUAUUCAUCGGGUAGGAUGAAAUCCACGUGGGGUGAAGACUGGCCCGAGUUCAGGCCUGAGAGGUGGCUAUCGGCCGACUGCCAGCGAUUCAUAUUGCACGACCAAUACAAGUUUGUGGCGUUCAAUGCGGGGCCGAGGAUUUGUUUGGGGAAGGACUUGGCUUACUUGCAAAUGAAGUCGAUAGCCGCGUCGGUGUUGCUGCGCCACCGCCUCACGGUGGUUGCCGGCCACCGGGUGGAGCAGAAGAUGUCGCUGACGUUGUUCAUGAAGUAUGGGCUCAAGGUUAACGUGCAUGAAAGAGAUUUAACGGCAGUUGUGGACGGCGUUAGGAACGAGAAAGCAAGUGAGGUGUGUGGCGAGGAAGCUGUUAGAGUUAAAUGUAACGGUAACUGUCACGCCAGUGGUUCGGUUGUUGUUGGGGGUAGCGACGUGCGGCUCGGUGUAACUUGAGAGGUUAGUUUUGGGCUGUACUUGUGGGCUGACGGAUAUACUGCAGUAGCAGCCCAACAGUUUUUAAGGCCCAAUUACGCUUGAUUUUUAAAGAACACGAGGGGUAGUGUUCCUCGAAUCCUCUCAUACGUACAGCUGUUCCUUUGUAGCCAAUAAUUUAUAUUUCACAAUCCUAUAAAAUUCUUUGUUUCUUUAUUUCAUUUAUAUUUCUAAUAAAGAUCUGGCAAUACAUUUCAAAAUGUACGUAGAAAUCUGAAUGUUGAAUCAGAAAGCCAUAUAUAAAACCAUGAUACAAAGCUAAAAAACCACAUAUGAGGUACAAAAUAAUGAAACUCGGGAAUAAAGUAACUAGCCCCGAACUGCACAUAUGGCACCUUCUGAUUGGUGAUGGUUUUUCAGGGCACCGAACCCAGACCCUUUCAAUAAUUCUGUGCAAUUUCUUCCUCAACAGUAGUCUCAUGCAAGCCACAUGUAUGAUAAUAAAUCCCAUUAGGUGAAGACUAGUUUACCAAAAAUUCAACAAAUCUCAACCAACCCAAAAUUCAAUCGGUAAAAGCAAUAAGAAACUGAGAAAAGCACCAAACCAGGAGCAGAAAUGCCCAAGUAGAUGUAAAUAUCAUCUAUUAUAGUGAUGUUGAGGUUUAUUUGAGGUGUUUUUAGACAGAUGAUACAUACUUUAAAGCAGAGCAAGAGUGAAGAGAAAGGUUCAAGAUUCUAGGGUGCAAUUACCCUUGUCUGAAAAGAAAACAUCUAUUGAUGUAAGUAAAAAGACAGUUAACUUGUAAGAACUUAAGAAGAUGAUUCUUAAAGCCAACCGGAAAAGUCACCUGCAACAACCAUCUCUGAGCCCAGUUGGUAAGAGGAAGGUGAAAAGGGGUAUAUUAGGCUUGUUUUAUUCCCACCCAGUUCAGCUCUUCAAUGUGUUCCUCUACUCCCAUCUUUUUGUAAUUUUAUCUUUUUUUGCUUUAUAGACUAUUUAUUCCUCUUUUCUUGCAUACCUAGUCCAGAAUUUUCUCUCCAGUUGCAAAUAAGUUCCAGACUAAUGUGCCAAUGAUGUACAAUACGACCGCCACCUUAAAUACGUCGCCCCAAGAGCCUGCAAGGAUAGAGUUUGGUGUUAAUAGUUGAGCUGAAAUCAGAAAUUAAAGGAAUGCUAAUGAACUAGGAGGCUUGGAUGAACCUCGUUGGAGUAUGUAACCAGUUGCUGCAGUACCAAAAACACCUGCUAGCACUCCUGCUGUAUUUGAGAGUCCCAACAGUACUCCCUGUGGAGGAAUCAAAAUAAUAAGGUAAGGUUGAUGAAAGGGACAAAGAGACAUAAUUCAGGGGCAAACCGAUUUCAAGUAACAUAUAAUUUCAAGUAAGAUAAUUGUUUCUUGAAGGACAUUAACACUGGUUCAUGUUACAUAAGAAAACAAUAGGAGCAACUCACAGCAUAACGUGGCCCAAUGUCUUGGUGAUUGGAAUAGAGUCCAGACUGUGAGAAUGCGUCUGACCCCUGUCAAGAACAGAGUACCCAUAGUUUAAUUUCUUCAACCAUUUUGUUCACUUGUAAAUUCCAAUUUCUGAGAAGAGAAAAUCUUGCAUCUGAUUGUGAAAUGUAAGCACCUUAUAUCCUGUAGGUAAUUACUUGCACAUAAUAAUUACUAGAUGAUAUCACUUCAGUGUGAGAAAAAUAUACUUUCCCACCACCUAUAUACUAUUCCUCAAGCUCAAAUGGAAUUGUAGUUAGAACUAGCUCAAACCUGACUGCAAGCCAUGCAUAGCACUGCUAAAGCGGGUGUUCUAAUAUUGCCCAACUGUGUCAGAAAGAAGGCUGGUCCCAGAAACCCAAUCGAUUGCAUGAUCUACAGCAUUGGAAAGUGUAGGAAGAAUUAUAUCCAAGAAUUUGAAAGCAUGGAAGAUUUAAUUGUAUCAGCAUUGCUCAUUUGACAUUGAAAUAACCAAACAAAAUGUGUAAAUCAUACAGUUUUCUAGACAACAUGCAGAAGGUAGCGUUUCAUGGGUGGGGUACAUGUGUGUCAGGGGUGUUAUUGAGAGAGAUUGAACCUUGUUUACACAGGAGCCUUUCCUUCAAGACUUCUAAUUUUAAGUCUAAGAAUGUUAUCACGAAUGCAAAUACAACGCAUCUUUGUUCUAUCAGCAACAACCUUUAUGCAGCUGGGUUGCUGAAAUCAAUACCUAUAUACUGAUGUAAAUGGAUAAUAUUUGGCAUUACCAAUAUAGAGAAGCACAAUUUUAAGGUCGGAAUAGUCUAAUAAUAAGUCAUGGUCAACUAAUAGGAGUCGGAGCAGUAUUAAUCCUUGCCUUACGAACUGAUGUUAUGGAAAGACCUUUGCUGACAAGUGUAUCUGCUAUCCAACCUCCAAUGUUUGCAAACACAGCCAUGGUCAACCAUGGCAAAACACACAACAGCCCAGAUUCUGUGAGAUUGAACUUCAACACCUGAGAAAACAUCAAAACAAAUAAUAAAUAAAUAAAUGCUUAAAUUAAUAAAGACUCAAGUCCAGUAACCAGAUUACCUAUUAUAUUGUAUGUGUUCAUUCAGUAUUUUCCAUAUGUGAUUUGAAUGUUAACAAUUAUGGUCACAUCCUAAGAAAUUUGGUUAACUUGCACUUUACAAAAAUUGUCAAAGUAGAACAGUUUUUUUAUUGUUUAAGCCUCAACAGAUUGGUAACCCCAGAGGCUAGAACACUUGAAUAGUAUUCCAACUCUGGUUCAACUGUGAUAUUGCAAGAAACGAAUUGGACGUUAAAUGAUUUUGAGUCCAGAGGCAAAAGACUGACUCAGCCAUCAUAGUUGUAUUUUAACUUAGAUUUCUACUGAGAUGUGGUCGAUCAAAGCUCAGAUUCAUUAGUUAAAUGCAGAACUGAACUAUUAUUUAAUUAGCAACCAAAAAAAUUAUUUUGAAGCUAAAAAGGGAACUUGAAAACCUCAUAUGCAUGGAGCAAUAAAAACAUAAAGUUUUUGGAGACAAAAUACUGGUAUCUAUAAACUUUCCAGGAAAGAAAUAUGGAAAUGAAUAUUUGACCAAAGUAGGACCAGUCCCGAAAAGUCUUAAAUACCUGAUUAUAGUACGUAGGCAUCCAUGUUAGAAGAAUAAAAGUUCCCCAGUUAUGGCAGAAAUGGGAGAUUAUGAGAGCCCAAACUGGUGCCUUCGACAAAAUUAGUUUCCACGGAAUGGAUGAAACAGGUUCCUUUGAUGUGCUGCCUCCUAAAAUAACCCUUUUUUCCUCUUCACUAAGUUCUGGAUCUUCUGCUGGUGAGCUAUAUGCCUGUGAAGCCAAACAAACUUUAUGGUACCACUCAAACAAAGAAAAGAGUGAUAUAUGGCUGAGAAUUCAUGCCUCAAAUGAGAAUUGUACAGAUGAAUUUAGUCAUACUACAAACCUGAUGCAGUUUUCUUAAUCAUGCUCAAAACUAAGAUCAUUUAGUUUCAAGAAGUAUAUGGUUGUCAUGCAUGAAGCAACGAAAAUGCAUGAGUGAAAUUUUAAUAAAUUGCUGGGUUAGUAAUUGUUUACAUAUGGAUCGCAGAAAGAAAAGGUGUCAAGCAAAACUUAUUUUGUCCUCAAAUUGUAUAACUUUAAAUGUAUGGGUGUGGGGCUGGCCUACCAGAUAUUGUAGCUUAAAACAGGGAAAACAUAAAUGUGAGUUAUGGAGGGACUGUCUUCAGUUUAUUCCAUUCUAUGGGAGUGAUAUAUGCAACUUAAACUGUACAUCAAAUAGUUGCUACAAGAAGCAAAAACUUACUUUACUCAACCAUAAUGCAAACCAGAUACUUCCAAGAGAGCCAAAUGAGUAGAAAACAGAAGGCCAUCCAAACUUUUGGAUUAGAGCGGGAGAGACAGCUAACCCAGUGACUGAACCAAGAUACAUUCCACUAUAUACUAGUGCUAGUGAUCUGCUUCUCUCUGAAACUGGAAUCCACUUUGAAAGUAUAUUAUUCAUAGCAGGCAUAGCAACACCCUGAUAAGAAAAUAGAUGACUUUUAAUCAAUAACAGGAUUCUCUGUAUCAGUUUAAGAACAGUUGAAGUAGGAAACAAAAUUCAAUGUUACGAAAACAACAUAUUGGAUUGAAAAUGGUAUAAGACAGUGAGAGUACCAAACCCUGUCAAAAGUAACUGAAUUUUAAAAGUUCCCAUCUCUUUGAAGUGGUAUGACAGUCAGUAUAUGAUUAUUAGGUUAACUUAUUUUGUCUUUUCCAUUUCUUUCUGUUGUCCCUAACAUCCAUCUUGCAAAAGAUCACUUGUUAAGCUGGCUCAACCGUUUUUCACAACAAAAUGAAUAAGUACUUAAAGAAAAUACGAACAUAUAUCAACAACAAGGUGUAGUUUCAUCAUGUGUAGACACAUGUGCAAAAAGAGUGUUCAGAUUGACAUAUUGACAUUAUCAAAUUCACUACCAAAACUGGUUUCUAUACCCAAAAUAAAAGUCGCCUAGAAUUAUGUCUAGAUCCAAUACACACACCCCAAAUGAUUUUUAUCCAAGCUAUUUCCUUCCAAUCUAGUAAAGCGCAACAAAACCAAAAAGAAGUAAAAGAGGCCAACCUCUCCAAUCCCCAUAAAAGCACGCAUUGUAAGUAAGAAAGGAAGUCCAAUUCUUGCAGCAAUAGGUGUCAAAACUGUUGCCACUGACCACCAGAUUACUCCGAAACCCAAUACUAGCUUCCCACCAAGUUUAUCCGCCCAUAUGCCUCCAAGAAUCUAUGUUCCAGAAAAAGAUAGUGAAAGUAAUGUUAGAAAUAGAAUGUAAAGGGAAGCAAAUUUACCUCAGUUGGUUAGGUUGAAAAGAUGUAUUUGAUUUGAAGAACAAAACUAGUGCCAGUACUAAGUCAAAUAGACAAAACAACAAAAUUGUGUACAUCAAAUGUAGGAACUUGACCAACUACAUGUCAAUACACUUGAGAAGGAGAUCCACAAUAAAUAGUUAAUUCACUUUCAUGUAAUGCAUAAAUAUGAGGGCAUUCAACUCAAACCUGAGUGAGUAGAUAGCCCCAGAAAAAGGAAGACUGAAUUAGACCAACUGUUGCACUGUUCCAGUUAAACUCCUGUGACAUUGGAAGAAUCGCAAUGCUCAUGUUCACCUAAAAUGAAACAUAUAGCUUAGUCAGCAGAAAGAGAUAAGUAAUGUAGGUUAGUUGCAUUUAAGUGACUUAGCACAUUGAAAAAUCUUAAGUAUUCAUGAUCAUCUACAAUAAAACAUUUAGUUUAGUUUUAUUUUGAUUAUUAAUUGCUCAUAAUUCAAUAUAGGAUGAGGCAACUUGGAACUACUUGAAAAUGAACAAUUCAUAAUGAAAAGGUAAGCCUGCUAUGAUUAAUUCACACAAUAGGGAUAAAGCCAGAAGAUAACUCACACGGUCCAUGUUGCAUAAUAGAAAUGCAGCAAAACAAAGCAGGACAAUAACCCAGCGCUUUGGAAACUGCUGCCACCAUGGAGAAACACUCUGCAAAUUUUCUUCUGCUAAAAUGACUUCACCAGCCCCUUCUGAAGACUUUAAUGAGUCCACAUCAGCUCCCUUUAUAUCAUACUCCUUGGAUUUGUAUGCUGAACGAGUUCUACCAAACCUAACAUGCUCGGAUGACUGGGACUGGCUGUCACUAAUACCAAGCCUAGCCCGCUUACUUGGUUGAAUCCAACUGCUAAGAGAGGGAUUCGAAGAAAGAUAGCAUUUGCAUAUUCCUUGAAUUCUUCUCCUAGGGUUGACACUCCAAAACUUGUCACUAGAUUGAAGUGACAUUGGAAGGCAACACACCCCUUCAACAUGGAAUGUUGCUAUUGAUGUCAGAGCUUUCCCAUCUGGAGAACCGAUAACACGAAGACACGGAAAAUGCGAAUAUCUAGAUAUUGAGUAGUUCUCCAUUUGCAUAAAAAGCCUUUUGUAGUUUUCCCUCACAUGUCCGGCAACAGAAAAGCUCAAACGCCCUCCUUUGUUUUGUGCAGUAGCUGGCUCUGUUUGAUACCCUUUUCCUGCCAAUAUCAGAAAUUAAAAAAAUAAAUUCAGCUUAGGUGUCAAAAUGCAGACACAAAACUAUUGUCCAUUCUAAUUAUAGAUGACAAGCAUUUUAAGAUACUAAAAAACCAUGUUGCAAUAUGAGAAAAUUCCCUAAAUUUCUUGAAUAAGUCACUGAUUUUGUAGCCCUUCUACUUAUUUUAUCAAAACCCUGAUGAAGGCAUCGUUCAAUACCAUGUAUUGAUUUUCCUCUAAUAAUCCCAGAUCAAAAUUUUCUCAAGCAAAGGGUAGUUCCCAAUUCCCAAGUCACCAUGAUAUUUGGCAGGUAAGUAAACAAAAUAGCUUGAAAAAUAAGAUUCAAUGUUUUAUUUUCUUUUUCCAUUCAGUUUUCUCAGUAACCAAAUCCAAGGCCACAAAAAUAGAAAUAAGAAAUUAAUAACAAAUAUAAAUAUUUAUUAUUCGAACAGAUUUUUAGAAAUAAAUAGAUAAAUAAAUAAAACUUAAUGGAAAAUUAUGAAAUUAUGUGAACUUCAGGAAUUUCAGUAGAAAACUCAAAAUUCAAUAAUGCUGUCCAUAACAGACGGAUGAAAUCAACUCAAAGAUAACUAAAACUUUCAGCUCAAUUUCACCGCUGCUUAACACUCAAAAUAAUAUCCAAUUACCAAAAAGGAAAAAAUAAAAAUAAAAACGCAGACACAUACAUGAACCGUCCCCUGGAUGUGAGAAAAUCAAGGAGGAAACAAAAUGAACCACCCCAAUAGUGCGAAAUCUGGACAUGCAUGCAUUGAAUUGCCAAAAGAAAACGAAGAAAUGCACAAAUGCAGCAAAAAGAAAUUCCUGCUCGCGCAAGAAGAAAAGGUGAAAGCAAACACAUUAAAAGCAGAUAGUAUAGAGACAGUGAACCGAUAUACCAGAGCCUAUAAAGGAGCCGAAAUUUCGGUUCGAAAUUACGCCGCCGAUUGCCAUUUAUUUCGGUGAUUUUAAUUCGAACUCUGUGAACUGGAACUUCAAGCUUGAGCUAUAUCAGACCAUUUCAGAGUUCAAAACUUCUCUCCCUCAGAGACUCUCUCUCCAGUUUUUCUCUCUCUAUCGAAGAGGAUAAUUAGAGGUUUUUUUUCUUCAUACGAAUUUUCCAGGAAAAUUUUUUUUUCUCGGAAAAGCGGGAAAAUGCAAGUGGUCUUCAUAUACCCAAGAAAAGAGGGUCGAGAAGCUGACACGUGGCGGUUCAUCCUCGUGAUGAAAGGUUCCGCUUUUGAAACCGACAAAAUAAUGAAAAUACCCCUCCAUGCAAGGGGAAAUAACUCCACUUUUAGCUGGGUUGCUUCGUAAAUAAUAGUAAAUAUUAGAGACAUAUCGGGAACUAAAUGGACAAAAUACGAACCGUUCUGUCAGAAACUCGUCUUAUCCAUCGUAAAAGCGACCGUACCGGAAAAGCUCACCGGAAAGUUAUAAAAGCGAUUUUUUUUGUUUUUUUAAUCUAAAAUAUCCUUGCCAUGGAUUCGAAUCAUGCGUGGAAUAUUCUGGACCUUGCACGUGGCAAACGGCCUUUGUAACUCCUACUCUCGAAACUGCCGUGUAAGAAGUUUUCGGUAUGGAUUUAUCAAAAAGUUUUGCAAACUAAAAGAAUAAUAACAUGAUUUAAUAAAUAUAGCAAUAAAAAAAUAAUUUUAUACCUUUAUCUUUUAAGUCAUAAGUGAAAAGACAGAUUUUAUCUUAAUCUCAAAUAGGCUUUUAUUUGUGGUGAAAUUAUAAUGUAUAUUUUUUAAAUCUCUUAAAUACUUUUUAAAAAAUUAUGACUUUUUUUUUCACAUGUAAUGAAGAGUAAUUCAAGAUAAAUUCAACCUCAUAUAUUAUGUUUAUACAAAAUAUUAUAUUAAAAAUAUCUUUUUUCAUGGACCAACCAACUCGUGAAGUAAUGAAUUUGUCAUUGACAUCUCUCGUCAUCUUAAUUUCUUCAACAAGUUUUUUCUAUUUAAAAAGUUUUUUUGGUUUAAGAUGGUAUUUGUUUUUUUUAUUUUUUGCUGAAAGCAAUUUAGUUUUAUAAUUUAGGUUAUUUGUUUUUCUACUUUUUCAUGAUUUAUUAUAAAUUUUUUACUAAAUAGAAAAAACCAAAAUAUGUAGUUUUUUCUAAAUAGAAAAAAUAACAUAUUGAUUUUUUUUACUUUUUAAUACUUAAUAGAAAUAAAAUACUAUAAAAACAAAUAACCUAAUAUUUAACACUAUUAAGCAUCAAGGUUCUAUUUAUAAUUAAGUAAAAAAACAAACACCACCUAAAUCUAGCCCCAAUAAAAAUGUGAUUAAAAAAAUCAAGAUAAAGAAAAAAGAAAUCAAUGUGUUAAGUAAAGAAAGUUAGAAACUGUUCUUAAGAACAGUACUUAGCAAAUAUGAUAACUUUUGUUUAUAAAAUAGUUUUUGACAAUAAUAUUUUUUAAAUUUGAAAAUAAGUUAAUUUUUGAGAAUAAAUUUGAGGCCUAUACCAUAUCUUUGUUUCUUGGAAAAUGCAAAAAUAAAAAAUAAUAAUAAAUAAAUGAAAAUGAAAAAUAAAUUUAAAUUUAAUAUAAAAAAAUUUGCAUCAUUUUUCAAAUUUAUUUCAUUUAUUUUUAUUUUUAUAUUUUCAUUUAAUAACCUAAAUUUUAUCAUACAUUUUUUUUAACCGUCACACGAGAAAGUUUUUCUAGACCUCCCUUCAAGGUAACUCCGCAGAAACUACCUCCGCUCCCACCAAUCAAACCUACAAUGGCUUUUUUCUUCCCUAAAAAAUUAAAAUAAACAAUUAAAAACUGCAAUUGAAAUAAUUUAUCCAACAUCACUGCACAACCCAUCUUUUCCUCUUUUAAACUUAGAGGAGACUAUCAAGUUUCCAUUCAUGGCAAUCCUGCAUUGUGGUGGCCCAGUGGGAAAGAGCCUGGCUGAGAUUCAAGCCCACUUAAAAUUUGAACCGGCCCAAGCACAAACAUCUUUGAUGGUGCAAAGCCCAAUUUCCAUAGGGCUUUAAGACUCUUAAAUUUUUUUUAAAAUCAACCACAGAAAUCAGAAGACACUCUUCAUAACUCUAAACUUGAAUGUCCAAAUAAUAUGAAUAAUCCAGAUGAAAAAUGAUCAACAAUUAUCAAUCAUACUAAGGGAAUUUCCAUAGAAGUUGUAAUUCUACAUUAACCGAUAUACCUCCCUCGUAAUUUUUCUAAAACCCAUACAAUUCCAAUGUGGCCUUCUUCUCCGAUCCCAGCCUUUCACUUCUUGGCAUUGUACAUGGAUUCCACCUUGCCAUCAUUUCCUCCCAGCAACAUGUACUUAUCCUUUCUAGUCAGUCCAGUGCACUCAAACCCCAGCACUCCACCCAACACCUUUUGCACGUGAUUCGCCACUUCUAUGGCCGACUUCCCUCCGGCCUUACACGUCAUCUCCUCCGGCAACCGAUCCAGAAACGUUAUCUCAUAGGUGGGCCGAGGGUUCAUGAAGUAAAAAUAGGCGUCCCAGAACUUCACCCCUCGGACGGUGGUGCCGUGGAACAUGUUCUGCUUCACGUUCACCGCCACCGGCACGAUGCGGUCGCUGAGUUCCGCGAACAGUGCGCUAAACCGGAGGAGGUAGGGCUCGCGGCAGGUGGUCCCCUCUGGGCAGACCACGAGGUCGCCCUUCUGGAGAAUGGAGGAGAUGCGGGCAGCGUCGGCGGCGCGGUCGCGGGUGAGGGCGACGGCGGGGAUGGGGGAGAGGAAGCGAGAGAGGCGGCUGACGCUGUAGGUGACGCAGGAGACCUUGCGGCGGAGGGCGAUGGCGAUGACGAUGGGGUCCAAGGCGGUGCGGUGGUUGCAGACGUAGAGGUUGCCGGGGGAACCUGGGGAGGGGGGCGGAGGAGGGUUGCCUCGGAUAACAAGGUUGAUGCCCAGCAUCGGGUAGGUGUAGCGGACGAUGCGCUCUGGGAGGGGGAGGUUGAAGUAGACUCGGAAGAUAGAGAGUGCAAACCCAAAUGGAAGCCAGAGGUAGAUGAUGAGGGCCGUGAGUGGCGUGGGGGGUUGGACGAACCGACCAUCGUGGAAUAUUAUUGGGGUUUUCAGGCGGUUGGGUGGCACCGGCGUAGCUGAUUUACUCGGAAGCACCAUGUAUCCCUCCUGUUCAAACUCCAAGUCGCAGAACCAUCAGCAAGAGCAUAGGGGUAAUUUGGGAAUUCAACACUAAAAUAACAUACAAGUGGAUUCUCGACACAUUACUAGAAUUCUUUCUCAAAACAAACCAAAUUAUUCUAAUCAUCAUAAAUAUUUCAAAUAAUUUUAUACAGAAAACAGAAAAAAUAAUAUCACAAAAUUUUAUAUAAAAUUAAGAAUAUUUAUCAUCUGGAAAAAAAAAAUUAUUUCUAAAUUUCUCGAUUUCUAGCUUGUAUGUAAUAAAAAAGGUAGAACAAAGAGGCCGUUCCAAAUAUGGAAGAUGAGUAAAGGAAAUGGCAUCGAAGGAGCAAGGCUCGAGAUUAGUUUGGAAAGAGCAAUAAGUUUGUUGUCCUCCAUGUGCCGCCAACGAUUUUGCUGCCAGGUAGUUGAGGAUGGUAAAUGCAGUGAUUCCCUCAGGGUCAAAGCUACAGGCUACACGGAGAUCGACUUUACCGACUGUCACUUUUUCUGAAUCUUUUGAUUUAUUCUUUUGCUAAAUCAAUCAUAAAAAAAAAAAAAACUAAAUUCAAGUCUCAGUGAAAUGAAUUCGUCUUUGAUUUUGUAAGAUGAAGUAGAUAAGUGUGAUGUCGUUCAUAAAAGUAAAAUAAAAAGUGUAUAAAUCUUGAAAAACGACCACAAAAAUUUCCAAAAAUGAAUAUGACUUUACUACCAUUUUACUAAGUUAAAUUUGGCUUAGAUCGAUUGAAUAAUGUGUAGAAGCAAAGCAUAUCUUGCAGGAAAAUUACAAAUCACUUCCACAAUUGUAGAACAUAUUUUCAAAACUAUGUAAAUUCUAAAAAUCGUUUUGGAGAGAUGUUUGCUUCCAUAGAAGCCAUGCAAGAAAUCAGUUACUCUUUCAAAACUAUUUCAUCAAUGUUUGAAAAAUCUAGAAGAAUUUGUUGUUUCUUUUUUUUUUUUGUUAAGUAAAUUAGAUAAAUAACAAACACUAACCUUGCAAAUGGACAUGAAAUCAUGAUCAGACUCGCGGUCACCAAUCCCGAUAUCAGGCAAUUCAUCACCAAACUCCUUCAACAGCGCCAAUCUCUUUCUGUCUCCAACCAACACCCCUGGCUUCUUCACGAAACCAGUGGCCUUCUUCGUCUUCGGAUUCACCUCAAUCUCCGUCCCUAACACCUUCGUUCCGCCAAGAAAAUCUCUCACGAACGGCUCAACCAUCAACGUCGGGUUGGCCGUCACCACCACCUUCCGUUCGCACUUCUCGAACACCUCCCAGCUCUCUCGCCUCACGUCGUUGGCGUAGAACCGCGGCAGCACCGCCUGCGACGCGAGCUCGAUGUCUCGGAUCUUGAGGCCGGAAAAUGAAAUGAAGAUGAGAAUCUGAAUUCCGAUUUCUUCUGAGAUGAAGAGGUAGGCAACGAUCACUAUAGGAAGAGAGAGCAGAAGGAAGAGACCGCGUAGGAGGCUGCCGGCUUCGACGGCGACAAGCAUGAAGUAAGGGAAGGAGGAGCGAGAGACGAGGAGAGUGCCAUCGAGGUCGGCCGCAAUAGAGCGAUGGUCGCCGCCGGCGUAGGUAGUGAUGGAGGGAAAUUUUCGGGCGCGUUUCGGUGGCGGAGACAUGUCUCGGCCGGUAGAACCGGAUUCAGCCUUUCAGGCAGCACAGUGGACAACGAAAAGAAACGAUGGUGUUUGUGUUCAGUGGUGGAGAGGGAACGUUCGGUUUAAAUGUGGUAGAGGAGGGGGACGAAAUUACGAAAUUAAUCCUAAUUUUUUUUUUUUUCAUUUUUACUUUAUCCUAUUAGAUAAAUGUUUCAAAACUAACUAAGAAAAACAAUUGAUAUUAUUUUUUAAUAAAUAUAGGAUUUAUUAGUUUUUUGCAAUUCGGAAAAAAAAAAUUAUUUAAUACGCAAUAAAUUAAAGAAUAGUCGGCGAUAAGAAAAUAAUGUGAGGGAUGCGUUGCAAAUGGUAGGCCAUUAAAUUCCACACCUAAUGUCGUACAAACAGCCCUUUCUCACCGGCAAUUCCAGUGUGUGGCACCCCACCAAAAUUGGGUGUGGAUGAGAUGAGCAUCAUGGGAUGCCAUGAUUUCCAUCUUGCUGUCAGCCAUCGCAUUUGUAGCUUGGAUCCAACGGCUCCUAUUUGGUGGGCAGAUGGGUUGGCCAUGCACACUACUGUACUAUAUUAUAUUCAUCGAAGAAGACUGAGCUGUAAUGUUCGGUGGUCCACCACACCAUAUCCCGGGGAUCGCAGUUUCAUGGUAUGCCCCAAGGACUUUAAUAUGAGCUCCAAAUUAGAGUAAAACGACUGUGUUUUGAUCUGGUCACAUCCCAAAAUGAAUUCUUUGGUAGGGAGGUUGGAAAUUAUUAAUGAAGUGAAUUAUUAUUAUUUUUCAAAAUUAAUUUUAUUUCAUUAAUAAUUUAUAUAAAUAUAAAUAAAUUUUCAGUGUAAUUUGGUAAAUAAUAAUAAUAAUAAUAAUAUAUUUUUUUUCAAUCUUAUAUUUCUCAUCUUCUUUAAAAUGAUUGCAAAACCCUUCAAUGUAUAGUUAGUGGCCCACACUUUCCCCAAAUGAGAGUACGGUAAAGGAGAACGAAAAGGAAAGGAAAAAAAAAUGAGGCAAAGAUUUAAUGCAUGUGAAGGGUGGAGGUUUGUUGAGUGUUGGCAGUUGAUAAAUCUUUUGUCUAUUUUUAUAGGAGAUUGGUUGGAGUGGUUGAAGCCUUGAAGUGUUCAAUUCAUUUUCUUGCCUUUAUUGGUCACCUUGCUUUCUUGCUGUCUUUGAUGGACACUAGUUCAAGUUUUUGACAUUCUUGCAUUCAUAUUGCUAACUAGGUUUUGUUUGUUUGUUAAGAAAAUUUUCCACCCCUCCUUUUCAAUUUUCUUUGCACCCAUAAUAAUUAGAAAAAAGUCAAAUUAUUUUUUUUAUACCUUUACUAGAAUUUGAAAUGAAUUUGAUUGUUGAUUGUUGAUUGUUGAUUGAUCCAUGCAUGACCAAGUAAUACUUGAAAACAAUCAAAGACCGCUUAUAUAUGCUUGCAUUUUCUCAAGUUGGUAAUUAGGUUUGUUUGGUUGGUUAGAAAACUUUCCACCCUUUAUUCAGAAUUUUCUUGGAGCUAUAAAAGAAAUCUAGUUGAAAAACAUUUUGACCUUUAUUAGCAUUUGAAAUGAAUUUGAUAGCGACAGCAUCCAUACAAAAUCAACUAAAUACAGAAACAAUUAUUCUAUUCUAACCAAAAUCUACAUCAUCUAAAAAAUCAUAAACUUUUCAAGUUUUUAAUAAUUAGAAUAAGCUUCUACGAAAUAAAUAAAUAAAAUAUAAUAAAUUAAAAUAUCGGAUUUAAAUGACAACAUACUAUAUUAUUUGGGAUUUAUUAUUUAAAAUUACGAUUAUUGAUUUUUUAAAUGACCAAAAUACCCCUUACAAGAUGGAUUUCAAUGGUUAGAAAUGUUAAGAGGUUCUAACCCUUUAUUUAGACUUGGUGUCUCCAUCAAAUUUCUCAUCUGUCAAUACAAGCAACCAUUUUUUAUUUAGUAGCUGCAUUUUCAGUUAGAAAUUUAUUAAGGUAGAUGGGAAUAGGAUAAGGUCAACAAGACUUUAGGUUAACUAACAAAAGAAAAAAAAAGCAUAAAAAGAGGUCAAUUCAUUCAAAUUUAAAGAAAUAUAAUUUAGGUUUACAACUCGAUCUUUUAAAACAUACUAAAAGAAAAAGAAAAUAAUAAAAAUAACUUCAAUAUCAAUGAAAAUAUUAAUGAUUUAAUUUUAUGAAAAUAUCAAUAUUAACAAAAAAAAUUAUAAAAAUUAAGUCACAAAUAUAAAAUUUUGGCUUUCUUCAUAUAAUUUAUGGUAAAUAGGUCAGUAUCUUUUUUUUCCGAUACCAAUACUCUUAUCAAAAUAAAUCGGAUAUUUUUAUCUUUAAAAUUUUCCACCAAAAUUCCAUUGCCAUUUGAUAAGCAUACUAUAAACAUGCUAGGAACAUCAAAUUACAUGUGGGAAUUAAGAGUAACAUCAAAAUUCUUUUUAUUUUUCAUAAAUGCUCCUUAAAAUGAAUGAGCACCGUCAGAUGCUUUGACCUGGACCAGGAGAUUGUUGACCGCGUGUGGAAGUUAUGAUGCAUGAGACACACUAGACCACAAUAAAUUCAUGGAGUAUGAGUCAUUACGAGCAUGCAUGUGGCAUGGUGGGGGCAGAAUUUGGAUUUUCCGGUGGGUGGGGGUGUACAGCAACCUUGAUGAGGACAUGGUUUCAUAACAUUAAAUUCUGGGAAUUUAAGAGCCACCCACAUCCACAGCUUUCAGGUAGUUGGAUCAGUGGAGGCAGUGCCCAGCAACCUCACCAAUAUGUUUUGAAUUUUGAUCAUAUGUUAUAAUAUUUAGGAGUAACUGAAAAUUAAAAAUACACAACAUAGACUUGAUUUGAUUUGAUUUUUAAUAUUCGUUAUGGUCAAUCAACUUGGUUUGAAAAUUAUGAAAAUCGACUUAAUAGUUUUCCCUUUUGAUUUCUUUGUCUCAUUAAUAACAUUUUAUGUUUUUUUAUUUAAUUUUAAAUAAAACCUUAAUACUUAAUAAUAUUAAAUAUUAGGUUGUUUGUUUCUGUAAUAUUUUAUUUUUAUUAAGUAUCAAAUAUUAAAUAAAAAUUAAUAUGUUAUUUUUUUAUUUAGAAAAAGUUAGUAGUUUUUUUUUUUUACUUAAUCCUAAAUAGAACCUUAUUACUUAAUAGUGUUAAAUAUUAAGUUUUUUGUUUUUAUAAUAUUUUAUUUAUAUUAAGUAUUAAAAAGUAAAAAAAAAAAAAACCAAUAUAUUAUUUUUUUAAUUUAGAAAAAGUUACAUAUUUUGACUUUUUUCUAUUUAGUAAAAAGUUUAUAAUAAGUCAUGAAAAAGUAAAAAAAAACAAAUAACUCUGAAAACAAAUUAUUUUCAGUAAAAAAACUAAAAAAACAAACAUCAUCUUUGAUUUUUUCUAUUUAGUGAAAAGUUUAUAAUAAGUUAUGAAAAAAUAGAAAAAAAACUACCUAAAUUAUAAAAACAAAUUAUUUUCAAUAAAAAAAACAAAAAAAAACAAACACCACAUAAGACUUAUAAUUUUUGCAAUUUAUAAUUAUUUGAUGUUUGGUGAUUUUAUUUUAUUUUUGUAUUUAUUACUAUUCUGUGAACUUUCCAAAAGUAAUUAUUUGGCUAUAAACAAAUAAGUUUUAAAAUUUAUUCAUUAUAUUUUGUAAUAUAAAUUUUAAGCAUCACUAAUCGAUUGAUUUUAUUUUGAUUUAAAUAUGAACUAAUAGUGCGUUUAAUAAUGAUUUUAAGAAUUAUUUUUAAUCUUUCAAAUACUUAAAAAUAAAAAAAUUUAAUUAUUUAAAAAAAUAAAAAUAUUUUCUAAAAUUAUUACUAAAUACACUUGAGAGCACGUGGAUUCAGUUAAUAUUUCCUUUAAAAAUCAAUCAAACAUAAUUUUUUUGUUUUGUUUUCUAUAUUCUUAUCAAAAUAAUCAUAAUUUAAGGGUAUCAAAAAAAAUAUAUAUACAAAUAUUUUACCAUUAUUUUCAAACAAAACAACAAAAAUACCAUGAAAUUUUGAAUCAAAAUAUUUUCCAUAACGAUAAACUCUAAUACUUAUAUUUAGUCGUACAAACUUUAUUUCAUAAUACAUUAUUUUAUUGUUCAAUAUUACUAUAUCAUAUUUACAUUAUUUUAUUUAAAAAAUAAUUUAAUAAUCAUAUUAUAUAUAAACACACACAUAUUUAUAAUUAUUUAUUAUAAAGUUAACGGCCACCACCGAGUAUGAAUAUAUUGAUUUUUGAUAGGCAUAGUGACCGGAGUACUCUUCCGUCUAGAGAGACAAGAAACAAGUAUUACGUUUUAGUUCAUUUUAAUUAUUUAUAUGUCAUUGUAGUUGAAAAUGAGUGGAUUCAUUUGUAGGUUUGAUAUUGAAAAUUAGGAAAGUGAGUGAGAUAUAGCAUGAUUAUUUUCCAUGCUCCAUCAUUAAAUUUUUUGUUCUAUCAAGACAUGGUCUGUACUUCUUGGUGGGACCAUUAUAUAUAUUAAAGUUUAAUUUUCAUUUAAUUCAAUCACUUGAGAAUCAGAGGUACCAUACCUUGCGGUAUUGGAUGAUCCAUUAAAUAAUAUAUUUCUAUAUAUAUAUAGAAAUAUUAAUUCAAAAAAUUUUCAUUUUUAUAAGUGGCAAAAACGUCACUUGUUGUCAUAGUGUGAAAAAUAAUCAAUAAAUUAUUUUUAAAAAAUAAAAAAUAAAUUUAAAACCAAUAAAUUAUUUUAUAUAUUAUCUUAAAUUCAUUUCACUUUUAGGUGAAAAUUAAAUAAUUUUAAAAUAGAUAUUUUUUUUACUAAUUUUUUAUAUUUGAUUUUCAUUUCAAUUUCUUAAAUUUAAAAAAUAAUUUUUUAAUAUUUUUUAUUUCCUUAUUACUUAUCUAGAAACCAAACAUAACUUAAAGUAUUAAAAUGAUAUUUAUGGAAUAAGAGAUCUAACCGUAUAAUGAAAUUUAGGAUGUUACAUAAAAGUAUAAAUAAAUGAAAUUAAUACAUAAAAAUACAAAAAAUAAAAUCAUGAUAUAAAUAAUGAAAUAAAAAAUUGUAUACAUGACAUCAUCUUAUUAACGUGUCAGAUAUUAAAAAAAAUAUCAUUUUGGUACUAUACUGAAAGAUUUGAUUGGUCAUAGUUGUUCGAGAUUGAAAAAAAUAUAAAAUAAUAAAAACAUUUGUUAAAUAUAUGGUAAUAAAACUUUGUUAGAUUAGUGAUAUUAAUGAUUAUUUUUAAAAAAAUUACCUAAUUAAAAUGCAUGAAACAAUACAGAUUUGUAUAGCUCGUGUAUCAUAGUAUGGAUUGUUUCAUAUUUGUAUUCAAAUAUUGUUUAUAUUAAAUAAAAUACUAUUUAAAAAUAAUUAAUUAAUUUUAAAUCUAUUUCUUAUUUUUACUUUUUACUUUUUCUUUUUUUACUUUUAUUCUCAAUUUUCUUUUUCUUUUUUUUUUACAUUUUCCUUCAAAAUUUCCACAACCAAACAUACCCUUGAAAUCGAAGUUAUGAAGCUUCCAUUCAUUCAGCAGCUGCCCAUUGUAAUAGAAGCAUCCCAGAUAACUUAUACACAUGAUAUGAUAAACACCACCCCACCUCAAUUCUGAUCUCAAGUCAGAAGAGAAGAAGAAGAAGAAGAAGAUAGAAGCAGCAAAUAAAAGAAGAAACAGAAACUGGGGAAGAAUUUCUCAGGCUCUGGUCUUGAAUGGGAUAGCUCUGAUGACUAUCUGGUGGUACAAGGUAGCCAGAGUAGCUCCAAUGAAGGGUCCAACCCAGAAAAUCCACUGAUGGGAACAACAAGAAUGAAAUCAAUACAAGUCAGAUUCACAGAUAGAUGACGAGAUGAGAAGCUAUUGGGUCUUCUUAUAGAGCAAUGUUUUCACUUACCAUGUCAUCCCAGGCAUUCCCCCUGUUGUAGAUGAUGGCGGCCCCGAGACUCCUAGCAGGGUUGAUGCCGGUUCCGGUGAUGGGGAUGGUUGCCAGAUGAACCAAGAACACUGCAAACCCAAUCGGGAGAGGAGCCAAAAUCUGCAGUUCAAUUCAGGGAAAAUAAAGGGUGUGUCAUUUUCAGAUCCCAUUCGUAAUAAUUCUCAGGUAUGGUUGAAAAAUGAGAGCGAAAGGGGACGUCCCCAGACCUAGAAACCAUGCUUUACUUUGGCAAUGUUUUUUAAAAACACUUCCCAAAUGAGAAUGUUACACUGAUUUUAAAAGUACCCUUACAGUAUCAACUGAUUACUGAAGAGUUUUCAUCAGAAAGAAAAGUUAAUUUUACCACAAAAAAUGAAAAAAUCAUGGUUUAUAUUUUAUAAAACCCACUCAUUGAUAGAAGUGAUGACAAGGGCCUUAAUUUUUAAAUCAGUGAAACCAUGAUGAUCAAUUUGCUUUAAAAUUUAGAAGUGACUAACGCCAACCAAUAAUACUUUCAUUCAAUUUUUCCAAAAUCCAAAAUCCCUCAUAGAACAUGACCAAGAAAACCAAAGAUAGUAUUCUCACAGACAGAAGUGGUAUUUGUUUUUUUAUUUAAUUCUAAAUAAAACUUUCAUACUUAAUAGUAUUAAGUAUUAGACUGUUUGUUUUUAUAAUAUUUUAUUUUUAUUAAGCAUUAAAAGGUAAAGAAAAAUCAACAUGUUAUUUUUUUCUAUUCAACAAAAAAUUUAUAAUAAGUCAUAGAAAAAUGGAAAAAUAAACGACGUAAAAUCUGAAAGCAAAUUACUUUCAAUAAAAAACUAAAAAAACAAACACCCUCAUGAUUUCUAAAUGGAAUUGAUGUAACUAAAGUAUGCAUAUACGAAGGAUUCAUGCUACCAUACCAAAUCACAUGACCACCAAUUUUUCUAUCAUUCCAAACACAAACAACAUCAUGGUUCCAAUAGUUUCAAAAGAAGGCCAAUGAAUUAAUACUGCCAUCCAACCGCUUGCUUGUCACAUAAUCCUUCAUUUUCUACCCACAUCAAGAAGGUGGUAAAAUAGGUGGUGGAAAAGGUGAUAUGAAUAACAUGCGUCUUCCUCCUUUUUCACUUUAGAAUCAAAACAAAUAUGCUAUUCCAUGCCAUUCGAGCAAGCAAUGAUACAAUGAAAUUUUUUAAAGGAAUUAAUAGCAUGCACAUUUUCAUGUAAUCAUAUUAGAGUCCAUUUGGAAAAAGGGUAAAAACGCUUAAUGAUAAUCGGAUGUGUGCUUUCUUACAAAACUUAAGAGCUUGUUUGUCGUGCUUUUAAAAAAAUAUUUAAAAUUUUUUUUUAAUCAUUUGACAAAAUUCAAAAGGUACUAAACGAUAAUGUUUCUAAAGAAAUACUUAAUAAAUAAUACUUCUAUUAAAAACAUUUCGAAUAAAAGAUGGUCAAAUUUUAAGACCGUCUUUAAAAUAUCCCGAGACACUUGUAUGCGAGUCUUCCAAAACUCACUUAUUUAUUUUUUAUUUUUUAUUUUUUUGGUUUUUAGCAUAAUACAUUGUAAAAAACACUAUCAAAGUACUUUUUCUAGUUUUUAUCCGAACACUAAUAGAUUGUCACUAAAAACGUUUGGCGUGGAAGCACUGCCAUCAAAAGCAUUAAUUACAGAUAAAAGCGCUUUAACCAUUAUGACUCCAGAUCAGCUCUUAGCGUGACAAAGAAGAACAAUCACAGCUCAAUCACUUUACCAAUUGACAAAGAAAUAUAUAACUAGAUAUGUAAAACAAAACCCACAUAUUUAUGUAUAUAUACACAGAGAGAGAAUACUUACUGGAACAUGUGAGUCUCUGGCAUUUCUCUUGGCAUCAGUUGCAGAGAGAACAGUGUAGACAAGAACAAAAGUGCCAACUAUCUCAGCACCAAGCCCAGCAAGCUUGGAGUAGCCAGAAGCCACAGCAUUGAUUCCACCACCCAGCGUCUCAAAGUCAUGUCUCUGGAACCACUUCACCAUACCUGCGCCACAGAUGGCACCCAGGCACUGCAUGAUCAUGUAGAACACGGCUCGGGUUAGGGACAGCUUUCUUGCCAAGAGCAGCCCAAAUGUCACCGCUGGGUUUAUGUGCCCUCCUGCCCAAACCCAUCAACAAAUGAUAAGAUCAACACAGAGGAAACUUUCUCUAGAAAACUGUGUGGAGGCUAUGGGGAAAGAGGUAAGAAAGUAGACAGAGAAAAAAAUGUGCUGCAGGGAGCCGUAUUAUGAAAAAAAAAAAAAAAAGUGUUUGGUUGAUAAGAAACGUAGGGAAAGAAUGAGAAUAAAAAUUUGACCAAAUUGUACGUUAAUUAGGACCUGAAAACACUCAAAUGUUCUCUACUUUUAUUUUCCUCCUCUUUCUCAUCAACCAAACAAGGUCUUUCAAAAUUUCAGAAAACCCCAUCAAAACCAUUCCAUAAUAUCAUGGAAAAAAAAAACCCAGGAAUGCCAGAUACCCAUUUAAAAUCUGAACAUAUCUACCGGCAAAAGCUGAUGAAAACGUCAAAAGAAACUACGGAUCAAACCUUCUGAGCAUAUCAAACCACCAUGGAAAAUAAAAAAGAAAACAAAGGAAAAGCAGAACUCAGCAGAUCAAACAAAAGAAUAGCAAGAGAGAGAGAAAGACAGAACAGACCUGAGAUACCAGCAGUGCAGUAGACAAGAACGAAGAUCAUACCCCCACAAGCCCAAGCAAUACCCUGAAAACCAACAGUAGCACACUUGUUGGGGGACUUGACAACACCGAUAAUAGUCGAGAUGAUGAUGUAGAGAAAGAUGAAGGUGGCCAUGAACUCGGCAAUCCCAGCUCUCCAAAACGACCAUGAAUGAAGCUCACCAGGGUCAAACAGUGGAGCUGGUGGAGGCUCCCUAUAGUCCUUGUCUGUCUGUGCUGAUGUCCCUAUCGGUUGCCUCUCUGCAAACUUGUUGGCCCCCAACCUCACAUCCUCUUCCUUCCCCUCCAUUUUUCUGAGCUCAGUGAUGAAGAUGAUGAACUUCCUGAGCAAAUUGCAGUUGGGUUUGGAGUGAUUUAUAGAGGAAGCAAAGUAAGAGAAAAUAAUAGAAAACAAAUUGUCAAAUGGGGUCCUUCGGAGAAACGUUUGGUUCCGUUCCCAUGUGAAAUGACUAUAUUGCCCUUCUAAUUCACUUUUUAUCUCACUCGUACUAUUAGUAUUAGAUCAUUUUAAUUAAAAGAUAUUUGCUUAAAAGGGGCAGCCUUGCCUUUGCCCUGACUCUAAACAUAAGGAAAUUCCCAGAUUUUCACUCAAGCUCCUAAAUCAUUGAAGCUUUAAGCCGGGAAUUCUUUCAUAGGCUACGGGAAGAACUACAUCUCGUAAGUCAGUGGGGCGGAGGAAAAGAACGUUGGAUUGGGGAAGUAACGAGAAGGAAGAGUCUAUAAAAGAGAGAGUAUGAGUGCACCCAAAGCAAGAGGGGAAAAAGAUAACCUUUGUCUUUUCAAAACAAAAAUGAUUCUUUUUAAGCUAAAUUCCUCACGAUAAAAGAAUUCUCAAACUGUUUGUUUUUCGAAUUUUCAUCAGAAAGUUCAUACAUUUAAUAAAGUAAGUUUUUUUUUUUUAGCUUUUAUGAGAAAAUGCAGAAAAAGAUGAGUGGUUAAUACCUUAACAUUUUAUUAACCAUAAAUUUAAGGGUUGUUGAAUUUUCAUCGGACCUUGUUUGCAUAUAAAAUUUGGGUUGUCUUGUUGAAAUCGAUAAUACUUGUUUUUUGUUUACUUAUUUUUAAAAUAUUGUUUUUAUCAACUCAACCAAAGAGCAUAUAAUUGUCUUGUUGAAAUCGACAUUGCUUAUUUUUUGUUUUAUUUAUUCUAAAAAUAUUGCUUUUAUCUAUUCAACCAAACAUAUCUUUUUUGUUUUUAGGACAAAAAUUGCUAUUUAGAAUUCAAUUCCCAAAUGCAUUUUUUUUCUUCUAAAAACACCAAAAACUGAUUUUAAAAACUUUUUUCAAUUGGGAUUGUUUUCAAAAACAUUUCCCAAACAAGCCAUAAAAUUAGAAUUGUUUUCUUUUGAAAAUCAAGAAAAAUAAAUAAAUAAUAUAAAAGUAGACUUUCUAUAGAAUAAAAAAUAAAUCUAUCUAAAAGGUACGUUCAAAUGCCAAUUUCAAACAACCAAAAAAAAAAGGGUAAAGUUUUCCUUUCUUAUUGUUGGACUAAAACAACUAUACAUGCCUAAUUUUAUAAAAUAUUAAAAUUAUAAACUAUUUAAAAAUUAUAAAUUCAGUAAAAUUCUUAUUUAGGUUAUAAAAAAGUUAUUUAUCAUCUUAAAAAUCAAUUCAAAUAGCAUUUAAAAAAUAACCAAGAAAAAUAAUUGAAUUUUUUUUUUAAAAAAAUUAGGAUUUAUUAGUCAUAGUCUCUUGACACAAGUCUUCCUCUAUACUUUAAUAUUAUGUAUUUAUGUAUAAUAAUGGAGUUUUAUUCUUCAAAUUUUUAAUUAUUUCAAUAUAAUAUUUAAAAAAUAUGUUAAAAUACUUUAAAUUAAAAAAAAAAACCAUUUCAAUUAAUUUUUUUAGACAUGCUUUUAGAAUUAGAAAACCUAUCAUCGUUCCAAAGAACAGCAUCCAAACAUGUCCUAGGCUCCUAGCAUUAGUUUUUUGAAAUUUGGAAAGAAAAAAACAAAAGGAUAUUUAAUGCGCAAUAAAUUAAAGAAUGGUCGUCGAUAAGAAACUAAUGCGAGGGAUGCGUCGCAAAUGGCAGGCCAAUAAAUUCCACACCUAAUAUUGUACAAACAGCGCGUUAUCACCGGGCAUUCCAGUGUGUGGCACCCCCACCAAAGUUGGACGUGAAUGAGAUAAGAAUCAUCAGAUGUCAUGAUCUUCAUCUUGCGAUUAGUCAUCGCAUUUGUAGCUCUGAUUUGGUAGGCCAUGGGUUUGCCAUACACAUUACACACUAUCGUAUUGUACUAUAUUCAUUGAAGAAGACUGAGCUGUAAUGUUUGGUGGGCCCACAGCAUGUUCUGGAUCGCAUUUUCAAUGCUUGUCCCAAAACUCGAAGACUUUAAUAUGAUUUCCAAAUUGGAGUAAAACGACUGUGUUUUGAUUCCUUUGCUCACAACCCAAAAUGAAUUCUUUGGUAGCGAGGUUGGAGCCCAAAGCUCAUUAUUAUUAAAAAGUAUUUUUGAAAAAAAAAAUAUUUGAUAAAAUUUGUGAAAUAUUUUUAAUUUUUUUAAAAUUAAUUAUACUAUUAAAAAAUCAUUUAUAGUGUGUUUUGAAAAACACGAAAAUUUUCCUAAAAAUAUUUUUAGAUAAAAUACUUUUAUUAAAAACAUUUAAAGUCAAACACAAUCUUAAAUGGAGUUAUAAGUUAUUUUUAAAUUUUAAUGGAAUUUUCUAAAAGUAUUUGAGUAAUUUUGUCCAAAUAGCUUCUUAGUUAUAAAAAAAAAAGAAAAAAAAAUCUUUAAAUGAUGUAGGGAAUGUUUGAUAAAAUUUAAUAUUUAUUAUUUAAUGACUUAAAUUGACUUUAAGUUAAAUUAUAUUUAAAUUAUUGAUUUUAAAAUUAUUAAUUAAUUAUUUAAUAAAAUAAAUUUAAAAUUUAUUUUAAAUUAUAAAAUUUUAUAUUUAUCCUCAUAAAUUACACUUAAUUAAAAAAAGUUAAAUAACGAUAAAAGUCAUAAAUAAUAAAAAUGAUCAUGAAUAACAAAUAAGUUAAUUAUUUUACUUAUUAUUUAAAGUUAUUUUUUACUUUAAAUUAUACCAUUAAAUUAUUUUACUAAACAUACUUAAUUUACUUAAUAAUUUAAAUUAAAUUAUUAAAUUGAUUUUUCAAACAAUACCGCCUAAUUUAAUUAAAAAACCAUAUUUUUUAAAUAUUAAUAUAUUAACAUAGUAUAAGCUUUAUUAAAAUAAAAUAACAACUUAUAUAAGUCAAAUUUUAACUUAUACAAAUCAAAGAUUUGUUUGACAAAACUAGUUAGACACGUAUUAAAAAUUCAUACUAAACUUAAAAAAUAAUUUACAAAUUAGUAUGGAAAUUAGAAUAAUAUGAUUUUUAGUACAAAUUAUUUUUUAACUUGUAUGAAGAGCUAUUUUAUAUUUAAAUAAUUGAACAUUCUCUAAUUGAAGCAAUAAAAAUAAAUAAAUAAAUAAUAAUAAAUAAUAAAUCAUUUAUAAAAAAGAAAAAGAAAAAUAUUUUUAUCAAAUAUUGAUUAUUUUUUAAAUUAAAAAUUGUGGUCAAUUAAGGCCCUGCAAAUGAUCCAAAUCACCAUUAAAAUCAAUCUGCGAGAGAAGAAGAAGACAUUAAAGAUGGAAGCUUCCUUUUCAUUCAAAAGCUGCCCAUUGUAAUAGAAGCAGCCCAGAUAACUUACACACAUAAUAACCAGCCCCACCUCUAUUCUGAGCUCAACCCAGAUUCAGGAGGAGGAAGAUGAACAAGAAGAAGAAGAUAGAAGCAGCAAAUAAAAGAAGAAACAGAAAAUGGAGGAAUUUCUCAGGCUCUGGUCUUGAAUGGGAUGGCUCUGAUUACUAUCUGGUGGUACAAGGCAGCAAGAGCAGCUCCAAUGAAGGGUCCAACCCAGAAAAUCCACUGAAGGGAACAACAAAAGAAUGAAAUCAAUACAAGGCAGAUUCACAGAUAAAUGAUGAGAUGAGAAGUGAUUGGGUCUGAUCAUGGA